UUUUUUUUUGUGAUUUACGAAUGCCAUAUAUAAUAACGUUUGGUGCAUUUUACUCAUUAUUUAAACCUGCGUAAGUUUCUUUUUUGUUAUUGCUGUCAUAGAUAGCUCCCAUAAGGAGGAACGAGAUAACAACAAACAAUCAAGAUUAAACAUCAGUUCAAGUUUUAUGAGAUCGGUCUCAACACAACCUGAGAGAUAUGAAAGAGCAUAACGGGCCAUUUUAUAGGGGCUCUGGUGGCGGCACAUCUGACCACCUGCAAGCGCUGGCACGCUGUAAAAAAAGCAAGAAUCUCUACACACACUGAAUGCUCUUUCUGGAUAGCUUGGAAAUGACCAUCUUUGCAUCCCCUUCAAUGUGAACCUGUCAAACGUCAAACCGAAUGUACCAAGAAAAUGCGCAACGGGUGAUCAAGAGCUCCAACACAUGAAGAUAAAGGAGUUAAGUGCACGCCGCCCAAUACUCUAUAGGAAAACUUCAUCGACGUUUCAAACAACUAAAUCCACGCAUUACCGGAUGGAUCUACCGCCACCUCAUCCACACUAAUUAAUACGAGGCGAGUGGGGGUACACAAAAUGCCACAAUGACAGUCUUGGAGAUGCUGCGAAACAACAACAUUUAUUCUUAAUAUCUACAAAUUAAAAUUACAAUCUUUAAUUACCAAAGCUUAUUUGAGUUGUAUAAAAGUAAGUGACUCCAAAAAGCUAAAAAAAAGGGUAAAUUAUUAGAAUAAGAAAUAUGCAAUUGUGGUAUGAUUGCUAUAUGACAACUUAGUGAUACUAUUACUUUGUAUUUAUAGGUAAUCACACGCUCUUAAUGUAUGACAAAUUAUUGAUAUCAUUACACUAUUUUUAUUAUAUUAAUUGGGUGAGCUUUACUAGGUGCAUGAAUAAUUUCCCCAUUCAUGAAUAUAAUAGGCCUAACGAAUUAAAUGUGUGAAUAAUUUUCACAUUCACGAAUAAGCCUAAUAGAGGUGAAUAAAUAUCUAAAGAGAACAUAUAAUGAACACAAAUGAAUGUAGUAAACACCUGGGCUACGGACCUGCACCAAUAACGGACCAGAUCCGACGAGAAAGAUCCCAACACCCGAAGGUUAGGUCGCACAAGCAACACGGUGAUAACGACGGUAACGUUAGAACCACAUAAAAUCAUAAUAUUCCAUGAUAGUAUUAGUGUAAAUCAAUAUUUUUUUGAAGCAAGCAAGUGUAAAUAAUAUAUUUAAUGGAAAAAAAAGAGUGAACACCAACAUCUUGAAUAUGAGGAGAUUAGGAGUCGUAACUGACACCAGCAAUAAUUCUAGCUUCGUGAAUAGGGGGGAAUGAGGAGACGUAACCAACACCAGCAACCGAGGAGGCACGGAGGAAGGACCGUUUGAAUUCUCCCGGUCAGAGCGAUUGGAUCUCGGGGCCAACUGGUCGGCGGAGUAAUUCUACGAAGCCGAUACGGACGGAGCCCGGCGGCGGCGAGGAUCAUGAUGAAUUUUUGUGUGGGCGACGGCAACGACAUAAGUCCUAGGGAUAGAGCAACCGUCCCGGAGAAAAAGCAGGAAGAGGAAGGCCCUCUUUAUUGCUUCCCUACAGAGGGCUUCUUCUUGUAAAUCCUGCAGAGGACCGAAUCAUCCAAUCGCAUGGUUCCGUUGCGCUUGAUAAUUUGCUUCCUGGAAUCGGAGAGGCGGUACUCGUGCAUGAUCCAGUCGGUCAACUGGAACUGAAGAUCUCUCUCCAAUUAAAGGGUCGCAACGUUGCGAGGCCUGAGACAUGAAAUGCAAAAGGGUGCGCCGUCGACGGCACUACUUCCCGCACCUGAAGGACUUCCCUCUGUUGCUCUUCUGGACUCGCUGCUUCAGCCUUGACCGUUCACUCGUUAAAAUUUCAAACCAAACAAAGAAUUGCAAUUCCUGAUAAUAUUAAUACCCAGAUUUCGAAUCCCUAGCACUUAGUCACAUAUAACAGUUGCAAAUUGGAAAGAAGGGACAUAGUAAGAAGCACAAUCGGAGAUGAAAAUGGGAAAGCCGUUGGGGACAACAGGAGAAUUCUUCCGGCGAAGGGAUGAAUGGAGGAAGCAUCCCAUGCUCACCAAACCGUUCUAUCUUUUACGAAUCGAAACGUAUAAAAAAAAAACCUACGCAAGUUUCAGUCACUUUUGUAGGGUGAUCAUAAAUCUUAAAUCUAGAGUGAAUUUAAUGUGUGAAAACCUAGUGUUCCUCACUAUUGAAAUGCGUCAUUAACUCAUUAAUUUGUGUUUAAUUUUCAUUAUGUAGUUUUCCAUUUUUCAUAUAUCUAAAAAUAAAUUUUAUCGAAUAUUUAGUGUGCAUUUAGUUCAUAAUCAUAUAUACGUAAUCCCAAUAGAAACAAAAAUACAUUGAUAGAUUGCAUUGAACGUCGAUCCAUAGCAUAAACACUUAAGAGCUACAUACAAAUAACUCUCAACUAUUAUUUCCUUCUCCACCAACAUCAUUAUUCAACCAUCAAGCAUAUACGUCGUCGUUGCAUUCAUCUCCGCGCUCCUCAAUAAACACUGUCAAAAAAACAUAAUCAACAAAAAAAAAUACAUUAGCAAACUGCUUAAUAAAAAGCAAAAAGAAUUAAUAAGAUAUAAUUAUAAGAGUCUCAAUCUAUUCGGACAAAAAAAAGGUAUAGUUACGAGUUGCAAUCGGUGUUGGGGCUGAUCUCGUAAGGAAUGUGGACCCCACAUUGGCCGGGGAGGGCACUGGCAAGCGGGACCUGCAAGCCAGGGACACCGGCGGCGGCAGUCUUCAAGCACUGGCAAGCCUGCCGGCGGUCAGCGGUGGUGACGGCGGCGUUGUUCAGGGCCCUCACGCCGCUGCAGCAAGGAGCAGAGACCUGCCCGCCGCCGACCAAGUAAUAGACGCAAGGGGACAGGCUGCUCAUUACUUGCAUGCACGUGAUGGCGCCGUCGGUCGGCCUUAUCGGUGCAGACAUGACAAGGAUGGAGACGACGAGGAAUGACGUAGUCGGCAUCGUCAUCUUCAGAGCGGCAGCCAUUGUUGGAGGUUUAAUUUGGGGAGGUAAGUGAGUAAGGCGAGGUUAUAAGGUCUGUGCUCUUAUAUAUAUAUAGAGAGAGAGAAUUACGAGAGUAAAAAAGAACUCGAUUAGUUUUGAUUCUAACCAAACCGGUUGAUGAGUGGCUGAUUUCGAUUCGGUGGGGUGGGGUUGUUAAAACGUCACUAAGUUGAUUGGGGUCCAGGCAAUUAUGAAUUUGCCUAUUGAGGGUUGAAAUGCCGGUUUAAUACAUGAUGCCUAAUGUGGGCAAUUCAUGACUGGUACUUGAAAUCGUCUAGAGCGAUGUCGGUUAUAUAUAGUACUCUGACAAGUAAUUCAACUACCAGUCAUAAAUUAACUAUGAAUGAGAAGUAAUUCGAAAUCUAAAAGUGAUUUUCCGUUUAUAUUCUCUUGUAUCUAUAAGAAAAACUCACUAAAAAUUUCUACAAUCAUGCCCUCACCCUCACUCUCUUAAUGUCCAGUUAGCGAACUGAUUUUAUGGAGAGAAUCGAAGACUUUCGAUUAAAUCCAACCAAAUCGUUUUACCUUUGCAUUUUCCAACAAUGUUUGCACAUAAUUGAGUUAAUAAUAAGUAAUAAUCAUAUAUGAUCUGUCAAUAACACGUACAUAAUUUUUCAAUCUAGCGAUUCACAUUCAUUGGUCACACAAACACAUUACUCACUGUUUCACUUUGAAUUGAAUUAAUAAACUGCGAAUUAAGAUUAGUCUAAAUGUUUAAAUUUUUUUUGAAGAUUUUAAAUCAGAAAUUUUUUGGAGAACCCUUUUUUAAAUAUCAAACUCGUUUUCAAAUAGUUUCUAACUCAAACAGAAAAAUUUGGUCCGAUUUUAACAACACAACCCACAAAUGAAAAGACACAUUAUUAUUUAUUCAUUGCAAGAUACGAAAACACCGACAUAACAAUAUAACCAUCAUCAGUCGAUAUUAUUUUGUAUACAUAAGUAAUCAUUUAUUAUUUGUUCGCAUCACUCUCUUAUGUAUAUAGUUCACAUAAGCUAUCGCCACUACUAAUACGGCGCCGCUUCCUUCUUUCCCCGUUGACUACAUUCCUCACUGCACACUGUCCAAAUUCCAAACAAACCAAAAACAGAGUAAUUAGUAGCAAGGUCCAAUAUCUACGAUGCUUCAAUGUACAUACUACAUCGAAAUAUAUUGAAUACGAAAUGUACCAAAUCACAUAUAUCUCUCACUAGCAAAUCACUACCGAAACUAGAGGUAGGCUACUAAUCUAGAUUACGAGCGAUGGAAUUCUACGUAAAUGUCUUGAAAUUUAAAUUUCUAUGGAAUUCUUGGAAUUGACCUUCAAAUUUGAAAUUUUAUGAGAAAUAGUAAUACGUAGGUGUUGCAGUUGGUCCUGGUGCUGACCUUGUACGGGAUGUUGACGCGACAAGCACGCGGCAUGUUAGCGGCGUUGGCCUCACUCAGGCCGGAGAUCCCGGCAGUGGCGGACUUCAGACACUAGCAAGCCUGCCGGCGGUCCGAGGUGGUCCUAGCCUGACCAAUGAGGGUCCUUAUUCCAUUGCAGCAUGCCUGUGGGACAGUCCCACCGGACUUCAGGUAGUUAACGCACGGGGCCAUAUUGUUCGCAACCUGGCCGCACGUGAUCGCACCAUGGCGCAGACCAAGAGCACAGUAACCAGCUUCAUUGCACUCGCAGCCAUUGUUUUGUUAAACGUACGUAGGAAAAGCUUAUAGAAGUUGUGUGUGUAUCGAGAAAUGGGAGUUAAGCUAGGGUUUAUAUAGUGUGGGGAGGAGCUUGGGUGAUGCGCUGGAGGUGAAGACUAAAAGGGGAAGAUGAAAAGUGGAGAUCGUAGGUGGUGGGUCGGUCGACGGUAAGAAAACAGAACCUAGAACACAACCACCCGGAUCGAAAAUGAAGGCAUUCCAGUCGCAGAGCUUUGACGCAGAGAACACUCCGGAAGCCUUCAGCCAGAUCCCCAUUGUCGAGAAACUCUUCCCGCAAACGAACUCAGCCGGUUUUUCCUCGGCCUUAAAUAUUCCCGCAUUCCUUUCAAGUCAAACAAACCACAUAACAACGUGCAUGAUUAGCUUUGUUGCUUCGCCAAACUUGGAGAGGCAGUUCAUUCCUUUCCAAGACGAGAUGACAGCCUCAAUCGACGAAAGCAUCACGUGCAAGGAGAGUUUUGAACUAACUCUGUCCCAAACAACCAUAGCGAAUUUACAUCGUAAGACAAUAUGAUCCACCAUCUCGACAUCUUUCCGGCACAACACACAACAGUUUGCAAGCUGAAACCCGCGCCUCUGAAGGUUGUCCAAAGUGGCAGCCCUGUUAAGGAACACCUUCCAGCAAAAACCUUGAACCUUUGGUGGAGCGCUCUGUUCCCAAAUCAUCGCAAAAGGGAAAUCUGCCCGCCCCGAAAACUUCUCCCGAGUAAGAGCCUGUCGCAUAGAUCUGAUGGAGAACCUCAAAGACGCUUCCAAAGACAAAACAAUCGAGCUUGGCCCUGCUGUAAUAUGGUCUUCAGGGAUACUUGUCAGGCGCUGUAAAAGACGAUGAACCCCCACAAUGGCGCCCCCUCUGAGGGUAGUAGUGAGGGGAAUAUGCCACAACCGCCUGUUAUCAAAAGUACAGAGAUCAGAAACACAAACUUCUAAGGAUUGUGUAGCUGCAUCAAUCUUUGGAUACUCAUCCAACAACCUCACUCCCAAAACCCAAAAGUCAAAUAAAAAAGAACAUAUCCCACCCCCCAAAUCGAUAGAGCAGAAAUUCCAGAACUGUACUUGUAGACACAAUAAUAAUUGUCUUUGAUAACAUUUAUCCAACAUCAUCAAUCAUUAAAGCUUUGUGUUGUUUUUCGAGGUAUCAAAGUAUUUUCCAUAUAUAUAACGUUAGCUUAAUUAUAUAUAACUUAGAUUAAUCAGAUUAUAUAUUGAUUCUCACGUUUGGUUAAAAAAAAAACUUUUGAAAUAUGCAUGGAUUGUUAACAUGUUUUAAAAAAGUAAUGAUAUAUUUUAGUAUAUGGUACUAAAGGAAAAAUAUUAGUAAAAUUUCCAUGAAAAAAUUAUAUAUAAGAAAUUUUUUUCUAUAUUUGAGUGAUCACUUAAACCAAUUUGGUAAAAAUCUAGAUGCUAUAUGUCGCCCUUGCCAAGGGGAGAGAAACUGAGAGCAGUCGUUGUCUCUGUACUCCUCAAUAUUCACUCCUGGAUGCAGGCGGGAUGGAAGUAGUGGUCACAGCUGAGGACUGCGACCAACUCUUCGUCCCCGAAGGGUUCCAGGCAAAACGAACAUACCUUUUCUGCCUCACGGCCAGGGACUAUUUCCCUGGCUUCACGAUACGCCAUAUAUCUGAUCGGUCGCCGUGAUCGUCAUCUACGAGGAAGAGGAGGAGGAGUGAGCUCUAGCUCGAACUCUGGUGGCACAGGAUUAGGUCGAGUCAUCUUCCACGCGAUUGCACUAAAGAUCCCGAGCAUCACGGCUGCGAUCACAACAACCGCCGCCGUUUGGAGGGUGGUUAAAUUGGCAGGGCUUUGCACCGUGGCCCCAUUGCCAUUGAAACUGGGAGCAAUGUUUGACAUGAUCAAGAGUGAACAACUAUAAGAUCUAAUGCAGAGAAGAUUGAAGAGAGUACGUUGCAGUGGGGAAGGUAGGGAAUUUUGCUAACUGACUAGUUUUGGAUGAUAGAUCAAAUCGAACAAUACUCUUGUAAAUUAAUUGGUAAAUUAAUUGGUAGCUUUUGAAAUAUACAAAUAGUACCUAAUAAAAAAUAAACGAAUGGUACCAUUUAAAAUCGAACAGAACUCUUUUAGGAAGAAGAGUUUGAGACGAUGUUUAUAACGUGUUAUAUGCAACAUCGACAAAGUAGACAGAUUGAGGAGGACGGACGACUAAUGUCCAUUCGGAAGAUGUGCAGACGUGAGUAGAAUAGAAAGGUUGCAGGCAGUUUAAUGAAUGUCUCUCGAAUAACCUAUACUGUAUCGAUUAUUGAAUCGACAUAUCGUAGUGCACGACAUGAGUUGCGUUUGGCAUGAACCAAUUGGCCUCCAUAAAUUGGUUUCUCUAAAUUUCAACCAUCUGACAUCCACGAUAGUCAACAACCAAACAAUAAACCUAAACAACAUUGCAUGCUGACUGUGUAUCUAAAUCCCUGGUUCAUUAUCCUACUCAACAAGCCGUCAUCCACGUCAUUAAUACUUACGAUUCCAUCAAAUCUUAGUUAACGGACCAGACGGAGACUGAAAAAACUGUGCUAUAAAAUGUAUUUUCAAUAAAAUCGAGUCAUUUUCUGUAAUAUUGUUAUAGGUUAGGCUUCUUAAGUAAGAUUAUUAAAAGCCAAAUUAAAAUUAACAGGGAAAAGAUGGUAUCAUCGAGGAAGAAUUGCAAAACCACAGAACCAAAGGGAGAGAAAGGUAAAUUUCACGAAGAACAGAAAUAUUCGUAGAACUCUUCCAUUUCAUCGUCGACUUCAUCAUCGCCGGAAACCGCAAAGGCCUACUUUCACCGUCGUUUGUUUUUCCCUCGUUCGAUCGAAGUUCAUCUCAAUCUUCCUUGAUUCCCCCGUUGCUCUCGACGACGUGAUGGUUGUGCCGUCACAUCCAACGCCGACGGUUACUUCCAGAGCCGUAUUCGCGUCGUUUUGAUAUAUUACUGUUUAUCGCUUUGUUUUGUCUUUACUUUGCGGCAUGGGAGAUCUUCGACCGUGGUCACCGGAACUUAAUGGCGACGUUGUCGAGGAAAGGCCGUCGUCCUCGUCUUCUUUUUCUUCGUUUUCAUCGCCGCCGCUGACGAUUGAUGCGGCGAACUGGAAGAUUGCUGAGGCGGCGACGCAGCUUAUCAUAGCGAAAGUUCAGCCUACUAAUGUCUCGGAGGAGAGGAGAAAAGCUGUUGUUGAUUACGUCCAGCGUCUGAUUAGAAAUUCCAUUGGCUGCGAGGUGCAUUACUUGUUGUUUCUCUUCAUUUACUGACCUGUUAUCAAUAAUUUUGUUGCUGUAUCAUGUAUCUAAGUUCAUGAAUCGAUGGAGCAGUAGGCAACAGUUGAACUGAUUUCGGUUUGGAGUUAACAAUUUCGGAGGAUGUAAUGGUUUAGUUUCCAGUACUUGACAAUGCUGAAGAGUUGGGAAGUCCAGCAUUUGCCAUAUCAUGACAAUAAUCUAAGAGUUAGGGAGAACUGAUGUAGGUGGCUCUUCAUUGACAUUGUGAAUGGAUGAAUGUAGAAGUUCUGUAUCUGUUAGCUAUUCUGUUGUAGAAACGUUUUGAUUGUGUUAUACUGACUUAUACUUGGUACAGGUGCUCCCUUUUGGGUCAGUGCCAUUGAAAACUUAUCUUCCUGAUGGGGAUAUCGAUUUGACGGCCUUUGGUGGUCUGAAUAUGGAGGAAUCACUUGCCAACGAUGUGCGAUCGAUCCUCGAGUUAGAAGAUCAUAACAAGGCUGCAGAGUUUGUUGUAAAAGAUGUGCAAUUGAUUAGGGCGGAGGUAUCUCAUACAAUUCAUGUUCAUGCUGGGAUAUACAUUGUCUUUCUUGCGUGUAUCGUUUCUCUUAAAAAGGGAACACUGUAAUUUUGCGAGGCUCGUAAUGAAUCUUGCCGUAAUUGGACUCCUAUGCUUGUGUUCUAUGCUUUAAUAGGAUUUCUGUUCUUUUCUUCUUUUUAUAACUGUGUUUAGUUAUGAUCUGAUUCCUUAAGAAGUUGGACCACCAGAUCAACUGAUAUGUUUAUUUGCCCUUAGGCGUGCGAACUUUUUUCUGUUAGUACUGAAGAUGCAGCUGAUGUUUCGUAUGUGAUCUUUCCAUGGUUUAACUUUUCUUGGGCUUGUUAUAUUGUGUUUCUCCUGUGCAGGUUAAGCUCGUAAAAUGCCUGGUGCAGAACAUUGUUGUUGAUAUUUCCUUUAACCAAUUAGGAGGUCUCUGUACUCUAUGCUUUCUUGAGGAGGUAACUUUUUGAACUUUGAUUCUCAUAGGAGUGUUUUUCGCUAUCUCUUCAAAUAGUCGGUUUCUGCCUUUCUGGUAAUUUGAUCAUUAUGAUUAACCUAUUCCCUCUCAUUGGAGUCAAGCACUACCUGCUCGUGGAUUCACAUACGCUGACAUGCUCUAUAAAUAAUAAAAGUUUGUAGCUGAAGAUUCUAUUUUUAACGUUCAGAUGCUUUCUUUGAUUAACUGCAGGUAGACCGCCUGAUUGGAAAGGAUCAUCUUUUCAAACGAAGCAUUAUACUGAUCAAGGCAUGGUGCUAUUACGAAAGCCGCAUUCUUGGAGCACACCAUGGCCUAAUAUCUACAUAUGCUUUGGAAACAUUGGUUCUUUAUAUAUACCAUAUCUUCCACUCGUCACUAGAUGGUCCAUUGGCUGUGAGUCUUGUGAUAGCUUAUAUGGGUUUGCAGCAUUAUUUAUUUGGAUUUAGUUCCUGACAAUAUUUUUUUGUAGGUUUUGUAUAAAUUUCUAGACUAUUUUAGCAAAUUUGACUGGGAAAACUACUGCAUUAGUUUGAAUGGCCCAGUCCGAAUAUCCUCAUUGCCAGAAGUUGUAGGUGAGAAUAUAUCAACUACCCUAUGUUUCUUAAGUCGCUUUGCUUUUCUACUGAACAGAUUUCUUUGUUGUUUUUUGCAGUUGAUGUCGCUGACCAUGGUGGAUGUGAUCUACUGCUGAGUCAUGAGUUUAUCAAAAAGUGCGUGGACAGGUUUUCUGUUCCUUUUAGAGGAUCUGAGACAAACUCACGUAUGUUUCCAACGAAGCAUCUCAACAUUGUUGAUCCCUUGAAAGAAAACAAUAACCUUGGUCGGAGUGUGAGCAAAGGUAGAAAUUGGUCUAUUUCUUGUUUGAUUUCCUUCUUCUUAUCCUGCUGUCUACUAGAUUCGGAUAUACCUUAUUAUAAAUAAGUUUUAAUCCCUGCUGUCUCUGCAGGGAACUUUUACCGGAUAAAAAGUGCUUUCAGCUAUGGAGCUCGAAAGCUCGGUCUGAUUCUUUCGCAGCAAGAAGAAAAUGUAGCUGAUGAACUCUGCGGGUUUUUUUCCAACACUCUGGAUAGACAUGGCAAUGGUCAAAGACCUGAUGUUCAAGAUCCAUUACCCAUGGAUGGACACCAUGGACACAGUACCAGGUCAGCAUCUUCAGGUAAAGAAACUGGCCAAGACCACCAGAGAAAUUCUGAAGCAAGUGGCAAAAAUGGCAUCAGUGUUAAGUUAUCAGAUAUGGGAGCGAAAUGCAGCAAAGACACCACUGAAGCAGGCAAAAUGGAAAAUGGUAGUUUGUUUUCUCACCACCGUCUUUCCGGUGAUGCAGAAGAUCUGGCAUCUGCUAGAAUUCAACACCUUUCCAUUUCCGGCGAUGGACUGAUACAUUCUAGUACAAAAACUGAGAGCCCCACGAAAGAAGUGCAACUACGUCAUGCACCAGAUCUCAAUUUCACUGGUGACCAUGUUGUGUUGUCCCCUGUUGGAUCAUCAGUUGGAUUUCCUUCUGAAAAUCAUCAACCUGGUCAUUGUAGUGCUGGAAACUUCGAUGCCCUAGACUCUCUUUCAGAUCUCAGAGGUGAUUAUGAAGCUCACCUCCUUAGUUUGAGCCAUGGCCGGUGGUGCUACGAAUACGUACCAACUUCUCCAGUUCCGCCUAUAUCUCCAGUAAUGUUCAGUCCGGUCCAGAAAAAAAAUUAUUGGGACGGAACGAGACGACCGGCUCAUUACAGGCAGAAUCUCAAUGGAGUAAGUCCGAGGCCUGUGCUUAAUUCGAUCAAUCCACCCUUUCUGCACGGUCCAAUGUUUGCUAUGGAAGAGGUAUCGAAGCAACGAGGAACCGGGACAUACUUCCCAAAAGUGGUAUGCUUUUUUGAGUUCGAAAUUUGAAUUUUUAACGUUGAAACUCUGUCUUGGUUGGUCUUAUUGUGAUUUGGCUGCUUAUAACUGGUUUUUGUGAUAAACGUUGCAGAACCAUUACAGGGACAAGUCUUUGACGCCGAGGGGAAGUAGUCAGGUGUCACUACGGUCUCCUCGUACCAAUGGCUGUAUCGCUACUUCUCAGGAGCCUAACUUUUCAGAAAGAAGCAGAGGGCAGCUAUGUCCAGGUUCUGCUGUUGGACCGGAUACACUGCAGUCAAAACCUCCAGCCGUUGAAAGGUAACGGGUUAUAAACUUUAAAGUAGCGACAAGCAUCAACUUGCAAUGGAUUUCUGCUGGACUUAGUUGCAUUCAACUUUUUAGACCUCCCAAGUCGUAUCAACUUUUCAAGACGCAUUCGAUGAUUUCUCGCCAUUAUCAGCUUUGCUAACUCGAAAAAGCUGCUCGAGCUGGCUGACAUUCGGUUUCGGGUUGAUUCGAAUGUCUCUGUUAGAGUGAUUUAAUGCUGGUUUGAAGUAUAUGGAUAGAAAGUUAUAUGGAGUGUAGGGUUUGUUUGUAUGUAUAGUAUAUGGAUUGUAAUUGUAUAAUUUUGGGAGCCGAGGUUGAUAUAGAUAGAGCAAUAGAUUCUAACUCUGUGAUGUAAACUUAAAACUGGGGGAUCAGUUGUAUGUUGUUGUUUUGUUGAGUAGAACUAGAAUCUGUUGAUUUUGAAGCAAGUGGCUGGAAAAUGGCUAUCUUUAUUUCUCAGCCACCCUAAUAGUGAAGCCAUCACAAGAAUCUAAGGCCGACAUCAUUGUGAUGAUGAUGAUGAUGGGAAAUGGUAAGUUUGUGUCAUCAUUGUGUCGGUUGAGUACGAGUUGUGGUUCGAUUUUCAACAUCCACUUUAGACACGCGAGCAUUAAGAAGUUUGGUAUUCAAACGAAAGCUCAACCCCGAAAUUUGGACUGCUAUUUUACAGGUCUCGUCUGGACUGUAUCGAAGAUCAUUUCAUUCUGGAAAUCUGUUACUAUAAUAAACUCUUAAACUAUGGCGACUGUGACAUCGUUGGCGUGGUCACAACCUACUACAAUUAACAAAAGAGUUGAUUCAUGUCAAUUCAACCUUGGUGUCCGUUCCUAGUAUGUACAAAAAGGGACGUUUAAGAAAGGGUAGUAAAGGUAAAAGUAAAGAUGAAAGUGACAAUAGGUACUGAAAUCGAAAGACAAAGUUGAGUUUGAUUUGUUUUGUUCCAUUGUCCAGCCUCACAUCAGCGGAAUCCAAUUCAAAGCCAGAGGUUGGACGGGAUCUGAUGGGCGCUAGUUGAUCCGCUUGGUUAACCGGCAAACAUGUAAUAUUUUUGCGACAAGAUUCUCCGAUUUAUUCACAUGAGGUUUUUGUUUUUCUCCGAUCCUGUAGUACCCGACGGCAACAUUUUCCUGAUUUAUAUUGAGAAAGUGCAAGAUAGAGGUGCAAUUCUUCUCUAAUCGAUUUUCAAACUAUUUGAUCGUUUUAGUAACAAAAUCGUCAAUUAUUUAAUUUAGUAUCUUGUUGUUGCUGCCAACACACGCCAAAAAUACCAAAAGAAACAUUAUCCAUGACUGACUACUGCAUUAACAUAUAUAUAUACGUAAGCAUAGCAGGCUUCCCCCAUGGCUCUGCCAAUGUCACGCCACUUGCUAUAUAUAUAUAUUCCAACUUCUCUAUAAUCUUGUAUACAACUAAUGGCAUUUUGUGCCCGAUUCUAGUUAAAAUUUUGAGCUAUUGUGAUUGUUCUUUUCUAAACAACUUCUGAAAUUGUGUCGUGUUAGCUAGUUAUCUGCAUCCUCACCCUAGCGUAACAAACUAACUACAUAUUGGAAGUCGAGGUGCAUAUAUAUGUAUGAUUUGGUACACUUUCCUUGAAGUUAUAUAGAUAUAUGUCACAACAACCCUCAACUAUACAUAGUUAAUCGCACAUGUGUUCAUCAAGUAGAUGAAUAACAGCAUUAUCCGGCCCAAUCUUGGACUAAAUCCCCCUACAACUGCUUGUCCCAUCUGUGGAUUAACUGAGCCGUUUUGAGUUGAGGGAUUAUCCAUUCUGAAGAUACAUUGUUACAUAAAUCAGUAUAUUUUUGUGUCAGAGACCAAAUUCAAACAUUUAACUUAACUUGAACUAAGUGGAAAUUCUUUUCCUUUUUAUAACUGCAAACUAGCAUACGUGCUUUUAUAUUAUCGUGGAAACAAUUAAGAAUAUACACCGUAUGAAGGGUUCCUGUGAGGUGCAAUCUACAAAUAGGUCAUAUCGAGGAGGUAUCUAACCAAAAAUUAAGAUACAUCACAUCCUACAAAUACUUCUCAUAACUAAAUCAAAACUAUACUAUUAGCUCAUAACACUAGAUACUAAAAACACUAGAUAUGAAAAAAACAAGACCCUACCGGAAAUAGAAAAUGGAAAUUCUUUUAAUUUAGAACUCGAUCAUGAUUCAUUUUUCAUACAAAAUGUCGAAAUUAAAUACAUAUAAAAUCUAAAAUUAUAUACAUUUUGUGUAUAAUUAUUACCGUAUAAAUUUCGAUUGACCGAAAUCCUAACUACGCCACCAAACGGGAAAUGAACACUACUACAUAAAUUUUAUGAGUGAGCUUGAUUGCUGUUACAUGCACUCCUCCCAUUCCAAUGACGAUAAGAACCAGUAAACCACCGGCAUACACAGUGCUGCCACGUGUACAUAAAUACUGAUUUUAUAUUUAUUGCGUCAGCAGUUGCUUAAGUGGAAGAAAAAAAAAACAACCAUGAUUAGAAUUGAUGACAAAGCAACAGUGCCAAAUCAGCAACUUGACCCCUUUACUUUUAUAUUUCAAUUCCAAUAAUCAAUUGAACCGGUCUCAUUCACCUUGUGUCAACUCACCCUCCUGGCCGCUCGAAUAUAUCAUAGAAGCCAAAUUCUUUGUUUAAACCGAUUUGUUGAACCGAAUUGCACCUCAAAUCGGACGAACGAGAAGUUCAAGAAUCGAUGGUUCAAUCAAGUUUAGAGACUACAAAAGUAGUAUAGAUUCAAAUGGUUUUGAAGGUGUUAAUGAUUCAAUUAUAACAAUUUAUAAGGUUUUUUAGAUAAGUUUUUUAAGGGGCAUAUCAAUCAGAAAAUUUAAAUAUUUCAACAGAUUUGAAAUUAAAUUAAAAUGGCACAUAGUUUUUAACUUAUCCACAAAAUUAUCAUUCUUUAUUUAUCUGUCAUCCGAAUAUAAACUUGUCACUAGUGCAAAAUUUAAGAGUUUUUAAUUACAAGUGAGAUAUAUAAUUGGUAAAACUAAAUCAUGAUAUGAUUAAUGAACAUUAUGUAUAGCAUCAACUUCAUAAGUAAAUAGCUUUUGAUCGAUAGACAAAAUUACGUAUGCUUGAUUCGACAACACAAUUAAUUUUUUCCUCAAAAGUAAGUAAAUGAAAGUUGAGUCAAAGUUCAAAAAACUACAAACAUAACGUAGGAUGGAUUCUGGUCGAAAAUUCUACCGACCCAAACUGUGCAUCAUUUAUCCUGAUUGAAACAGGAAACCAUGGAAAAUCAAACCCAAAAAACCAAACAAGCCAAAACCAAAACCUUAAAGGAAAAAAAACAGAGGCAUGAUUCAUCCGUUGAAUAAAACUGACAUUAGUUUAUCAAUAAUGAUUUAAAUACAUUGGGCAGUAAUCAAGCAGACGUUUUUCUAUUCCAAUCUCCCAACUCUCACCUUCCACCCUUGCAUCCCGUUGAAUUUGCUUUGAUUGUUCGCCGGCGCCGGAGGAAACAAACCAAAAACAGAAAAGCUUCAAACUUCUUCCCAACCCUGUUCCUGAAAAUCAGAUGGUGAUACCAGGAAUCGGCCACAGGUUCUUCAAGUUCAGAAUCCCCGAUCGUCUCCUCUAAAAAAUUCCCAACUUCUCCACAAAGAUUCCUCCUUUUCUCACGGCGGUUUGUUUUCCGGCAAGGGGACAGAAAGAUGGUCGCGAAGAGCUACGACGGCUGCGUGCGGGGAAAAAUGAGGAUGGCGUGGAUAAUGCUGAGCGUUGAUUACUGGAGGCUGUUUCGUAUACUGUUCGGCGUCUUUUCCUACGAGAAUCCCGAAGGGAAGCCUCGGAUCAUCUUCCUCUAGCUAUAACCCCCCCAGUUGUUUCAUUUUUAGGAUAUUAGGAUUCCAAAUUUGUCUCUACCGCUACUAAUACUACUAGUGGAAAUCAAUUGUGUUUGUUUUAUAUAAAAAGCACACUCAAAGACCCGAUCUUUGUUCCUGAUUGAGUGAAGAAAUGCACAAUUCUAAGCUGCUGAUGAUGCAACACCAUGGAUACGCUGAGACUGACCCUUCUGGUAGAUACGGCCGUGUAAGUUCUUUUCGUUUCUAUCAUUUGUUACUUCUGCUGAUGGUUGUGUAAGCUGUUGGAAAUGAUCGAUAUAGCACGAAUUUCGAAUUUUUGGGUUGUGAUUGUGUCGUAUUUGUCUGUACGUUGCGAGAUUUUGCUGUUUCGAAUAGUAUAUAACUGGUUACACAUAUAUAGCAGAAUCUAGGAGGAAGAUUGAGAAACUAUGCUAUCUGAUGUUGGGUAGCCUGUUCGAAAAGGACAGAUAUGGCAGGAAUUUUCGGGUUUCUCGGGUUGUAAUUCUGUCGUAUUUUGUCAGUAAAUUGCGAGAUAGGGUUCGAAUUGGAUAUGAUCAUGUGCUUAGCCUAAUGGAACGUUCAUGUACUAGAAAAUGAUGUUUGAGCUGACUGUCAAAUGUUCCUGCUAAAAAAUGACAGAUAUGGCACGGAUUUUGGGGUAUUCGGGGUGAAAUUUUGUUGUAAUUGUGUCUUUAAGUUUGCGCGAUUUUUCAAAUUGAGUGUGAUCAUGUGUUUAGCCUAGUUGAAUCUAUUUACUGGAAAAUAAUGUUUGACCUGACUAUCGAUUGUCAGAAUGUAGAUGAGAAAUGAUAUGAACAGGAAGUUUCAGAGAUUUGGUUUCUGGUCCAAUUGUGAUCAGUGAGCAAACCGGUUUCGGUUUUAUGAUUGAUGUUCUUCUGUUACUGCAGUUCAAGGAGGUUCUUGGGAAAGGUGCGAUGAAGACCGUGUACAAGGCAUUUGACGAGGUACUUGGAAUGGAGGUAGCCUGGAAUCAAGUGAAGCUCAACAAUGUAUUUCGCUCGCCUGAUCAUUUGCAGAGGCUCUACUCAGAAGUUCAUCUCCUGAAGAAUCUCAAGCACGAAUCCAUCAUCAAGUUCCAUGCUUCGUGGAUCGACAGUACUCGAAGGACGUUCAACUUCAUCACUGAGAUGUUCACCUCCGGCACCCUACGAGAGUAAGUAAUACAGACAAACGCAUAUAAUAAGCCGAUCUGAUGCUUCCGGUGUGAUUCUGCAUUUCUGAUAAGUGAUGUUGUUGCAGGUACAGAAAGAAGUACCAGAGAGUAGAUAUCCGAGCAGUGAAGAACUGGUCGAGGCAAAUCCUGCACGGACUUGUUUAUCUGCACGGCCAUGACCCGCCUGUGAUCCAUAGGGAUCUCAAAGGUGAUAACAUCUUCAUCAACGGCCAUCUGGGACAGGUCAAGAUUGGCGACUUGGGAUUAGCAGCGAUUCUUCGAGACUCGCAACACGCGCAUAGUGUCAUAGGUACUCCCGAGUUCAUGGCACCGGAACUAUACGAAGAAGAGUACAACGAGCUCGUAGAUGUAUACUCAUUCGGGAUGUGUGUUCUGGAGAUGCUAACUUCUGAGUAUCCCUACAGUGAAUGCUCGAAUCCCGCUCAAAUCUACAAGAAAGUGACCUCUGGGAAGCUGCCCGAGGCGUUCCACAAGAUCAAGGAUGCUGAAGCGAAGAAGUUUGUCGGGAAAUGUCUCGAGCCUGCUUCGAAGAGAUUAUCAGCUAAAGAGCUACUCUUGGAACCGUUUGUAGCACUUGGUGAUGAACCAGAAUUGCUACCAGUCUCAAAGUUUUCGUCUUUUCGAAGCUCCCCGGCUUCUAGCUGUGAAAGUGAGGAGAUGAUGAUGACGACAAUGACGAUGAUGAUGCUGUCUUUGCAGGAUGAUCAUCCUGAAACUACGGAUAUGACGAUUACAGGAACUCUGAACCCUGAACACGACGCUGUUUUCCUCAAAGUCCAGAUUUCUGACUGCAGUGGCAUGAAACACGUUCCAUGCUCUCGUUUAUAAUUCUGUUCUUAAAGUAGUCAGAAUUCUGAUUUUGAUCUUAAAAUCAAUCUUAUUUAUUUAUUCUGUUGAUAUAUUUUGAUUAGUUUUUAAUCUCUCUUGACUGUCCAUUUUCAGGGCAUACCAAGAACAUACAUUUCCCCUUUGACAUAACUGGAGACACAGCGAUCGAUGUUGCGAUGGAAAUGGUGAAAGAGCUGGAGAUCAGUGACUUGGAACCAAUCACCAUCGCCAAGAUGAUAGAAGACGAGAUAUCUUCUUUAGCUCCGACAUGGAAACAACAAGGAACCUUCAUUUUCCACCAGCAGCAGCAUAGCUUUAGCUACGUGGAUGAUGCAGAAGAGGAAGAAGAAGAAGAAGAAAUCGGCAACCACAAAAAUUCGGAAGGAAUCUAUCAUCCAUUCUACUCGACCUCCCCUUCCUCGGACGCUUCCUCCUCCAACAGAGCUUCUCUGUUGGCCUUCAACAGCUCCUCCUCUGAGAGUCCACGUUAUGAGGAUUGCACUACACCAAUUGUCACUUUAGGUACACAUGGUCCAACUGUCUCCUAAAUGUUUUAGUAAAAAUUUGAGAUUAUAUAUAUAGUUGUUAAAUGGAUGGACGGCCUGAGUUACUUGGAUUACAAGUCAACAUGGUCAUAUGCUUCUCAAAAGGGUUAUGAACCAAUUGAGUUGUGGGUCCAUCGAGUUACACAGAAUUGAGUUUUGGACUUGUAACGUGGUCUUUGUGGAUAACCGUUGCAUCCUAAUAACUCGAGUUUUGGGAGAGAUUCAUAUAACCAUACCCUCAAAUGCAAGCUCAUGGAAGGGUACUGAAGUUUAUGUAGGUCCACCAAGUCUUGUACAAGUAAAAUGUUUAUAUUGAUGCCUAAGGAUUCGGUUAUGAUAUCAUAUGGAGAACCGUUGCAUCUCAAUAACUCGAACUGUUGGGAGGGGUUCAUAACUGGUGUAUAUACCAUUGGUUAACUCGAAUGACUUGUGAAUCGUUAACUUUUAGCCAAUUCUGUUACUCGGUUGAUUUAAGUGGAUUAAUCAGGUUCAGUCAGAUGCUGACAGCACUAAUUAUGGAUCGAAAAUGGGUAAAAAAAAUGCAGGGAAGCUGCUACAAGAUGAUGCAGAUGACUUGAGUUCGGAGAGCUCUUACAACUACUCAACAGUCUCUUACUGCUCCGGAAACGAAGACGAGCAUAAUCGGCCAGAAGAAGAACAAUCUAUAGCUAAGAUUGACCAGUCGGAAAGCUGCAAAGGAGGAGGGUGUAGGAUGAUGCCACCGGGGAGGAAGAAGAAGCUGAGCCGAAUACGAUCGGUGUUGGAUAUGAGAAGCCAGUUGCUGAACCGGUCGUGGGUGCAAGAGAUGAACAAGAAGCGUUUGUUCAAGACUGUGGGAGCAGUUGAGAACAUUGGAUAUCAUGACUGGAACCCUUCUGCUUCUUCCUGAUGAUGAUAAUGAUGAAAAAAAAAAACAAAACUGGGAUUUUUUUGCUGUGUGUUGUAAUUGGUGAAGUGUUCUGAAGAUAAGACUGUUUUGUCAUUGUGUUUUGGUGUGGUUUCAUAAUAAGCCAGAGAACAUUUUGGUGACAGAAUGACUUAGUUUAGAAUUUUAAGGUUGUGAUUGAUUUUGUUUGCAGAGUUAUAUUCAUUAUAGGGUAGAAAGUUCAUGUUGGUGUUUUGUCUGAGUAUGAGUUGUGUUUUUUUAUUCUACAAUGAAAGCUUAGGAGAUCCUUACUUGAUGGUUUCUGUUCUUUAUUCCCCUGAAGUAAAAUUGUAAUUUAGAGUCUUAGGGAUUAAUCUAGGAUGUAUAUAUUUUCGAAAUAACAAGGAUGACGAUUACAGGAUAUGGGUUCUAGACAGAUUAAUCUCUAACUUUAUUUCAUUUGCGUUAUUUCAUGCAUUUUAGGGGUCAGGUGACUGCAAUGUGUGGGUUUUUCAUACCUUUAUUGAAGGCAAUCAGAUUGCAGAUUUCGUUGCCCAACCAUGGACACUCAUUGCCUCUUGGUUCUUGCCGUCUUUCUACCAUUCCUCACGGCAUUGCAUGCUGAGUGUAGUAAGACCGACAUUACGAGUGUUACUUUCCUUCAUACCCGAUUACCAUACCAGAUACCCGAUUAUUCCAAAUUCAAAGAUCAAUUUGUCGAUUACGUUUCUGAUUCACUCUCAGAAUAAUUAUUUGAAAAAAUAGGACCAUAACUCUCUCACUACACUAACGCACCAUCGCGCAAAGUCAUCAACCACUAGGUCAUUCUUCCACAGAUAUGAAGGCAGAGGGUUAGCUGAAACGUAGCCAUCAUUUAGUCACACAUGCACUGUGAUUGUCAAAAAAAAAACACACUGUGAUGAGUGGUUGAUGCUGAGAUUCGAUUAGUUGGGGAAACCAAUCCCUUGAUUAAAGCCAGAAUAAUUGCAUGUGAAAAUGGUUAGUUGAGACGUCCAUAUAAUAUGAAAUUUUGCAAAUGGGUCCCUCAUCAAACAACAUCAGAUUUCGUUAUUACAAAGACAACACGAGAGAAUUGGAUUAGAGAAAGGACGACAUAUAUACAUGUCGAUCCUCCUACACUGACGUUCUAAUCCAAGCAUGUGGAUUUUCAUGCUAUGUUCAUCAGCAUAUAUCAACUAUUAAUUACUCAGAGGACCAAUUUGAGGUUUUGAAUUAAUUAUGGAUGAUUGUCUUUGCUCGAUAAAAAUUGCGAUCGAUCAUUACUUGAUUUAUUUUUCUAUUUUAUGUUAUAUUGGGAUAUCAACCCAAAUAUUAUAUCGAUAAGUUGGAUAUCUUUUAUGAAAGAAUUCAAAAACAAUUUGCGUCAACUUGGCUCAAAAUGUACAAUAGCAUAUUACUAUUUGUCUCGCCAAUAAACAACAUGUGUUGAGUGGUCAUGUCAUAUAUUUCGGUGUGAGACCUCUUUGAGUUUUGUCUUUAGAUAUACUUACUUAAAGGCAUUUUGUUUAGUUGUAGAGAUAAGAAUGGUCGAAGCUAAAAUCACUGCACGAGGCCUUUUGAUUAUAGUAGAGUGACAAAAUUUUAUGUAAAAAAUUUAAAUAUAUUAUCANNNNNNNNNNNNNNNNNNNNNNNNNNNNNNNNNNNNNNNNNNNNNNNNNNNNNNNNAAUAUAUAAAAUCUCCGAUUAUUCUAAUUUUGUUAUUGAAAACGAUUAUGAUGCACCCAUGUUAUUGUGAAUAGUGGACAUUUGGAUCUAUUUUUGACCACUAUGAAUGCUGUGACUUAAUGGAAGAUGAAUAAUGAUGUUGAAACUCAAUAAAACCUUUAUAACUUUUCAUUUACGAGACGUGGGUUGGCCAGAAAACGACACAUGUAAAAACAUCAAUGGUCCCAAAUUAUAAUACAUUGGACCUUUUCUUUGGUAUAAAAAUAUAUUGGACCUUAUUAGUUAGCUUUUCCCAUAUUGGCACUUUUGGGAUCAUCCUACCAGAAUGUAACUUUGGGAUUCAUAUGUAGAUUUUAUAACAUUCUAUUCGAUUUAGGUCCAAACAAUUGAUAUUUAUUUUUUAUUAAAUUAACAAAUCGCUCUAAAUGAAAUUAUGAGUUACUAAUAAUAAAUUUUUUUAUCAAAAUAGACCGCGACUUUCGGUCUAACUCCAAAUAAAAGACAAACUCAUAAUAAAACUCAUAUACUAGUACCAAUGUGAACGGAACCAAACAUAUAGAACAAAAAAUAUUCAUUACACGGCCGCCCACUCCUGACUGGAGACAACCGUAGAUUUAGGGACCAGAUUUGUUUGUCGCCGUCAUUAAUUUACUGCCACACGUGCACCUAUCCUAGUCAGUCUUAGUUUUUCCAGAAUUCCAAAUUUCUUCUUCUCCCGGCUGUUUGUCAAAAAUAUCUCGCAACACGACAAAACUUCAUCGCCGGAGUGGUAGUAAAUUCUAUUGUUAUUUUAAUAGGCGAUUUGAAUCCAACCAACCCGAUCAAACAUAAGUAUCUGUUUGCAGAUCUUUUGCUUGUAUAGAAACGAAAAUGUGCAUCUAACCGAUGAACUAAUGAAAUGGCUCGUGUAUUUGCUCUAAAAUAUUCUGGUCCACGAUGAUGUUAUUUAACCAAUGGAUACGUACUCAUGGUGAUCGAGAGGGAUUGGUGUAGACAAGCUAAGGUAACUGCAGAUUUCGAGAAAUGAAACGGUGACAAAAAAUAAAGAUAAAUAUUAUUAGUAUUAAAGAAUGAUUUUUCUCGUUCUGAUAUGUUUUACGAGUCUUUGAUAGAUAAUUAUUCGAUCGUAAAAUAAAUCACACAAGUAAGUAAUAAAAAAGAGUAUGAUAUAAGCGUAUUGUGAAACAUAUAUAUACUGGGUGUAUGCGCUUUGAGAGAAUAGACCUGCCUGAAGGAUAUAACUCCAUGUUUGAAGUGUAGCCUCGCCGUACUAAAGGUCUCGAGAAUUGUAGUUAAAAGUUGUCUUAUGUUCUUAAUGCAAAAGACUCAAGAGCCUAUUGUAAGGGCCACAUGGUGGCAUGACAUCAUUUUUUAUUAUGUGUCGGUCGUAUGAGUGAAUAGUAGGUGGAAACCAUAUGUGGAUUGUUAAGGAUGGACGAUCAUUAAUUUCCUAAGCAUGUGGUAUUAUAGGUAGACAAUUUAACCUUUGUACAUGGUGGCGUGCGCCCAUCUCUUGAUGGAACUGACGAAAGUCGGACCGCCGUGAGCGUGGGCGAACUGUCUCAUCAUAGUGACAGACAUGCAAGCCUCACAUCGAUUUGUCGGUCCGAUCGGUUAUUGUACUGGGCAAUCUGGGAGCAGGCCGUUGGGUCCAUAUAUCAGUUGUAAAUCCACAUCUCAAUCUCCUACUUAGCUCGAUGUGAUCCUCAAUUGGCAAUAUAGUGCUUAAUUAGGCCCGUAAUGAUAUUUUUGUUUGUGCUAGUCUCGAGAGAUGUAUGUAUAGUCACAGAGGAGCAUGCAUAUGUAUUCUGUAAUGAAAUGACAAGGCCUUGGGUUCUGAAAUCUGAUACAAGAAUGCCUUGUCUAAACUGAAAGAUAGAACGAAAUCACUGGUCGGUACGUAGGUGAUCAGUCAGCAGUCAGUUUAGACAGGAAUAUAACUGGCAGUAGCCCAGAAAUUGGCAUCUAAAUAAAGGAAAUUGGGUAUCGUAGUUGAGUGGCUAAAUCGAGCUGCAAUAAAUUUUUUCUUAGGGAAUGGCAGAAGAAAAGAACAUAUAUAGGCCCAGAAAAUUUGCAGAAUCUCCGGGUUCAUGUUCAGUCCUGCCGUCUCCUUAUGUCUUAUCUCUCACCUUCUUACUGUACUGUUUACUUCUUCAUUUACGUUGACCACUGACCAGCUCACCGACAAGUUCUUCUCCUCGAAGAUAUUUUGGGUUUGAAGUUCGAAAUUUAUAAUCAUUUCGGGUUUUAUGAUUAUAUCACUAGCCUCAUCUGAGUUGAAAUUUCAAAAUUUUUAUAAUGCUGACAUUAUUAAACUUGGUGCUCGUAGGAGUUUUUUGUUAUGAAAAAAAUCAUAUAAUUUAAAACUCAAUUUUACUUCAAUUUAAUUUUAUUAUAACUCUCGAAUCAGGAAAAAUCAUGUACAACGAUUGCCUAAAAUUGAACGACACAUGGGAGCGACUCAAAUGCAACAUGGACCCAAUCGAGGACGCAAACACAUAUGCCGACGGGAAUGAUCGAAGAGUGGUAUAUUACUCGGUAACUCAAGAACCAAAUUGAUAAAGUUUUCAUUUUACCUCAUGGAUUCAAGCUGAAGUAAGCUACCACAACAUUAAUCUCGAUAGAACCAACUCGAAUGCAGCACGAUCCAAAUCAACGAUGCGGACACAGAUGACGAACGGGAAUGAUCGAAGAUCAGCGGCAUCUUGCUCGGUGACUCAAAACCGAAAUUGACGUUUGUUGUUCGAUUUACAUAAUGGAUUCAAGCAUAUUGUAUAAUUUGUUACUGUAGAAGUGUAUCUGUUUCGUCACUUUGUUAAGACAUAGGGAACACUUAUAGAAGAUAUUACCAAACUUUAAUUGUUUGGAUUCACCAUGGGAUUCUCUCCCACCUCACCCUCCCUUACUUUGGCUUCAUUACCAUCCUACCUAGCCCCUACUCCCAACAGACUUUACUUUGUUUUUCACGAUUAAAAAGAAUCCUUUAAAUUCAAGUGGACUCGGCCUGCGUUGUUGCUAUUCUUUUCAAACCGGCUUCGAACGUGAUCAUGCACACGAAAUUGGUGGCGAGAUUCGAGCAUAUGCUUCAACGUCAAUAACAGGUCCGACUCACUCAUAUUUAUCUGGAGGGUAAUCACGUAGCUAAUGCCAUGGCGAAUCUUUGUCACCAUCUUCUGCUGGGUAUGCAUAAUACCCUCUCUCAAAUGGAAAACUCUCAAGCUAGCUCUUAUAUGAUUCUGUUGGAAGUUGCGAGGCCCGUCAAAUAGCGACGACUUAGCUCUAUUCUUUAUUUUUCCUCUAAAAAAGAGAAUCCUUUAAUUUCUUCCAAUAUUUAAUUAAAUUUAUUAAACACAAAACCUAAUAAACUUUUCUAAUUCAACAUUAAAAACGGUUUGCAAAAGUCAUUGAAUUUUACUAUAAUCAUCUAAAAUAUUAACUGAGACGAAACGACUUUUGACAUAAAUUUUAUAUAAUUCUCAAAAUAAUUAUUUUGUAAUCCAAUAAACCUACAAUUCGAUAUACAAUAAUUUGAUUUACACCACUCAUGACCUUCCCAACCCUUUUGUUGGACAACUUUACCAAACACUAACUCAUGGACAGAACAAUUUCUUAAAGAAACAUUCAACAUCUUCUACAUUCAGCAUAGAGAUAUACAAUAUAUUCGAUAGAGACUUGAAAAUACAGAAAAUAUUCUAUACAUAAAUGAAAUACACAACACCCACAUUUUAAACAAAGCCCAAAAUGUUAAAUAAGAAAAUCAAUUUAUCAAGAUGUUGUAACAUCUCCAAGAAAUAUAGAUGCAUGGACAAGUAAUUAAUAAAUAUAAAAUGUGGUUUAUUUUUCUUCAAAAGGUUGUUGGAUGUUUUCUCAUCCUACUCUUCCUAAUGACAGUGACACGUCAGAAACAAACAAAACACCCCAUAAAUAAAAGCAAAAGCAUCAUCAAAUUGAUUGGAUAUGACUAUUGAAAUGUUUGAUGUCUCCUCUUGCUUGUCCCUAUUUGACCAAUACUCGUAUUGUCCAAAUUGAAUAAACGUACACUUUUCACAUCCUAAUAUAAUAUGCCAAAGUGACACGAUCGUAGCUAGGGUGGGAAACCUGUUUCGGCCCUGUCAAAUUAAGAUUCGAACACCCUAAGUUUUCAGGCUUUUUGGGUAAUUCAUGUAUUCGAUUAUUAGCAUAUUUAUUCUCUUUUUAUUUGAAAUUUUUGGAUGUUUGGAUGCCUUAACACGUUCAAAUUCAUGAUGUUUGGUGCAUAUUUGGUUCCCCUUGGUCCCUUGGGCCGUGUUACGUUGCUUUGUAUGUUUUUGGUACAUUUUAGUUGUCAUAUGACGAUUUAGGAUGAAUCAAGCCUUGGCGGAGAGUCUGUAACAACUCAGUACGCUCGACUUGUGAAGAAAACGUCACUGUUUAGUAUUUUGAGCAUAACUCAUCACUCGAAAGUCCAAUUGAUGCAAGGCCAUCAAAGUUGAAAAGAUAAUUCGAUUGUUUAUAACUUUUAUGUUGAAGUCAUGGUGAAAUUCCGUAUAUUAAAACAACACGGCGUGUUGCAAUGGCAAACGGCCGUGUUCUUCAUAUUUAUGCUCACGGCCGAGAAGAGCUGAAGAAAGGACACAACCGUGUUCUUUUCGGACACGCCAUGUUCUCCGAAACAUGCCAUAUUUUAUGGAACACACUAUAUUUUACCUCCUAACGAGAUUUUUGAGCUUAAUCCUUCUCCAACUUGGUCUAGAAGUCUAUAAAUACGCAUGAGACCCCCUAUGGACGAGAUAUAUUUCAAAUAUACUUUAUUCCAAAUAGUUUUUCGAGAUAAAGAGAGAUAAAGAGUUCAAGAGAUCGAUGAAGCGAGAGAACAUCAACAAUUGGAGACAGGUCGAAGAUUGGCGACAAGACGGAGAUUUAUCGACGAAACAUGUUUUCUUCCCAGGUUAUUUUCCUUUCUUCUUCCCUUCUUAUUUCCCGAACCAUGAGUAGCUAAACCUUUCGUGUUGUUUGGAUGAGAUGAAACUUUAGUUUAACUUUUGUAUGGAUGAUGGGGUUUUAAAGUUUUGAUUUGGUAUCGAGGUUAUUCAGACAUAUGAUGUGUUUUUGCUAAACUUAAUUUCUGAUUCAAUUUCGUUUGAUCGCCCUAAUUGAAUCAUCGUUAUUGAUUUGUGGAUCCGAGAGGAACAUAGAUUGAUAGGUCGCUUAGGAAGAACUCUAGAUUGUUCGUUAGCUCGAGAGAGGAAUGGAUCGUUUAGGCUUUUCGCAUCAUUUAUCGUUGUGGCGUUUCAUCGAACACCUUUAGUGCGUUUUGGUUAGGUGUAGAUUAGCUCGAGAGAGGAGUCUACGGUUGAGUAGAAUAGAUCCUUAGAGGCACGAGAGUGAUCUAAGACUAUCGUAGAAUAUCGUCAAGCUAUUAUAACCUGAAUAUUGAGAUAACUUAUCGUUCAUCCAUGCAUUGCUAGUUUUAGUGGAUUCAAAUCCGAACAACCUUGAUUCCAUAUUUGAAACUCAAUCUCUUGCAUUUUCUUUCUUUUGAUUUGCAUUCUUAGUUUAUAAUUGGUCACUUCAACAAACAAGCAAACAAUCAUUCACUGAUUCUUGGUUUAAUUAGCAUAAUCAAUUUGAGUAAUAACAUUAGAAAGACUCUAGAACAAUAAACGAUUUCAUUAAUUAAUUCUAGUAGGUAUUUGAUAGCGGGGUAAAAUCCGCUCGUUAGUAACACUUAAAAAGGCCGAUCUAGCCAAGAGUUUGAUCCUUCAACCACUUUACCGUUCAUAACCUUUCUUAUUCUUUCGCCUCUUCCUUCUUUUCAUUGGAUCGAUGUGGAACAACACAGGUUUGGACGGAGGGUACUACUGUGUGACAAGCUAGAUAGUUUUGACACCGUCGAGAUGUUAAAAUAUCCAAUCGGGCUUAACCAUUACUAACACUAGACUGGUCAAACCAAACUUCGGACACUCAAAAUCCCUAGUUGGGAGCAAAUGACCGGAACCCGUAUUGGUCAAAUUGCUAGAUACGGACUUCUAGUCACUCCGGAUAAAACUCGGGAAAAGAAACGAACCGGGUCAAAAUGUAAGAUUUAGCCUGAUCGACCCAAUCCAACCGAAACUCCACCUGGCAGUAUACCGUACUUCUACAGAUGACUGGAUUGUUUGUUUUAAUUUUAAAACUCAAGUCUUACAUUAUUGAGACCAUAAAAGAAAAAACUAAUGUUGAGACUCUCAAUUAUGAUCAACAACUUGAAAGGAGUGUAAUGUUUGACUAGUUAUUUUUGUUAGGUUUCUACCCAGCUACCAAUAGGCCUCACGAGCUUGGAAACUGACGACAGAGUCGGUACGUCGACAAUGGCCAGAGAAGCACAAAUAGGGUGAAUGUCCAAAACGAAACAGAGCAACCAAAACCCAACUAUACCAUGAACUCUUGCAUGGAGAGCACCCUUUUUUGUUCUUAUCCGUCAGAUUCGUACUCAAUAAUUUAUCAAACUCGAGUUUAUUAGUGGUUAAGACUUGAGCGGAGAUAUGAAACUGAUACUUUUUAUAAAACUCGGAGUUAUGCUAUGUAUUUUUUUAUCAUCUAAUACAAGGUAAUUUCUCAACCAAACAGAGACAUGGAGAAUAAAUUUAAAUUUUUUUGUUAAAUUAAAACUCACAAAGUAGGGAAUUUCUAAAAGUUGGGCAUGUAUUUUAGUUAGUUUAAUCCAAGUUAAACUCCAAUCUUGCUUUUUCAAGAAGCCUUUUGUGAGUGGCUGAGAUUCCCUUACUGACCCUAAGCUAAAGUCUAAUCCUAAUCCAGAUAAAUCCUGAAUCCCUUGCGCAUGGCAAAAAAUGGUAUGCUUUACGACUAUUUCCCAACCUGAAAAUCUUCAGCUUUUUCCCCCAAAGUUACACACCAAACAGUACCCUGCAAGCAACAUCAGUACUGCUACUACAAACCUUCAAAAGUACACAACAUGCCUACUUACCCAAAGUACCAUUUACCAACAUAAAGCUCCAUCCUUCCUUAAAAGCAUAUCUUCUUUACGUGUUGGAAGUCUGUGUCUUCUAUCUAGGGCCGGAAAUCGGGGCAGGUUCGGGUAUCGUUUUCAAAAAUUCUUAGACCCUGAACCACUUCUAGGGCAGAAAGUCGAGGUGAGUUCAGGUACGGUUUUCGAAAAUGUGUAACCCCCUCUCAAACCAUGAACUCAUUCAGACAUACGGGUAUUUAUCCAUAUAUUGGAAUAGUUAUUACGAAUUUGGAUUAAGGUAUUCGUCGAUACCUAACUUGAUCCAUCUGGCUUUUAAAUUUUAACAAAAGAAAGAACUAACCUACAUUUGAGUAGUAUAGUCCCGAAAAAUGAGUGAAUGGUAGUUGGUAUAUAUGGUACUUGUCUGUUACCGUAUUGACACGUUUUAUACGUCAUUUUAGGAUAGCAGUACCAUGUUUAAAGUUCGGCAUAUGUUAUAAAAUUUUAUAAAUUUAUAAUUUUAAAAAUGAAUAAAAGUUGAAGAGUUUAUUAAAAUAUCAAUUCUUAUCUUUAAAAUACGUGUUUUAUAUGUGAAGUAUCAAAUAAAUAUAAAACUAUUAAAUGGUUUUAUAAUAAUACAAGUACGGAAGUUUUAAAAGAAUUUAUUAAAUGAUAUUAAUUGGAUUUUUGCUAACUAACUAUUUCAUGGUUUUUUGGGUUUGGGUUUGCUUUCAUAGCUUGGUAAGUAAGGUUAGGUCGGAAAGAUAACCCGGAUCAAUGAGGUAAAUCCAAUCGGAUAGCGAGUGCCAUCGGAUAAGAAGAAGUAAGAAUCUUACACCAAAACCAGUUUGAGUUCAAGGUUGGAUUCGAGUAUACCCGAUACCAGUCGGGUAGAUUUCGAUCUUUAGAAAAACCCAACAGACCCACCAAGCUAAGAGUUCAAAAAUAACAGGAUAAGAAGAAUAAAAAACCAGAGACAGCAAGAACAGGGGAGGACUCUUAAUGUACAGUUUCAUAUCAUUACUAAACUAAAAAUUAAGUUUCUUGAUAAUCAUUACAAUUUGGUCAAAUGGACGAACCAGAUUUCCUUGAACACUUUGAUGAUAACAUCAUGAUACUCUUCCGAAUUUAGACACAAGUAACAAGCCAAAAGGUCUUCCAAAUCUUUGGACCUGCUAAUGUUAUUCUCCACAAUCAUCUCCACCAUCGACUCCAUGAAGUCCAGCUGUGGAUCCGACGACGAUUUCACCACCGCCAUACAUCCCGAAGAUGUCAGAGAACAGCUAGAGCUCAAGUUCGUCGAAGAACUCGAACUCGAACUCGAACUCGAGCUCGAGCUCAAGCUUUUUCUUCCUUGCUGCUGCGAUUGAACUCUCAUGUACCCGAUUCUGGGAGACUUGACCCGGAGCUUUAUCCCUGGAGAAUUCGUCGACGAAGAUUGCUUUCUUAUAAAUGAUGAUCCUUUUUGCUCUUUGCCGACAUUGAUGGACAGAGGUUUCUGAAUCGAGCUGCUCCUCUGUUUCUUUACACCUUCAAUGCUAUCGUCGAAGCUCGACGGCUUGGUCAAAAUGGGGACCAGAUCUCGUUGAGGCAUUUUAUCAUAAACAAUGUCGUUAGGGCAGCCGCAGGAAUUAUUGCUUGAUCUGGAGGACACCAUCUUAUCGAACGAAUCCGUCCUGAGCGAACAAUCCGACCUGAAUUCCGUAUCGGAUGCGGAAACAGAGCAAUCCGUAACCUCCGCCGGCAGCGGUGGAGGCGGUGUCAAGUCCGAUUUCGCCGUGGGUGGCCGGUGGUUGACGACGCGGCACGCGGGUGGCCAGUGGUUAACGACACGGCAACUGCAGCCGCCGGAAACAGAGAAGAAAACGAGGUCGGGAGAUGGCCUGACAGCGGCGGAUUUCUUCUUGGGUGGUAGUUGCCUGGACGAUUUCUUUCUGGGAGAAUUGGGGAGCUUUGGCUGUGCUGAUGAACUUGGUGGUGAUGAUUUGAGCUCUCUGGUAAAAUAAUAAGACUUCCUCGUUCCAGUCGGAGGAGGGGGAGGCGUGGGCUUACGAUGGCGGCGGGUUGUGUCGGAAGCAUUGGCGGCGGACGUUGGCGGCGGCCGUGUGUUUGAGGUUGUGGAACCAGGCGUUUGGGAUCAUGUCGGAGAAUCUAAACCGGAGAUUACCCAUAGGUGUGUGGUUGUUUGAGAGAGAGAGAGAGAGUGGUUUUGGGUUUUGGAUUUUGGUUGAAGGAAAUCAUAAAUAGAGAGACUGAGAGGGGAGUGAGUGGGGCAAAAAGAGUGACAGAGAAAGGAGAUGGUAAAGUAGUUUACCCACUAUGUCUAGGCUUCUUAAGAAAUGUCGAGACGGUCGCUAAUAAUAAUUCGGUAUACAGUUCGAAAAAAAUCGAUCAAAAUUUAGUUUGGGUUUCAAAUGAGCUAGUGGUAAACAAGUUGAGUUUGAGUUAGGUUUGUUUGAUGGUUCGAGUGAGUUUCAUGAGGUCAAUGAAAUUCCAUUGAAGAUUGUUAGCGGUUCAAUCGAUAUAGUUCGUAGGUGAUUUUGCUGAAUAACAAUUAAAUUAAAUUUAUGAUGAUGAAUGAUUUUGUUUUCUGAAAUGACUUUAUUUGAAGGGCCAAUUAAUUUGAAGUAAAUUUGUGAGGAAUUGCUAAUCAUCAUUGUUGUUUGUUGAGUCAUGGGAUCUAACUUUUAACUCAAUGAAAACAUCCAAAUCAUUGAAUUGGUAAUUAUUAUUUUGACCAAGGAUAAGGAAAGUAAUUUCUAUUUUCUACAUCCAACUUGGACAUUGAAUUUUUCCUCACUUACUUGGUAUAUGAUUAAAAAACAACAACAACAAAGUGAAUAGUGGUCAACCAAUGAAUUUUCAUCAAUUUUGGUUAAAAUUUAAAAAUAUUAUAGCUAACAUUAAAAAAGAGUAAUAUAUAUACAUAAGAUAUCACAACUAAGAGAACCAUGUGAUUUUGUGUAUUUAAUCAACGAAGCAUGUUUUAAAUUCGUUUCUAUCUAUAAUGUGAAGGAAUUUAAACAUGAAAUCUAUUUUCUAGAUUUGAUUCGGGUUUGUACAAUUUAAUAGGAUGUGACGACAAUUCGAACUGUACCCGAUUUCUUUAUAUCAAUCUUUUAAUACUUGGAAUCAAUAAACAUCCAAUGAUUAUGAUUAACUCACGUAAGCUUCAAUGUUAGCUUCCCCCACAAUCUGUAAAUAGAUAGGGGAAGUGUACCUCGAAUGUCUACACGCAGACAGAAACUUGGAGAACCUGAAUGUUACAGAACAAGCCACUCGAGUGUUUGUAUAUGAAAACUCAACAGAAAAGAAAAAUAUAAAAAUAAAUAAAUAGGAAAUGAAUAUUUUAUUCAUGAUAAGAUUCAUUUUCAUAUUCUGUUCAUCUAUAAGGUCAAAAUAACUGGAGAAAGAACAAAGCUCGAGCCCACUAAUAACUGUAUCUUCGUCGCGUUCACACUAUCUUUCUUAAAUGGUUACUCUCUGUGUUGGUCGUGGAAGCCCAAUCCCAAGCCCGGCCCAAAACAUAGCGUUUUGAUUUUUCUUCUUUUUCUAAUGGUUGGAAAUCGGUUCCGUUAUGGUCAACUACGUCCGAAAAAAUUGCCACGAAACAAAACAAUCCUAUUCUCUACGAUGACAUCUGAUUAUUUGGGUUUUCUCUCUUUCGGUGUAGAUGUGGUAAACGGUUACAACCUUCUGUAUAGAAUUUAUUUUCAAAAAUUAAUUUGUGAAAAAAAAACGUACAGAAAAAACCAUACUUCCAAACCAACGUCCACAAUAAAUCAUUCUAAUUAUCAUAAAAAAAAACCAACCCAAAAGGGUGGUGAGGAUGGGUGUUUGGGUGGGCUGAUAUUAAAUUAAUAUAAUUGAAUUGGGUAGACAUCGGAGCAUGUGGUUGAGAGGGGGGGGGGGGGGGGGGGGGGGGGGUGAGAGGGUGUUGUGGUGGUGGUGGGUGAGUGAGGUGUCGAGCGUGGAAUCUAAAAGGAUUUUGUCAGCGUGUACGUAAAUGACAUAUCACGACGUCUCUAAUUAGACCGAUCAUUUAAACAAAAUUCUGACGAUUUUUCACCGACGAUGAUUGUGCGGUCGCUAAAAAUAGUGAAUCCAUCGCCAUCCUUCAACAAUAUAUAAUGCAUGGCAGCGUGAAAAUUUAAUAUAUAAAAAAAUCAGCUGAAAAUUCCUUGUCUCUCACUUUCGACAACAGCAUAUAAACUAGAUACGACAGCUGCCACUCAGUCCGACCAGUCGCUAACGUAACAUUGGGAUAAUUUACCAGCUACGGUAUUUUUGUUUGGUUUGUUCCGUGGACUACGUGUAACGUACCUUAGGCUCAUCUUGAUGCAGUGAAUCACUUAAAUUCCACUUUCUUUGCCCAAGAAUGUGUUAAGUGUUAUGGGUUCUGCACAUUUCAAAAGUCAGCUCAACAUUUGAUUAUAACACAACACUCAACUCUUUUUUUUCUCCAAUGUGGAAUUAUCCAACAAUCUUUUUUUAAAUAUCGGUCAACCAGAAACCACAUGAUCACAAUCAGCUCCUUUGGUAGCUAAGCAUACCAGCUUUAAUCAAAUCACACAUUGAUAUCUUGGUAAAAGUUACCCAAUCUAUUACCAAUUCUAACUAAAUAACCAUAUGUCACUCAAUAAAUAUUAUUUAUCUACCUGUUUUAACAUAAUUUCACAUGAACUUUGAUUAUAUUAUAUAUUGAGUGUUAUUAAGCAUUUUUACUAUAAAAAAGUAACUUAAUAAAUAAGGUUUUUUCUCGUACCUAUAAGCAGUACACAACCCGGCCCACUUCUCGAUACUAGACAAAUGGACUAGGUAGAGAACCCCCAAGUUUUGUUUGGGAGCGUGGGGAUCACGAUAAAUUGACUACAUAAAUUAAGAAAUGAACCCAACAAAACUGAUUCAAUGUUAAUUAGCCAAAUUCAUGGUCCCCUUCAAGGUCUCAGUAAGUGUCGAGAUCAUCAAUUAGCAUUACGACAUGACUAUACGACGAGUUCCAAGUCCCCCCCCCCUCCCCUAAUACACCAAACUUAGUAUUUAAUUGUGGCCAUGUUUUGUCUCUAUACUAAGUGAAAAGUGUGACUCGCCAAAGGUAUACGCCAUUCUUCACUUAUUCCGAUAGCGAGAUGUAUGUUACGGUGAAAAUACCUUAUUUAUUAAUAGGCGGCAAGAUAGAUUUUAUUUUUGUCAAAUUAUUAGUGUAGGCGAUGUCUAACUACAUAGUUGUUAAUUGUUUGAUAAGUAAAUGGGAUAUGUAUGUUCUUGCGAUGAUGAUGAUGAUAUAUAAGUUGUCCUUUGAGUCGUGAUGGCUGCGAUUGUGAAGAUUCAUAUGAUGAGAAUACCUUAUUUGUUUCCAGUUUUUUAUUAUGAGAGAGUAAAUUCCAAGCAAGUCAAACAAGUUCAGCUUCCAAUAAUUAACAACAACUAGGUUGAUUAAUCAUUAGAAUUACUAGUUGGGAUGUGAUUGGAGUUGGAACAUGUUUUGUUCAUUGGGAGAAAAUAAAGUGUUCUCCGCAUUCUAGACAAGGCCCAGAUUUGGUCGUGAAGAAAGCCCAUCAUAGGAGGAUUGGCCCAGAUUAGUAACCCAAAUGGAUCCAUCUAAGCAAGGACUAUCGGGCCUAGCAUUUCAAUGACCAAGGCCCAUGAUGAGAUGUACGGAUACUCUUAUUCGUGAACUUGUAUGUAUUAGUAUCGUUGUUCAUGGGAGGUCAUUUCAGGCCUUUCCUCCAUAGUCCUACAACAGGCUGGAAGUUGGGCCACGACUGAGGCCCAUUUGACCAACCAAUGGUUGCAACUUCCGACCCAAAUUAAUUAGGAGAGAAAGCUUCUAGCUGUAUGAUGGAACUGGAAAAGAAAAAGAGAGCGAUUAUUAGUUUUUAUUAAAAGUUACAUAAUAAUUGCAUGAAUUUCUCUGCUGGAUGAUUGGAUCCGACGUGACAUUUUGUUCAACGAAUGAUUACUUAUACGUGGUAAAAAAGACUAAAACUCGAAUCAUUUUGAUGGACAAUUAGCUAAUUAAUUAGGUUCUUCAAGUUGCGUUACAUUUAGAUUAGUAUGCAUUGCUAUUUGGUAGCUACUAUGAUUGAUUAAGUAACUUGCGAGGGAUGCACAGUGGCAGAUCAUCAUGCUCUAUAUAGCUAAUAGAGCCGCCGCUUAUUCUACAUUACAUCUAGAUUAUCGCACGUUACGAGUACUCCUCACUUACUUUUUAAAUAGAUACAAUGGUUCUCCUACAUUUCAGUCUGGCUAGCUAAUUGAUUUGAUCAAGUGUGUUGGAAUUGGCCAUUAUGUCAUUGAUCAACAUGUCUCCAUAUAAAAUUCGAGGCACAAAUAUCUUUUUUCGGCCACUGAUCGAAUGCUUGACCUUAGGUCCAACACCGCCAGUUGUGGCAAUGUUAUGGGUUUUUGAGUCGUAUUGUUCCAUCAUACAUGCUUUAUUUUCGAUUUUAAUUUCUUGAGUCCGAUGUCUACGAAAGCGGUCUGGGCUGCCUGCUCUACCGUUUCGGCUCAUUCUAGAUUACACGUUUAGCUCUUGUAUUUUAAAAAGAAGAAUUUAGAUGGCAUUACACCCUUUUAAUGAGAACACAGCCGUUAAGUAGUAGAAAAAAAUACCCAGUUGCAUUCUGGACCUACUGCUUUAAAGUUUCAAAUUCUUGUGGUCGUAAGUUGCCCAUUAAAGUAGAGUUAAAGCAUAUAUAUACUGCUGUGUUUCAAAGAAAAAAUGAUAUUACUUGAGGGGAAAUUUCAUGAGUAUCUUCCUAUUUGGUCCCAUGACUUUGUAAAAUGAAACUAAUAACCUUUGUACAUUAUUUAUAAUAAUGUAAUUGUGUAAUAAAUCUAUUUUCAAAACAAAUCAUUGUCUGCGAUUAUUCACCUACAAGUUUUAGAGGGUCACUUUGACAACUUGAAAAACGAAAUAAGAAAGAGAUUUUACUUUGAAAUUUACUAACUCAAUCGAACAAUAAGGAGAGUACUCAUCGAACAGAUACGGCUUUUAUACACAAAUCAUGAGUGUGUGUAUUGUCUUUACCUCAAAUGUGUUUCAAGAAGUACCCGUGUGCAUGUAAAUACGAGGCAAAUAUAUCAUACAAAAAAAAGUUCUCGGAAAAUUAAGAUUCCAAUAACAAAAAUUUAAAACAUGAUCUGAAAAAAAUGAAGAAAUUUGAACCCAUAAUUCUCAUAUGUUGAACUCUAGAACCAACUACCAAACGGAAAAGGACUAAAUCGUGUACCCCUUUAAAUAUCCCAGUAAAGGCCGCGUUAAGAAGAAGAAACAAAAACCAGAACGCGUAUCCUCCAAUUUUGGUAUCACAGUAAAACCACCAAACCCAAAUUCCAUCUACUUUUCCUUUUGGGUUUUCAAAUUCCUUCUCUUCCAAAAUUUCUCAUGAGUUAUGACUCCAUUAUGCCAGACGACUCACCCGCCGCCGGUCCCCUGUUCGGAAAAUACGAGGUGGGUAAGCUCCUGGGCUGCGGCGCAUUCGCCAAAGUGUACCACGCGCGAAACGUUGAUACAGGGCAGAGCGUGGCGAUCAAAAUCGUCAGCAAGCGCAAAAUCCAGAAAGCAGGGAUGACUGCGGCGAAUGUCAAGAGGGAGAUCUCUAUCAUGCGCCGGCUGCGCCACCCCAAUAUCGUGCGCCUGUUCGAAGUCCUCGCUACCAAGACCAAAAUCUACUUCGUGAUGGAGUACGCCAAAGGAGGCGAGCUCUUUGUCAAAAUUUCCAAAGGACGGUUCUCGGAAGAUCUCAGCCGUAAAUACUUCCAGCAGCUGAUCACGGCCGUCGGCUACUGUCACGCGAGAGGCGUGUUCCAUCGGGAUUUGAAGCCGGAGAAUUUGUUGCUCGACGACCGAAUGAACCUCAAAGUCUCCGACUUCGGCCUCAGCGCCACCACCACCGUUGGAUUGUCAUCAACAGACGGUGGGGAGCUGUUGCAUACUUUGUGUGGGACCCCUGCGUACGUGGCGCCCGAAAUUCUCGGGAAGAAGGGGUACAACGGUGCCAAGGUGGACGUCUGGUCAUGCGGAGUCGUCCUGUUCGUCCUCGUCGCUGGUUACCUUCCGUUCAACGACGCAAACCUCAUGGCGAUGUACAAGAAGAUCUACAGAGGAGAAUUCCGCUGCCCGAAGUGGACGUCACCGGAGCUGCGACGACUGCUCUUCCGUCUCCUGGAUUCAAAUCCAGAGACGAGGAUCACGAUCGACGAGAUCCUCGGCGACGAUUGGUUCAAGAAGGGUGGUUACAAGGAGGUGAAGAAUUCCCCCGCGGCGGGGGAUUUCGAUUUCAAGAGCAGGAUGAUAGAAGAGCAGAGUCUUAACGCGUUCGAUUUGAUAUCUUUCUCAUCGGGAUUCGAUCUCUCCGGCCUCUUCGACAAGUCAGGGAUCGAGCGGUUCGUAUCGACGGAGUCGCCGGGGCGGAUCGUACAGGGAGUGGAAGAGGCAGCUAAAGUGGAGAAUUUGACGGUGACGGAGAAUAAGAAAUCAGGGAUGAAACUGGAAGGGCGGGACGGUAAUUUCGUGAUGCUGCUGGAAAUUUACCGUUUGAGUGAUGAGCUGGUGGUUUUCGAAGUGAGGGAGAAAGAAGUAAAUGUACUACCCGGCUGUGAAAUAUGGAAGUAUAAGCUCCGGCCGCAUCUCCGCCGAUUAGCCGGAACCGCUGACGACGCCGUUUGACGACGGCAGAGAGAGAGAGAGGAAUAAUUAAUAUUUAAUCAAUUAAAUGCUAAUUGGUUUUGGUAUUUAUUAUGUGUUUUAAUGACUGAAAUUCCAGUCCGGCUAAUUAACUAGUGAUUAUGUAAAUUCCAGUCCGGCUAUUUAGUUGGGGAGAGGAAAAUGUUUUCUGAAUAUGAGGAAUUAAAUUAUUUCGCAACAGACGGGUAUGUGUUUACUUUGCAUGAAUUUGGUGUCGAUGGGGAUUGGUGGACUUUCUGAAACUGUAGUUCUGAUUUUGCACGUAACGUGUUCGACGAAUUGCCUGAAAGAGAAAGGCAUUAUGCUGGCAAAAUAGCUGCUGCCGACAUUGAAAUGAAUUCGUUGGCGGUGAGAUACCAGUACAAACGGUAAAUUCUUAAAUUCUUUUUUACUAAUUAUGUAUAUGUUGCCAUUCCAGCUCAAAAUCUCCAGUUAAAAGGAAUUCUUCCAAACUCUUCUUCAUGAUUUUCUCUCAAUUCAGUAAAGUCUAACUGCUCAGACUCCUAUCUUCAACCCAACUGAAAUACGGACUAUGUCGAAGACUUCCUAUGACGUCCAUGUGUUCUCUUCAACUGAAUACAUUAUAUAACAAUAGCGAAUAACUCCGGUUAUCCAUGGGGUAGCUAGGCAUCCAUGCCUAGUAGUUGUGUACAAUUUGUCAUUGAAUUGGUGCACCGUACAAUCCAACUGUAAGAGCUAGGCAUUAUUGGGGAGAAUGUCCGAUUGUAUCUGACCUGCACAUGUGAUGAUCACAUACUCGAUCGUACAAUCAAAACUUUAGUGAAAACGAUAACAAAUGUACGAAUUGGUCCAAAUUAUCCAUCUCACAUGGAGUAGUAGUUUGGAACAAAUUGUAUGGCAUAAUAAUUUCAAAACUGUGAAUGAACGUGCAUCGUACAACCCAAGUGCAGAAAAACAAACAUGCUAAUGUUGGUUAAAAUAUGAUAUUGUUUCAAACACGAGCAUUGCCCGGUUUUAUCAACAAGACCAUCGUACGCUAAGCUCAACAUUUAUUAUUUUGAUAAGCGAUAUAAAAUAAGCUCAACAUUUAUGAACUUACCGUUAGUUUUGGUGGAUGAAAAGUUGAAAGUGAUUUCGCACAUUUUUCAAACCGGGGUGGAAAAAGUUAGAUCGCCCAACGAAAUGAUAGCAAAAAGUGAUUUUCUCCAUCACCAUCUAAAUUUUUCAUUAAAAUAGGGUUGUUAACUUUGUCAAUAUUGCGGAUUGAAUUCUUCUUUAAAAUCAUGGUUAUUCAACUAAGAUUUAAGGCGAUUUGUAUGUCGAACCACAUAAUUUUUGACAUAUAAAUGAAAUGUUUCGGUACAGUUUUGAAAAAGAAUGUGGUCUGCGUAGACAAAAUGAGAAGAAUGCAAUUAGAUAAUUUAGAAUGAUUGAUAGGUAAGUGCAAGUCAUUAUCAAGCAGGCAUUACACUUAAACUACAGCCCACUUAUCUGCAAUUCCAGCAGCCCCCACUUCGAUCUGAAUAAUAAUAAUCAAAAUCCAGCACAUGCAUGAAACAAUUACGACCGUCGGCCAUCCAAAUUGUUUAUUAAAACGUCGAUUUUGCACCCACGAUAUCACAUGCAUCAUAGAAAGCUGCAGACGAAGCUUCUGAAUUGAUUAAUUAACCAGGCUGUAUUUACUGCCGCAUUUUAAAGUUGAUAUCCGACCUUAAUACUCGAAGAAUUAACUGACUUCGCGUCCUUACUCUUCUCAAGAAAACGAAACCACGUCAAAAGACAAAUGCCUCAAUGACGACCGACACUACCCGACCUACAAUUCCAGCAGCCACCACUUCAAUCUGAAUAACAAUAAGCCCAUGCCGUACUGAAGCACAAGCCCAAGUACUUUGGCCCAUCUGAUUUGGAGCACCAAGUCCAUCAGUACAGCGUAAUCUGAAGCACUUCAGUAGUUCCAAUUUCAGGACAAUCGAACGAUGGAUGAAAAUGUCAUUAAUCGAUACCGAAUAUCGGCAGAGUACAUUUUUCGAUCUAAACACCUCUAAAGAUGAAAAGAUAAAUCGAACAAUGGUUUUAUCAGUCAAACAGAAUGGUCAUCAUUCAUCAGCUUCUGCCAGGUUCAAUGGUUUUAUCUGAGCCGCGAUAUCUGACAACACACUCGAAACAGGAAGCUGCUGCUGCUGCUGUUCUCCUUGCCAACUCCACACGAUAUCCUUCAACGAAGGCCGAAUCUCUUCCUUCACCACUUUCCGAUACUCCAUCGUAUCCCCACUGCACUUCUUCAUCUCCACCAAAUGGAAGCACGGACUUAUCUCGAAAAUCUCAGCUUCUAUCCCAAUCACACCUUUCCUCCCUUCCCUCGCACCUUCCAAUCUCAUCAGCCCUCCUUCCUUCUUCUUCACCCUCAGGUUUAGUCGCUUCGCCACCUCCUCGACUCUCGAGAUAAUCGUAGAAGCCGCCCUGUUCGAAGUAAACGUCACCUCUUUCUUCUCCCCCUUCUCCUCGAACAGCCCCGACAAAUCGAAUCCAGACGAAUACGAAAUUAUAUCGAACGCGUUCAGGUUACUACAUCGCUUCGAAUUUUGAUUCGAUUCGUCUGUCUCGGGCAAAUCAGUCGUCUGCUUGUUCGGCUCGAAUAGGCCCUUUUGAAACCACGAGUUCUGCAUUAUCCUGGCAAUAGUAAUCCUCUUGCUCGGAUUCGGAUCCAUGAUUUUCGACAGAAACCUCCGAACCUCGUACGAGAACCAGUUCGGAAUCUUGAACUCUCCCUUCAUUAUCUUCCUAUAAAGCUCCAUUAGAUUCGAGUCAUGAAACGGCAAAUAACCAGCAAGCAGAACAUACAAGAUAACUCCACAAGACCAAAUAUCGGCUUUCGAUCCAUCGUAUCCUUUUCGAACGAUAACUUCCGGAGCGACAUAGGCAGGAGUUCCACACGUGGUGUGGAGCAAUCCAUCUUGCCUCUUGCAAUCAGCAAGAGCGCUGAGUCCGAAAUCCGUAACCUUCAAAUUCUCGUGUUCAUCCAGAAGCAGAUUCUCCGGCUUCAGAUCGCGGUGGCUAACCCCGCGGCUAUGGCAGUAAUCGACUGCGCUGAUCAGCUGUUGGAAGUACUUUCUCGCAACGUCUGGUUUCACUUUCCCCUUGGCGACUCUGUUGAAGAGCUCGCCGCCUUUGACAUACUCCAUGACAAAGUAAAUCUUCGUCUUGGUUGCCAGAACCUCGUAAAGCUCCACCACGUUCGGAUGGCGGAUUAGUCUCAUUAUCGAAAUCUCCCGCUUGAUCUGGUCCAUCAUUCCGACUUUCAACACUUUCUCCUUAUCAAUGAUCUUGAUAGCCACACUUGUACCAUUCUCAAGAUUCCUAGCGUAGUGAACCUUGGCAAAGGUCCCUUGACCUAACAACCUCCCAAUCUCAUACUUGUUCAUCAACACGCAUCCCUUCUGCUCCAUUUUGCUCGAUUUCAAAAAAACUGAUUCAAAACUCUCGAAUUUUAAACUGAUGAAUCCAGAUUAUACCUCAAUCAACCACCUUCGCAAACACCAUCGUUCUGCAGCAGGAGAUACAAGCCUCCUUUAGUCAAUCUACAAGCGAGCAUUCCAUUACACGGAACAAAGAAUCGAAAUCGAGUCAAAUAAACAUCGACGUUGAGCUCGGAUUUGUUGUGGAAAUCAGCUAGACAGCACAUCUUUCAGCAUUCCCUUCGUCUUUGUUGAUUUUUCCAAUACAAUCAAUCAAAUCACCUGAGUUCACAAACAAAAUUGUAUAAACACAGAAUUCCACCAACCAAACAGAAAUCGCCGGAAACAAGAAUAGUUCGACGAAUCGGAAUACGAUCGGAGAUUUACAUACCUGGGGAAGUUUAGCGGCGGAGUGAACGAAGAGAUGAAUCGUGAAAACCCUAGAGAGAAGUUGGAAAUCCAAGCUCCGGAAAGCUGGAAGAAUUGAUGAAUGGUUUCACUGAAUUGACAGAGUGAAAACGGCUAAUUGGUUUGCUUAUUUAUAUUGGCGGAUCUUUAAAGAAUGUGCCGUUUCGGUAAAAUGACAGCCUAUCAUUAUUUCAUUACUUUUCUUUUUUGUGCUACAUUUAAUUAUUUUAGUAUUACCAUUUUUUUGGUAAGCAAAUGAUUUUAUACAUAAUUUGACUUGUUAUUAAGAAAAUUGUAUUAGGAAAUUAAGGUAAUUAUUUUUUCUUUAUUUAUAGAUUUAUAAUUUGGUAACUUGAGAGAGAGAUUCUGAAUAAACAACAUAAUAAAACAUUAAGAGAAUCAAAUAUAUAUAUACCAACCUUGGUCGUAGAAAUGGGUGUUUAGGAUUAGAAAAACACAAAAAUGGAUUUGAUGGAAACCAAACCAUUACAGCGGCAGACAAAGGUUUGGCUGCAUGGAACCUGCCAGACAACUUGUCCACACUUAAUAUAUGUUUUGCUGUUACAGUAACACAACACAUAAAACGUGUCCUUUUAUGCAUUUCAACUUUUCAAGUACGUAGUCAAAUUGGUAGGAAGAAAUUGCUGGGAAAUGAUACCACCACCACUACCCAUUUGAGUUUGAUUAACAAAAUAGAAUUCAACACUUCACAACACAAGUGUAUUACGAAACUCAGACGGUUAAUUGGCUGCUCAUGUUGGUGUCACAAUUCACAUUUAUAUUUUCAUGUCACGAUGGGUAUGGAAAUGUGUGCUUAUGUAGAUGUGUAUGCAUUGAUCACGAUAUACACAUGUGUUUAUGGUGGUGGCAUUUAGUUUAGUCGCACGUGGUUGAUACUCAUUAUUCAAAGAACUUACGGAAUUAGAGUUCACGACAGUUAACUGACUAUUCAAGUUGGUGUCACAAUUGUAAGGAUUUUCGAUUUAUAAACGGUAUAUGCAUAUGUGCUUAUGUAGAUGUGUAUGCAUUGAUCGCGUUAUACAUGUGUUUAGACCAUACACAGACAUAUUUUUGACGAGAUAAGAAGAUAUUCGAUUUGUUUGUACGUAAUUCAUAUUCGAUAUUAAGUGAACUUCAUGUAACAUGAAAUGAUUCAUUGUUUAAACAAUUAAAGUAGGUACGCAUAAAGCGAACAAAUCAUUGUAUAAAUUAAUCUUCAUUUAUACAAACAAAUGCAAAUUAAACUAUUUAAUAAUCAACAACUUUUAAUUAUUUUGGGGUUUUCUAUUGAAUUAUUUUUCACCAACUUUCAAUACCAAGCCAAAAUGGCUGCACUAAUACCACCAAAGACGUUACUACUUUUUUAAUAAUAAUAAUAAGAUUCUGACACGUGUCAGUAAAGUAAGGGUUCGCACGAGGAGUGGCCAGCUAGGACCAAAGUGACAUUUCACGUUUUAGUUUGCGAGCAGAUUACUUGCUUGCACUUCUGUAUGACCUGGCGUUACAUGCCAUUUGUUGAUCAUACACGUGGCACCAAUCAGCAUCAAUCCUGCCACGAUAGCAGGAUCAAAUUAUUUUCAAAUACAAUUCAAUCAUGCAUUUCUAUGAUGGUUCACCCCUGAAUUAACCAAUGACUUCUAAUUCAGAACAGAGCAUCUAAAUCAUCAAUCCAAAAUCCCGAUCAUCGAUAGAUUAUUAUACAUCAACAAAAUCACAAAGGAUUCAUUAAAUUUUGACGAGAAAUAGAAAUUAUGAUUACUUAAUGGAAGAGAGAAUAAUAAUACAAAUGAUAAAUGCAUCAAGGUAGUGAGUGGAAAACUUGAUUUCCUUCACCUCGUAACUUAAAAUUCUCACUUCCAUUGUGUUUUGGCACUUAUAUAUCCCGACCUGGCUUGGAUCCCACCGCUAGACCUUAAGCAAUCACAUAACAUUUUCUUUUAUGUGCCUAAUUUGCAUAUUUUUUCAUCUCAAAUUCGACAUGGUCAAUAAUCUUAUUCCGCAAAUUUUCUUAUAUCAGCGAGACGAAAAAAGCCAUAAAUCACAUCAGUAACCCUCACAAAUUUUCAACAAAUACAAAGCAUCACGGGAAAGAAAGCAAGCAUGUGCAGCUAAUCACAAUGGCUUUUGUAAUCAAUUUGCUAUACAACCUGAACUUCCAACUUGGCCAGCACUUCAGAAACAGUGUCAUGGCAGGUUCCUCGGGUGUUUUCUUGAUCCUUGGAGGCAAUGGUUGCACCCUCGUUACAAAAGCUAAUCUUUCGGCACAAUUCAUCCGGCCGAAUAGCAUAAACUUUCGAGAAGAAGAGAGGAACCUAAUAGUCCACCACACUAAGGCACUGCAAAAAAAAAAGGGACAACGACGGCGGAAUCAGAGGAUCAGGCUUCAAUAAUAUCUUCCUCCCCAGAGUAUUGCUUCCCUUCUGUUCCCAUUAUACUUAUAAUUAAAGCUUGAAGAUGUUUGUCAUUACUGUACCAAGCAUUUCACAGUGAGAUAUGAUGCUCAUAACAAACAUUGUGAAAUGCACGAUACCCAAAUCACAAACAUUAUUCAAGAUUUCAUCAUUAGUAUAAUAGGAUUCCUAUGAUAGGAAGGUUGAUCGGCCGAUUCCUCGAAGCUGAAAACACCGCUGUACAAGAGGAUCGGGAGGAAGAGUAUUAUGAUUGCUGCCGCUUUAUGUUGUUAGGUACUACUCCGGAGUAAUUCAGUACAUUUUCAGUGUUUAGUAAACGUAUCUCGUUUCUCCAGCAAGGAAGAGAGCUUCUUCCGAUAAGAGUUCAUUACAGUAGCAUGUAAAGACCAAGCCACAUCCAAAUACAUGUUUAAAAAACCUGUAUUCAGAUGUCGCAUGGUCUAUACAUACUGUUAUGCGCUGCUUCUGUUUUACAAGUAGUUCCUGAAAUGUGUGCAGCAUAUUAUUAAAGACAGCGCAGCGAAUAUACAUUGGAGAUAAGUAGGAAACUAAGCAAACAAUGGCAGAUAUCAACUUCAAAUAAAGACAUGCACACAUUCAAGUUUAUGAAUAUAGACUUUCGACCAGAUAGAACUUCGUAGCUCAGUGAACAGGAACCCAAACUUGUAGAUGAUCAUAGCAAUGCUCGCGUUCAGAAUCACAGGUAUGAACACAAAAUUCCACCGCAAAACAGCAAACAAAAUUGCAUAAACACAAAAUUUCACCACCAAACAGAAAUCGCCCGAAACAAGAAUAGUUCGACGAAUCGGAACACGGUCAGAGCCGUGUGUAGGUGAGAGGUACCAAGAUAACUAAGUGCCUCACGUGCCACUAAAUGGGUGGCACAGUUAUCUUGACGUCGAAUGCGAUGAAGAGAAACUCGAGGGAGUGAUUGGUAGAGGGUACGCCAUUCAGAAAGGAUCUGUCCUACUGGAAUAUAUGGGGAUGCCGGAUGCCGAAGUAAUGAAGAGGGAGGAAGGUCGUUCGAAGAGGUGUGAUUGUCGUGUUCAGUCCACUGCAUCUGAAAUUGUUGUUGUAAUGAACUGAUCGAAAAACGAAUUAGGAAAUAGAUUAGGAAAUGAAGGUAAUUAAUUAGAACUGUGAGUAUAACUGCAAAUUUCACAGUUAAACUGCGGCACAUUUGGGCAAAUGUCACAUUGAAUUUUACAUAUACCAACACCCGAAAUCAAUGUCUAUAAACAGUGGGAAAUACAAACCCUCGAGUGAAGGAACGUAUAAUAACAACAAACUUUACAAAACCCCCUUGAUUUUUACAAGUCUUCAGGAUUCAGCCACGCCAGACGGUGAAGCGACCUUGUUGCAAGCGUGUAGAACAGCGCAUAUGUCGGUUUUCUCCAGGAACUGUUCUGCAUUUGUAAGGACCAAAGGACCGUACUCGAAUACGAUCUUCUUGCACUGCCAAGAACAUCAAAGCCAAAGGGUUCAAUACUUCAAUAUAAAGUGAACAGUAUCACCUUAUUCCAAGACCAUUAAAACAUCGUGGGAGUGUUCGUAAGGAGACAUGAUCAAACUAGAACAAGAUUGAAAAACAGCAAUGAGAAAGACAAAAACGAGAUUGGGAAUCUUAGUUACUAGAGCUUCCAUGAAUUGGUUCAUACCUGUGCUUUACGACUAUCCAACGAAUUGCAGCCCGUCAAGAGCAGCUCGAUUAUCUCCAACUGUUGUCAAAAAGCAAGAAAGAAUAAAUUCAAUGACAUUCGAUUCUGUUAUCAACUCUUUAUAGAACUUGCAGCUCGGUACAGAUCGCACCUGAAUUUCGGGAUCUUUCAACUUGGCCAGCACUUCAGAAACAGUGUCAUGGCAGAUUCCACAUGUGUUUUCUUGAACUUUGGAGGCAAUGGUUGUUGCAGCCUCGUGACAAAAGCUAAUCUUUCGGCACAAAUCAUCCGGUCGAAUAGCAGAAACUUGCGAGAAGAAGAGAGGAACAUAAUAGUCCACCACACUAAGGCACUGCAAAUAAAAGAAGACAAUAAUAAGCUCACCAAAAAACUUCUGAAACCGCAAAUCAAAAGUUUCAUUAUCUUUAUCUAAAAUAACCAAAUCAUACCUCUUUCUUCAUGUAAGGGACGUAAGAACACGUUUUGUGAAGGAACUCGACAAUCUCGGUCCGAGUUUCGUUAUCCUUAAGGUAUCUAAGAGCCUGACGACUAAACUGCUGGCAGAAUGUGCACAUUUGGUCCUCCAUAGCCAUUUCAGAAGCAGGAAUUCCACUUCCUGGCCCCUGAUUUUCCCCUAUCACACGCGCAAAAUCAAACAAGUGUUCACAAAUAGAUGAGAUGGUCAAUUUCUGCAAUAAGCAGCGUAUAAUUCUGCCAUCUAAGAGCAGUAAAGGAUUAUCCAUGAAUCGGACUAAGCAGUCGGCGUAUUUUCGAAAUUUACAGCUUCAGUACUUCAAAAACCCUUAAUUCUCAAAUCACGGCAACUAAUGCGAAGCAGACGACCAAAACCUAGCUGGCAGAGAAAUCGAACCGGAGAAUAGCGAUAAGCUCACCUGAGAUUCUCAAAAUCACAUCGCCGGUGGUGGAGAUUACUCUGGCGUGGCAACUCCAGCUACCAGCAGCUAACACAAGGAGAAGAAAUAGCGCAGCUCUCGGAUCCAUGGAUUGCGAAGCUUGGAACAAACCUGAAGCUAAGAAUCCAAGAAUGAAGGAAGAAUAAGGAAAUACAGGAAAUCAAUUUGGGAACAAAUUGGUUGAGAGAAACACCUAACUAGGAGCUUCGGAUCGAAUUGAGUGCUGUGGGAUUGCUUGGGUGAUGAGCUUAAGCAAAAAUCCUGAAAAAGGAAUGGCGGAUUAAAGGCAGGUGAGGCUUGAGCUUGACAGUUAAAUUGGCUUUUUCUUUUGCCAUCGUGUUUCGUAUUGGGUAAAGGGUAUUAAAGAAGUAGCGAAUAUCGGAACCAGACAUAUCACUAUUCGAACAAUUUCGACCGUGUUAAACUUCAGCCAUGCUCUAGGGACAUGCCUCACGUUUCACAUGUUUUGUGAUGCAACUUUAUCCCUCCAAUUUAAGUCGUUGAAUGUUUCAAAUGAGUGGUUCCAUAAAGUGGCACGAACAAUUGUCUUACUCUAAUAAUUCGAUAUUGACUCAAUUCGUGAACAAUACGUAACUCAAUUUUAUGUUUUAAAACCAAUCAUAAACACAAAAGUAUACAAUGACAACAUUAACAGUUGGAACCGUUUAGACAUAAAUGGAAUGAAUACGACAGAGGGAAUAUCGAUCAAAUAUUCGGCUCCGAGUCGAAACGUUGCUAAGUUUAAUUGUCUUUGCAUUAGUGAUCGAUUGAAGAAUCUCAUCAUGACUGCAACCGCCAUGGUAAUUCAGUUAGGCCGUUAUUAAGAAUAAGCUAACAUCAAGACUGGUUUAAUUUGCUGAACCAGUGGCUAUAAGCUCACACUGAGAAUGUUCGUUGAAAGUCGUAUUAAUUAAUAUGCCGUAGAUAUGGAAAAUCAGAGGAUAUAAUCAAUAUCACACAGCAACUAUUUUCGAACAUCUACGAGAAUACUAGAAGUUUGGAACUUAAUAAUGGAGAAGCUCGAUUGAACAAACACAAAAUGGAGAAUGAGUGAGUUACUUAGUGAGCUACGACAGUCGGGUAUUGUGUGAAGCUAAAGCAGCCGGUUGAUACGAUGAUGGAAUCAUAAGCAUAUUCCCAAUAGCAAGUACUGCAAGUAAAAAUGUAGGUGACGACUGACGAGAAGCACUUAACUGGUUCAAAUCGCUUUUCGAGUUAACGAACAUUGGCGGGACUUCAAAAACCCACACCACAAACAAGGCUAGCGACAGCAGGAGAGCAAAAACAAACAUAAACAAAAGGAGGACCAGAAUCAUUCCUCAGACGGAAAACGGAUCGGAACCUUGAAUCUGACAGAGGCCUUCAACUCAACAUAAUGCUUGGAAAGUUCUAAUUUCGGUUUUCCGGCCAUUAACCAUUCCUGCAAAUGUCGGAGCAUGCAAAAUUGAACAAUGGAACAACUAACUAAGAUUUCCCCUUAUGAUUUGCUGGAACAACUCUAUUCAUUUGACAGAUCGCUCCAGCAGCUUGGCUUCUGCCUCUAUCGAUCAGACGGUCAAUUGGCUACACAACACUCCAUUCGUUUCGAAACAAAAGAACCUUGCAUCUCGUACGAUUAAAUGGCAAACCAUGAUGCUUAAUUUGACCACACAGUAUAGGCUUUAAAUAUUCGUUCUGUUUCCACAGAGACUUGCAAACACGAGACAAAUGUAGACAGAGUUACAGAUACAGUAAAUUAAGAAAAUAAUGAAACCGGCUAAUCAGAUUGCCACUUAUCAGCCUCUUCAUACCAAGAGGUGAUAUAUAUUAGAAUAAAUACCCAUUGUAGAAGGAGACAUAUUGGAAUUGUCUUUAGCUGCUGCUGCUGCUUCUUCUUCUGCUUCUUCUUCUUCUUCAUCUCCGUCUUCUUCUUUAGGAGAUCCUCCAAGAAAAUAGUUAACCUUUUGAUUAGGUACGUCGCCAGAAAAAAUUUCGCCAUACCUCAAAUUCAAAGAUUUCAUUCUUUUAAAGGGGGUAUUGCUCCGAGUUAACAAUCCAAAUCAACAACUAUAUAUGGAGCAGAAGAUCAUAAAACAAAACAUGUUAGGGCUGAAAAUGAGAUAGAAAAAUGCAAUAUCAACCAUUUAACAUGAAAGAAAAGAAAAACAUAUCUCAAGGUUUUCAACAUACAGAUCCAGAACUUGUACAUCAUGCAGAAUCUUGAACAAGUUCACACACUGCUUGACCACUCCUAAUUGCUUGUCGGCAACAUUGUCACUAACUAGAGCAAAAUCUGUUGCGAAACACAUGGCCGUAACCAAGCGACUAUGUUUGCAUGAUUAAGGGAAGGAAGAUUCGAGUUGGACACGUCUUCUAUUUUACAUAAAUCACCAAUUUAAGAGUGAAAGAUUGGAGCUUGGGAGCGACUAUUUCAAGACUGGUGAACUGAAAUGAAUCAAUCUCAAAGUUAAGCAGUUUGGGUCCAAUUAAUUUCAGAACACUAGUACUCGUGCCCAUAUGAGGACUACAAUUGAUCAGCUUCAGGCUCUCUAAUCUGGGCAAAUGGCCAAAGGCAUCAUCACCCAAAUUAAGGCUGCAUUAAGUCAGAGUAAGAGAUUCAAGGAUUUGCAAACAAGACCACAAUUCACCAUAAGCCUCUUUCAAAAUAGUCGAGUCCAACUCCCGAACUUUCAGGAACCGAUGACAGGUGUAUAAUGAUCCAAAAAGAUCCUGAAAUUUGCCAUAGGUAAUACGAAUGAAUAGCUCUUGAACGCCAUGGGAAGCAGCGUAUUUAGCGAUCCUAUCCAACAUGUCUAUCCUUUGAUCUCGGGGUGUUACCGAGAAGUCGACUGCAACCCCGAUGAUGCUACUACUAUCGGAGCGGAGGGAUAGAACUCGGUCCGUGUGCUGCUCAAAACUCCGGUCAGAACGGAAGGAGUAGGAUUUGAAAAUGAGAACAUUAACAUAUUUCCAUACGGAUGUCCACCUCCUAGACAAAAUACAGGUUUGAACCAAAGAUUUGGUGUGAGGAAGCCUAGAAUGUGAUGCAAAAUAUCGUUAGGAAAAUCACUCAGUCUAUCAAUUGAUUCAAUUCUUCUGUCCUGAAUCAUCAUCGUCGACAUCUUUCUUCUUUUAUGCAGCAAAUGUAGAUAAUGAAUCAAAAGCCUUUUCCUUGCAGCGUUCGGAUCCGCCUCAGAGAAACCGCUGGUGACGUUGUUGUGAUGCAAAAUAUCGUUAAGAAGAGCAGUCAGUCUGCCCGUUCCUUCCAUUAUCUUGCUUCUUCUCAGGUCCAUGGAUGCGGCAAAAAGAGUUGAAAACCCAAAAUUAAAAGCAAAGAUUAGAUCCCUUUAGUUAGUAAUCAAUUUGUGAUAAUGAUUCGAUUUACCUUGCAGUGGAAUCAAAAGCUUUUCACUACAAAGUUGCGAUCCUCAGAGAAACCACUGCUGGUGUUGUUUGGUCGGUAGCCGAAGUAAGAUUUUGCAAAAAACAGACCAAAUUUGUACAUGACUUCCAAACUCAAUCAUCGUCCAAGUUUUGCCGUCUUUUCCCACCUUCGACGGCAGCAGCCUUAGUACAAAUCCGAACCUUCUUUGUCUUGAUUUUGCUCCCUGGCUCGGUUAUUGCUGGGAAUUUCGAAUCUGGGUCUGAUUGAGAAUACAAAACAGGAACCUAUAAUUACCAACUCAAGAUAGAUUUUCAUUUUCAGAUUAGUGGAGUCUGGCAAAUGACUAAUAAAUUGCCGCUAGCAACUUAUUUAAGGAUAUAUCUCAUCUUCACCAAUCUUCAUACAAUCAUCAAAUUGAUACAUACAUUAGAAAUAAUUAUAUCAACUAAACAAAAAAAAAUGAUAUUAAGCACGUUAUAGUAAAUCCGCCAUGGCCAUACAAUUAAUCCCAUCGAUCAUAUAUUUAGUUACACCAUAUUUGUGCACUGGUAAACGAAACAUGUCUUUUACAAUAGUUGGAUUUCAAAAUGGUUUUGGUGAAACUGACAUAUUUAUUUCAACCAUGUGUCCAUGUCUAUGUAACCAGCAAUCAUGUUUGUUUGUACAUGUAGGUUUAUAAUAGUAUGGGGGAGUAUGAAAUAGAGAGCCAUGACUUGGAAAGACCAAAACUGGUCUGGGAAAAUCCAAGUCAGACCCACAUUAAUGAAAUUGUGCUGAAAUUCCGUGUCCACCAAUUCUGGUUACCAAUUUGAAAUUACGUGGAAUCACCUUUUCUCCGCUUCCUAAAUAUAAUUGAUAGUAAAUAAUCUUGUCAGCCAUCCUAUCCAUAUGAGGAAAAGAGCAUGCCCGAACCUGAAAGCUCUGUGGUAUCGAACCCACAAAAUCCGCUUAGCAAUGUAUCAUUGCAACGUAGCAGGUAUGAUUUUAUCUUCAUCUCCUUGCCACAAAUGAACAGGAGCUUCAUUCUCUGGAGUUUGGAAAAGGGUUCUUCAGAUCCCAUUGAUCAAAUUCCCAGGUCCAACCGGCUCCUAUGUUCAAGUCGCGAUGGGUUGACUCGUAUUCUUCUCGUUGUCGCGUAUAAGAUCAUCCAUGAGUUAUGUUAAGAACAUUUUUAAAACCGGAUGAAUGAUGAGUGAUUGAAUGAUGUUGAACAAGCUAAGUGCUAGUUUGGACAAGUAAUUUAUUCGGCAUGUUGCGACAAGUCUAGAGAGAAUAUUUCCAUCCAUGAAGUAUGUCAAGAACGUUUUAAAACAUGAUGAAUGAUGAGUGAUUGAAUAAUGCGUUGGUGACAUAUAUUGAACAAGUACUAGUUUGGACAAAUAAUGCGAUGCGCUCUACAAUGCUUUUGAAUAUGAAAUAUCGGCAUAAUUUGUUGUAGGCAACGUGUUUUUACUAGUAUUCUAUUAUUGUAUGGUUAAUCUUUAGUUUUGUAGAGUUAAAUUUUUAAUUAUGUAGUUAUUCUUUUUUCUUUGCACAAGAGCAUGAAAAAUGAACAGCUUGUUCCAUUGUUUUAAGGAUAUUUCCUUCUUCAUCUAUGCUCUCAAUAUGCUUAAUUUAACUUGUUAUGUCUGAGCUGCCUCAUUUAUAAUCAACAACGCAACAACCUCAUAGAUGAAUUCUUGACUUGUACAACCAUUAACAUUUACUACUUUCGCUCCUCCGAGCAGACCAUAUACAUUUUGUACAUCUUCUUCGGUUAGCCUAAAACUCAUCCCCUCGCCAAUGACAAACGCUUUCGUUUCCAAGUCAUAUAUAUCAACAAUCCAUUUCAUGAAAUCAAUACCAAUUCUUUUGAUCUUCACUGUUGUAAUACCAUGAAAGCCGAAAUUCUCUAGGGCUUUAAGUUGCUGCUCGUUUGGGGUAUGAUCCAACAUAUUCACUAUUUUGUUUUGGCUGCACCACGUGGCUAGCUUAGUCAAUACUCGGUUAUACACAUAGGACUUACUGCUACAUGUUCCUAUCGAGUGGCUACAUGUAAGGGUGGAAAUGGUUCGAUUUUUGGUUACCCUAAUCAAUUUCCGUGGUUAACCAAAUAAAAAAAUGAAGAAAAUCCAAACCCAAAACCACACAUAUUUGGUUUGUGGUUAACCACUAAUCAUUUUUUGGUUUACGGAAUGGUUAGUGGUUAACCACAAAAUCAUUUUAUUUCAUUUUUUUGGCAAAAUUUGUAAUAAUUAUCAACAAUUUUGAGUCUUCGUCAAUAUAUCAAAUCAACAAAUAAUGUCAAACGAGUAAUGACGAGAAAUCCAUGAUUAAAUUCCCACUAUCAAACAACAAUAUACAAACAAUCAAACAAUGAAAAUAGCAAAACUACUUGCUCAAAAUCACCUAUGCCAACAAGAAACAAUAGUAUGAAAAUGAAAAUGAAAAUAAAUAACUAAUUUCAGUAGUUCACUAUUCACUUAUAGGGGAUUAAGUUUAGGGAUUUAGUCUACUUUUUAGAAAUUAUAUUUUUCAUUUUAUUAAAUUUAGUUAGUUCGGUUUUUAUUUGGUUAACUAUUCGGUUAGCUAUAUAACAACUAACCACAAAUUAGAUAAAGUUUUUAUCGCUAACCAAACCACAAACCACAAUUUGGUUAAUGGUUAACCACUAACCACAUAUUACGGUUCGGUCUGCAGUUAAAACCACUAAUUAAAAACCAAUUUCCACCCUUAACUGCACGAACAUGGUGUUCUAGCAGAACUUCAAAAAUCUUGAAAGAGUGUUACGUGCUGUAAGAUUGCGUAUUGCUAGGGGAUUCGAACUUUUCUUACGUCCCUGAGAGGAAGAGGAUGAAGUGCUGAAAUCCAUUGCAUUGGCUAAUUCGUGAUUGUAGUAGACCGAUUUGAGAAUUCUACGUAUGAGUUUCCUUUCUCUAUUUUUAUUCACAUAGUUAGAUAAAUAUUGAUAUAAAGAUAUAAUAUAGUUAGAUAAAUAAUGAUUUAGAUAAUUUACUUGUAGAACAGAAGGCAAAACGCAAUAAAACCCUACAAUAACAAAAAAAUAUAGUGUUACAGCUUAUAAACAGAGUACUGUACAAAAACAAACAAAAUAAAAAAAAAGAUGAAAUACUAAACAAAACUUUAGGCACAAACAUAACAAACAAAGUCCAAAUCUUUGAAACAAUAACUUCACACAAAACAUGCCAAUCUAUAAUGACAAACCAAAUCCAAACAACCACAAAAUGGAAACAAAAAAAUUACAAGAGAAAUCAAUUAUAUUCUUACCUGCUGUGACCGUGUCGUCGUCAUGCUUCACUUCUUCUUCAAGCUCAAAUUUCUAGUUUUUUUUUUCAUGACAAAGUUAAACUUUUCCGUAUUGAUCAGGUCAUUCUCAAAUUCUAACCAGUCUUUUCUCAAAUAAUCCAAUUUUUCUUCAUGAUUUAGAAAAUAAAAACCUUGUGAAAUUCUUUGCAAUAGUUCCUGAAAACAUCAAAAUGAUAAGUUAGACAACCCAAUAUCUUCCUUAUCAGAUCAUGCAAAAAAAUAUACGAAGCCUUAAAUUUACACUAUCUACCAACAUCACCCUAAAACAAUAUGGAGUAUAUAAAUGAUUGUUUACUCAAAACCAUUAAUCACGCAUCAUAUCAAUUAAUUGAAUGAAUAAAUUAGUACAACUCACUCGACAUAGUUCAUGAAAGAGUUGAAUGCCGGGUCCUCAGACAUCCCUUUUAUUUUAUGCUUCAUAAAUAUCUCAAGCAUGUCAUUGGAAUCGUUAGCUUUAGAUUCAGAAUAUUUUGAUGAGUGAGCUUUUAACGAUAACUCGCAUUUAUCAACUCCAACAAGCUUGAUGACAAAUUUGGAUUUGUCUUCAAGGUGAUUGUGGCAAUUGAGGACCACGAUGUUACAAUCAUAAAUGCUUAACACGGUGCAGCCCAAACAGAAUAGUGAAUCUGUUGGAUUCUCCCCCAAACGAGCAACAACUUAAAGUCCUAAAUUUUUUUGGCUUGGGUGGUAUUACAACAGUGAAGAUCAAAAGAAUUGAUACUGAUUUCAUUAUGGAUUGUGGAUAUAUAUAAAUUUUGAAAACCAAAGCGUUUGUCAUUGGAGAGGGUAUGAGUUUUAGGCCAACCGAAGAAGAUGUACAAAAUGUAUAUAGUCUGCUCGGAGGAGCGAAAGUAGUAAAUGUUAAUGGUUGUACAAGUCAAGAAUUCAUACAUAAGGUUGUUACGUUGUUGAUUUUAAAUGGGGCAGCUCAGACAGAACAAGUUAAAUUAAGCAUAUUGAGAACAUAGAUGAAAAAGGAGACGUCCUCAAAACAGUGGAACAAGUUGUUCAUUCUUCAUGCUCUCGUGCAAAGAGAAAAGAACAACUACAUAAUUAAAAAUUUAACUCUACAAAACUAAAGAUUAACCAUACAAUAAUAGAAUACUAGUAAAUACACACUGCCUACAACGAAUUAUGCCGAUAUUUCAUAUUCAAAAGCAUUGUAGAGCGCAUCGAAUUAUUUGUCCAAACUAGUACUUGUUCAAUAUAUAUCACCAAUGCAUUACUCAAUCACUCAUCAUUCAUCCUGUUUUAAAGACGUUCUUGACAUACCUCAUGGAUGGAAAUAUUCUCUCUAGACUUGUUUUUGCAACAUGCCGAAUAAAUUACUUGUCCAAACUAGCAUUUAGCUAGUUCAAUAUAUGUCACCAAACGCAUCAUUCAAUCACUCAUCAUUCAUCCAGUUUUAAAAAUAUUCUUGACAUAACUCAUGGAUGAAAAUGUUCUCUCUAAACUAUUAAUCUAACUCAUGAAUGAAAAUGUUCUCUCUAAACUAUUGAGCAUGCGAGCCGAAGCCCUUCUUACUUUCUCGUUCUUAAACAAAACAGUAUAACCAUAAAUGCAAUACAAAAUAUUACUAAUCUAAUGUGAGUCUCGUUUUCGUGGGAGUACACCGUUUUUUCUCGUGCUCGUGCCAAGAACAAUUCCUAGCGUUCUCUCCUACGAUGUUUUCCCUAAAAAAAGCAAAACCGAAAAAGAGACUACAUCGAUCUAUCAAUCAUCUAAACAUGUUCAUCUUAUUCGUUCACCAACUUUAGUUAAAAAAACUAGACAUAACAAGUAACAAAGUUAACCGAUCGAAACUAGAUCAAUCAAUUAUCUAAACAUGUUCACUUAUAUCUCCUAUAUAUCGCACAAAUGAAUGAGCGCUUACCAUAUUACUAAUGACGAUAAUCAGUGUGUUUAACUUCAAUUGUAUUUCUCGUGUAUGCAAAUGCAAGAAUGCGAUCACCUACAAACCUUUUCCAUUGGAAUGACUAGCAAUAACAAUUUUUUGGAUAUGUUAAAAAGUAAAAUUCAUUUUUGCAUAAAUCAACUGUUUUGAAAAUACAAAUUACCACAAUAUUCAUCAAAUAAAAUAAAACUUUGUCAAACUUAAUUUGGCUAUAAUCUAGCCCAAUAAGCACCCCACUCUUCAAAAAAAAAAUACAUACUUUUCAUGAUAUUAAUCAUUUAUUUCAAAAUAAACAUAGUUCAUUACAAAUUUUAGAUGAUUAUCAUGUAUAAUUCUAAUAAGGCGCCUUCUUUAGAAGGAUGAAUGCAAGACUUCGCUAAUGAUGACGAGCGAACUUGUGGGCUAUCCGUUUCUAUUUUUCCAAAUUUGAAAUAUAGUGCAAGAAGGCAUAUUACGAAGUAUUCUUCGACAGUCGGCUACCGUGGCACCAAAUCCAGAGACAUCUUGAUGAUCGACUAUCAGAGCAUUGGCCAUAAUUAAUCUGGCUAAUCCUUCUCAUACAAAUGUAAUUACUAAUUUACUCAAAUUUUCCAAUGGUGGUAUCACAAAACUAUAGUGGUUGGCAGUGAUGCUGAUGUUUUACGGAUGGGUUGCGACUUUUCUCCACCGACCAAUCCAUUUUAUAGGUCAAUUGCUUCAUUUUCCAAUCACCUUCUUCCUUGUAACAUCAAUAUAUAGUGGAUAAGAACUAGGGGUUGGGAUCGGACCGGGUCAGGCAAAGCACGAAACACUAAUUCUACAAAUUCGAGCCUUCGGAUCUGAUCCACUUUAAAGUCAAAAGACUUUCGAGACCACAUGUCUAAUUAAUUUGAAGGUAUGCAAUCGACAAUCCAAAGGUGAAAAAAAUCGAAUUAUUGAAAAACAAUAGUAUUUUACCCUGGUGACCAAUAUUUCAUGACUACAAAUUGUACAGGUUGGGAUGGCUCACGGAAGGAAUAAUUAAACUACCUUAAGGAUAAAGCAAACUUUACCUGCUCCAUUGAAGUAGUCUUGCAGUCUACGUUACCAUGUAUGUCUUUGUACAAAAUUCCCUACUUAAAUUCAUUUUACUAUGACAAGAUUAACAAGUGAUGCGAAAUUUCCCUAAUUAAUUUCUGAUAGUUUACUCUAUACUCAGUCAAUUAAUUAGGGGAAUUGUACUCAUUUUUUGUUUGGUAAAUAAAGAAAUCACUCGAUUAAGUUGAAUAGUACACAUGGACGGGUGUGGGGUGACUGCCCUAGUUUGCUGUCUCAAAUAUCAGUUUGUAUACAAGUUGUCCAUGAUACUAAUCGAGCUAUUUAUAUAGGUUCGAGUCAAAAAGAUUUUAAAGGGUCGUUUGGUAUAGGAUAUCUUAAAUAUUAUAAUAUCAGGUUGUUAGAUAUUAAGUGAAAAAAUUGAUAAAAUUCAUAAUGUUAAUUUGGUGGAGGAUUUGUAUGUAUGAACCGUAAUUACAAAAGUUUACCCACCUCUUCCUUCAUUUGUCGGUGUUUGAGUAGAUCGUUCAUGUAAUUAAAGUCACGUAUGCCAAAAUAAAUCAGAAAAAGUGUGAUUUAACUAAUUUAUUAUUACUCUAGUUGAUUAACAAGAUUGAGUCAAAAGGCAGAGUUUGUUAAGCCGAGUUUUGAGAUUGUAGGCGCAACGUCACUCUCCCCACAAGCCCUACUGAGUACUGACUCUGAAGUAUAUGCACGUUUCAACUAUAACAAGUUGUUAUAUAAUUAAAUGUAUAUGGGGAGUUAUUACGACAUCGAUAUCAUAUAACCCCACAUCACCAACACAUUCACUAAUGGUAUCACAAAUUUGAUGUGUGCCCUUGUUAGAGAAAAACACAAAGGCUGGUUGUGGGUUAGUGAGGUCCGGUUUGACCUGGGUGGUCAGAUCCAAAGUGUCCGGUUCAGAGGUAUAAGGACAAUCAUAACGCUUCAACCAUAGGUGGUCAAGUUUUCACUCAAACGGGUCAUUGUUGAUGACAUGUAUAUAUAGUGAUCAAAACGGGAUUUCAUAAAAGACAAGGUAAUCACCGUCUUGAUCAUUAAACUUUCUAUAUAUUCAUACGCGAUAUUUCUCAAUCUUCCACCGUACUCAUCCAACCAACCAACUCUUCAUAUUGAACCACUUUAUUGGUCCGGUACAAGUCUAACUAGGCAGAAGAGCAAAUAAAUCAAUGGUUGUGAAAUCAUGCCAAAUCGAUUGUUUUUGGUGGCUGAGCGAAGAUUCGAUACUAAAAGAGAAAUUUUGAUAACUAAUCGAAACUCUCCUUAGCUUCCUCAUAAAUUCGUCCGGAAUAUUUUAACCAACUAGUACUAAUUAGUUAUCUGUCUUGAUACUUAAGGAUCGUAAAAUCGAGUUAGUAACCCGUCCCAAUCUAAAUAUCGAUCUUUGGGGUUGUUUAUUAUGAUCACUAAGCUAAACUACACUGAGUUUAAAUAUAUCACAACUAUUAUUCCUAUAUAUUCCUGAAAAAAACCCACAAAUGAAGUGACUCCAAUCCAUCCAUCCUCACAAAGAUGUUCGGCAGCGGACGUCGCCGGAGCAGUACCACCACCACCACCAGCAGUACUACUAACUCCGAUGAAAUUGAUAACCAUCACCAUCCAUUAAUCCUAACCGGCCCUAACCUCCAAACCGACGACGUUGACAAAUUCUACAGCCACCUCCUCUCCAGGGACUACAACGACGACGACGAAGAAAACAACCGUCACUCCUCCCCCCCGCCCCUCCUCCUCCGGCAUCGCCGUCGCUGUCCCGUUCACCUGGGAAUCCGAGCCCGGCACUCCCAAACACUCCUUCUACUCUGACCCCAUCCUCCCUCCUCUGACCCCUCCUCCGUCGUACUUCUCCACCACCGCACGCGUCAACGUCCGACACAAGGACUUCUCCUCCUCCUUCUCCUCCGCCGCCACCAGACGCCACCUUCCGCCACGUGAUCAGCUGGUGACCACCGACGUCAAACACAAUAACAACCGUCACUUCCUCCGCUCGUUGGUGAGCUUCCUCAAGAAACGCAACCCCUCCUCCUCCUCCUCUUCCGCCACGUCCGCCGCGACACACGACUAUGAGCGUCAAGCGGCGGGCGCGGGCUGUCGCAUCGCCGGCUUCCACGCUUUGCUUUGGAAGGAGCGGGCGCCGGCGCCGGCGCCCUGUAAUUAAAUUGGGUUAAUUUUUACAAUUAGUUUACUCCCGCCACGGUGUAGAUAAAGCUGUAAAAUUUUAAGUUGACGUGAUGAAAAGUUUACUGAGAUGUUUGUUGGCGGUCAUGACUCAUUUCCAACCUCCAGGUAACUGCUACUUAAAUUAAUCAUUUCCUUUUGUUAUUUUUAAUUAUCAAAAGAAAACUGUUUCAUUUAAUUUUCCCUUUUUAUAUGUGUUAAUGUUCCUCAUAUCGAAUAUUCAAUAUUCAAAUGUCAGUUAAGUACAUAUUAGUUCGGACUUAGACGGUUAUUAUUUUUAUUUUUUUUUUAAAUUUUUUUUGAUAGACGGUUAUGAUUUCAAUUUUUUUAAUAAAUUUAUGUCGAGAAUGAAUAAUCCCUUUUAAUUUAACGAUUUAACAUACCGUGUUUCAAAACAUACAAAGGAUGUGUCAAUGUAUAAUAGAUCAUCUAACAUUAAAGUUAUGUAAUUAUCAUGAUUGACAUAGGUAAAUUUGGAUUGAGGAUAACGAAUUUUAGUAAGAUGAGUUGUAUCUUGUUAUCAUUUUGUAUUGUACUUUUUAUGUUGAUGUGUAACUAUUUUUAUGUUGACGAGUCACCAGAAAAUAAAAAAUUAUAUUGAUGUUUAUUUUGUGAAAUGUGCUAAAUUUGAAGUUUCAGAUUAAUAGACACAGUUCUUCCACAUAAUAUUGGCCUAAUGUGAUGUAAUAUUAUUAGGAAAUAAGGGUGGGUACAACGCCGCUACCAUAUAAAAAACCGCUCCACAACAAUAUGAAAAAAACCGCACUGUAACCUACCUGAAAAAGAACAUCAUUUGCUAGGUUUCAUAGAAAGUGGAACGUCAAAAGGCCCAUGAGUUUGUUGACAAACAGGCCCAAUCAAUCAGCUUCAACAGAACAAAACAGAAAGCAUACAAUUCUCUCCAUAGAAUCAAAGUAUCAAGAAUUUGAUUGGCAUAUCUCAACCCUAACGGUAUAAACAAUGCACUGUGAUUAUGUUCGGAAGAAAACUUCAACUCUCCCCUUAUGGUCUUAUCAAACUAAAUUCACCAAGGAAGUAAUAUAGUGCAAUCAUUCUUUCAACCCGGCCACAUAGGAUGACUCAUAUUUUAUGUACCGUUACGAAAAACAGUACAAAAACAUAUACCGUUUAAUUUAAUUUUUAAUAAUUAAAUAAUAAACAAAAUGAUUAUUCUUGUUACGGAUCUUACAAUUUGACUGAAAUAACUGAUAGGUUUGAGCAAUAGUACAAACAUGAUGGUCUUUCCGAUCAUCCAUUCAUCCCUAGUAAAAAAAAUUAAAUUACACAAGUAAAAUCGAGAUAAAGAUACACUCAUCUAAACACUAACUAGAAAGUAUAAACCUCACAUCCCUUAAAAAUGCAUUGGAAUGUUUUUCUAUAAACCUUGUAAAACACAUUUAUUUCAUAAUACAUUUAUCGUAAAAUAUAUACUUACUUGAAUAAUACGAUUCUUGUAGUUAAUUUAGAAAUCACAAAUAAUUACAAUCAAACCCAAUUAUAUGACUCACUUUGAUAAAAAAUCGGUCAAUUUAAAACCAACUUCGAUCGGCCAACAGUUAAGGAACUCGCUUCAUAUUUGACCAAGACUGCUCGACUUUGCUAAGACAUUGGUCUACUGACCGAAAUCAAAUCAGUUUUCAACCGGUCCGACCGACUCCACUCUUGGUUAAUGGGUUAUUCCAUAAAAUCGUAAAAAUCCCAUUUUUCCUAAGGAAAAAAAAAAGAAGGAAAUUUCUUCUUCAUUCGCGUUGUUUUGCUGUGCCGGCACUGUUCUUUGCGCCACCACCACCACCAUCAUCUGCUACUCAGCUCCUGCCAUCUUCCUCCGAAAUUUCCAUACUACAAUCUAGGGUUUGAUUUUGGAAUCUCUCCCCUUUCGUCUACCGAGCUGGAUUCUCCCUGUUCAAUCUUCCGAAUCUCCAUGCGCCGCUGGUUCAGCGGGUUCGUCGAUUAGACUCCGCUACAUACCUGCAUCUCCUGCUCUCUCUUCUCCGUAGACGGCUACGUUUUGGUCAUUUCUUUGUGCCUUGUCGAUUAGGGCAACUCUGAUUUCGUUCUGGAUGGCAAUGGACGAUUUAACGGCGACGCGAUUCACGCAGUCUUCCACUUCGGCGGUGGUCUCCGAUCACUACGACGACGAUGGCGGCGUCGGGGAUUCAAGAAGGGACUCCGAGGCGGAUGCUAGUACAAGCUACGGGAAUGCGGCUACUAGCAUGGCGUAUUUGCCUCAGACUAUAGUGUUGUGCGAGCAUCGGCACGAGGCGCUUGAGGUUUCUGUGCCUAUAGGUCCUUCUGACAGUGGGGUUGUGUCCAAAUGGCGUCCCAAGGAUCGAGUAAGCUAGCCUCCCCAAUUGUACUACCUUCGUUCUGUUUAUUUCUUUCUACUGGGGAUUAGGUUAUGGUUCUAUAGCGAGGUAGUUUGAACUGUCACCAUUGACCGUAGGAAGCAUAGAACUAUCUUGGAGCCUCGUUGAAUUAAUCAAGUCUAAGGGAAACCAUCUUAGUGAUGUUUGCUGGAUGCGAAUGUGUCAAAUAUUGGACCAUGAUAAGGAAGCCCGUGAAUGUGAAUAUCACUGGACAUUGUAUGUUUAAUGGUCACGCAGCUUGUGGGUGGACUGCAAGUUCACUAGCUUGAAUGUAGCUUCUAGUCUACUAGAAUGUGACACUGGAAGCGCUCAUGUUUCAUCUCAUCAGUCAUUGUUUGUUGGAAGAAAAGAAAUCAGUAAGAUUAGGAUGAAAUAUGAAAAUUCGGUUAGUGGUAUUUGUAGACUGGUUAUUCUUAAUGUUGAUGAAGCAGUUGACUACUUUUUUUCUUACACGUUAUUUAUUCAUAGCACCCUAGGUGUGCCUAAAAAAAUCACACCUCUGGUAUGCGUGGGGCACUUCUGGAUGUUUCUUGCUGUGGCACCAUUUCAGUAAUGUUUUGCCUACUGCCCUGAGUGAAUCUUGCUGUAGGACGAAGCCAAAUAUUCACAUGUAAUUUUGACUUCUGAAUGAAGAUGUAUUACCAUUUACCACCAAGUGAGUUCCAAUAUUAUGUUGGAAUAUAAGGGAACGCUUUGAUUUCUCUAAGCAAGUUCUCUCCCUUUCUAUUUCUCGCAUGAGAUAGUAGUCAGGAGAACUUGUGAAGUUCAGUGUGCGAAUAGCUUAUCGUAAGCCUACCUUACAUUUGCACAUUGCUGAAACUUUCUUUUCAAUUGUGCUCCAUAAUUUUAUAUUUUCUAUUAGUGAUGCUCACCGACUUACAUGUCUGUGUCUGUUUUGGUUGAACUCUCACUUUUUUGUGCAGAUGAAGACCGGAUAUGUAGCUCUAGUUUUAUGUUUAAACAUUAGUGUUGAUCCACCUGAUGUAAUAAAGAUUUCACCUUGUGCGAGAAUGGAGUGCUGGAUAGGUGCAUUUUUGCUACUAAUUCUUCCUAAUACUACUACUAAUUCUUUCCUAAUACUUAUAAAUGUACCUAGCUGGCUUUUGUCUAUCAUUGGAUUCAGUUUGUCGUCUUUAUCUUAUUUCCUACUGUUUAAAUUGGCACUUCCAUUUUUUCCUCAUGCCUGUAGCAGCUUAGUUGUAGUGUUUAACUUCACCUUGCUUUUCCAAACUUAUGUUCUUCGCAUACUGUAAAUGAUAAAAGUAUAGGAAAUAAUGGACCUUCUUUUACUUCCCAACUCCACAGCAAACACAUUUUAAUAAUUUACUCAAGACUCUGGAGCAAUCUGUUUUUGUUUAUGUUUGAAGAAAAAAGCUUUUCUCAGAGUGUGAAGCGACGAGUGCUAUUUCGUAUCUAAAUGGUUUCUUUGCUUGUAGAUCCAUUUUCUAUGCAACCUACAAAAGCUCUUGAAACAAUUGGGAAAACCUUGAGUCUUCAAUAUGAAAGAUGGCAACCAAGGGUAAGAAAUUUCAUGUCUUCUGCUUUUGGUUUGAACAGUUUAUAUAUUAGUUCUAUUAUCCUCAUUCUACUUCAUUGGCUCUUCCAGGCUAGGUAUAAGGUACAACUUGAUCCUUCUGUGGAAGACGUGAAAAAACUUUGUAAUACAUGUCGCAGAAAUGCUAAAUCCGAGAGAGUUUUAUUUCAUUAUAAUGGUCAUGGUGUCCCAAAGCCAACUGCUAGUGCUGAAAUAUGGGUAUACAAUAAGGUAAUAGAUGGUAUUUAGUUUCGUAUUUCCUUUAUGAUUCAAGUUAUAUCACAUUCUAACUACAAGGACUGGGCAGAGCUAUACGCAGUACAUACCACUGCCUAUCAGUGAUCUUGAUUCGUGGUUGAAAACACCUUCUAUCUAUGUCUUCGACUGUUCUGCUGCUGGGAUGAUUGUGAAUGCCUUUGUUGAGGUAUUGUUUUUUUUCUAAACCUAGUAUUUCNNNNNNNNNNNNNNNNNNNNNNNNNNNNNNNNNNNNNNNNNNNNNNNNNNNNNNNNNNNNNNNNNNNNNNNNNNNNNNNNNNNNNNNNNNNNNNNNNNNNNNNNNNNNNNNNNNNNNNNNNNNNNNNNNNNNNNNNNNNNNNNNNNNNNNNNNNNNNNNNNNNNNNNNNNNNNNNNNNNNNNNNNNNNNNNNNNNNNNNNNNNNNNNNNNNNNNNNNNNNNNNNNNNNNNNNNNNNNNNNNNNNNNNNNNNNNNNNNNNNNNNNNNNNNNNNNNNNNNNNNNNNNNNNNNNNNNNNNNNNNNNNNNNNNNNNNNNNNNNNNNNNNNNNNNNNNNNNNNNNNNNNNNNNNNNNNNNNNNNNNNNNNNNNNNNNNNNNNNNNNNNNNNNNNNNNNNNNNNNNNNNNNNNNNNNNNNNNNNNNNNNNNNNNNNNNNNNNNNNNNNNNNNNNNNNNNNNNNNNNNNNNNNNNNNNNNNNNNNNNNNNNNNNNNNNNNNNNNNNNNNNNNNNNNNNNNNNNNNNNNNNNNNNNNNNNNNNNNNNNNNNNNNNNNNNNNNNNNNNNNNNNNNNNNNNNNNNNNNNNNNNNNNNNNNNNNNNNNNNNNNNNNNNNNNNNNNNNNNNNNNNNNNNNNNNNNNNNNNNNNNNNNNNNNNNNNNNNNNNNNNNNNNNNNNNNNNNNNNNNNNNNNNNNNNNNNNNNNNNNNNNNNNNNNNNNNNNNNNNNNNNNNNNNNNNNNNNNNNNNNNNNNNNNNNNNNNNNNNNNNNNNNNNNNNNNNNNNNNNNNNNNNNNNNNNNNNNNNNNNNNNNNNNNNNNNNNNNNNNNNNNNNNNNNNNNNNNNNNNNNNNNNNNNNNNNNNNNNNNNNNNNNNNNNNNNNNNNNNNNNNNNNNNNNNNNNNNNNNNNNNNNNNNNNNNNNNNNNNNNNNNNNNNNNNNNNNNNNNNNNNNNNNNNNNNNNNNNNNNNNNNNNNNNNNNNNNNNNNNNNNNNNNNNNNNNNNNNNNNNNNNNNNNNNNNNNNNNNNNNNNNNNNNNNNNNNNNNNNNNNNNNNNNNNNNNNNNNNNNNNNNNNNNNNNNNNNNNNNNNNNNNNNNNNNNNNNNNNNNNNNNNNNNNNNNNNNNNNNNNNNNNNNNNNNNNNNNNNNNNNNNNNNNNNNNNNNNNNNNNNNNNNNNNNNNNNNNNNNNNNNNNNNNNNNNNNNNNNNNNNNNNNNNNNNNNNNNNNNNNNNNNNNNNNNNNNNNNNNNNNNNNNNNNNNNNNNNNNNNNNNNNNNNNNNNNNNNNNNNNNNNNNNNNNNNNNNNNNNNNNNNNNNNNNNNNNNNNNNNNNNNNNNNNNNNNNNNNNNNNNNNNNNNNNNNNNNNNNNNNNNNNNNNNNNNNNNNNNNNNNNNNNNNNNNNNNNNNNNNNNNNNNNNNNNNNNNNNNNNNNNNNNNNNNNNNNNNNNNNNNNNNNNNNNNNNNNNNNNNNNNNNNNNNNNNNNNNNNNNNNNNNNNNNNNNNNNNNNNNNNNNNNNNNNNNNNNNNNNNNNNNNNNNNNNNNNNNNNNNNNNNNNNNNNNNNNNNNNNNNNNNNNNNNNNNNNNNNNNNNNNNNNNNNNNNNNNNNNNNNNNNNNNNNNNNNNNNNNNNNNNNNNNNNNNNNNNNNNNNNNNNNNNNNNNNNNNNNNNNNNNNNNNNNNNNNNNNNNNNNNNNNNNNNNNNNNNNNNNNNNNNNNNNNUUUGCCAAAGUUCUGUCUGUUAAUGGAUUUACUGUAAUAUGCUUUAAGUCAAAAGCUCUUGUCACUAACUGUUUACCUCUGAACCUCUACAGGUUCUACUUAGUCAAUGCCAUCGGUUUAAAGCUCUUGUUCUUCUUUUUUUUUUUCUUGAUAUGGGCCCCUGGGCAGUUGAUCUGGUACUUGUCGUUGAUUUUCUUAUUUGUGCAUGGAACCCAUUUCUGCCUUCCUAAAAUUUGGUCAUAACUAACAUUUUCUAACACGGUACUGGUUUGUUUUUGUCAGGCAUUGUCUGUGGGAAUAUUUCCGUAUGUGCUGAAGUUGUUGCAAACAACAACACCAGAGCUAAGGCACAUCCUUGUGUUCAUAUGGACAAAGAUUCUUGCUCUUGAUAAGGUACAUCUUGCUUGGCAUUUGGGUUACUUUAUGUUGCUGGACAUGUGAUUAUUGGAAGAUGUGUAUCNNNNNNNNNNNNNNNNNNNNNNNNNNNNNNNNNNNNNNNNNNNNNNNNNNNNNNNNNNNNNNNNNNNNNNNNNNNNNNNNNNNNNNNNNNNNNNNNNNNNNNNNNNNNNNNNNNNNNNNNNNNNNNNNNNNNNNNNNNNNNNNNNNNNNNNNNNNNNNNNNNNNNNNNNNNNNNNNNNNNNNNNNNNNNNNNNNNNNNNNNNNNNNNNNNNNNNNNNNNNNNNNNNNNNNNNNNNNNNNNNNNNNNNNNNNNNNNNNNNNNNNNNNNNNNNNNNNNNNNNNNNNNNNNNNNNNNNNNNNNNNNNNNNNNNNNNNNNNNNNNNNNNNNNNNNNNNNNNNNNNNNNNNNNNNNNNNNNNNNNNNNNNNNNNNNNNNNNNNNNNNNNNNNNNNNNNNNNNNNNNNNNNNNNNNNNNNNNNNNNNNNNNNNNNNNNNNNNNNNNNNNNNNNNNNNNNNNNNNNNNNNNNNNNNNNNNNNNNNNNNNNNNNNNNNNNNNNNNNNNNNNNNNNNNNNNNNNNNNNNNNNNNNNNNNNNNNNNNNNNNNNNNNNNNNNNNNNNNNNNNNNNNNNNNNNNNNNNNNNNNNNNNNNNNNNNNNNNNNNNNNNNNNNNNNNNNNNNNNNNNNNNNNNNNNNNNNNNNNNNNNNNNNNNNNNNNNNNNNNNNNNNNNNNNNNNNNNNNNNNNNNNNNNNNNNNNNNNNNNNNNNNNNNNNNNNNNNNNNNNNNNNNNNNNNNNNNNNNNNNNNNNNNNNNNNNNNNNNNNNNNNNNNNNNNNNNNNNNNNNNNNNNNNNNNNNNNNNNNNNNNNNNNNNNNNNNNNNNNNNNNNNNNNNNNNNNNNNNNNNNNNNNNNNNNNNNNNNNNNNNNNNNNNNNNNNNNNNNNNNNNNNNNNNNNNNNNNNNNNNNNNNNNNNNNNNNNNNNNNNNNNNNNNNNNNNNNNNNNNNNNNNNNNNNNNNNNNNNNNNNNNNNNNNNNNNNNNNNNNNNNNNNNNNNNNNNNNNNNNNNNNNNNNNNNNNNNNNNNNNNNNNNNNNNNNNNNNNNNNNNNNNNNNNNNNNNNNNNNNNNNNNNNNNNNNNNNNNNNNNNNNNNNNNNNNNNNNNNNNNNNNNNNNNNNNNNNNNNNNNNNNNNNNNNNNNNNNNNNNNNNNNNNNNNNNNNNNNNNNNNNNNNNNNNNNNNNNNNNNNNNNNNNNNNNNNNNNNNNNNNNNNNNNNNNNNNNNNNNNNNNNNNNNNNNNNNNNNNNNNNNNNNNNNNNNNNNNNNNNNNNNNNNNNNNNNNNNNNNNNNNNNNNNNNNNNNNNNNNNNNNNNNNNNNNNNNNNNNNNNNNNNNNNNNNNNNNNNNNNNNNNNNNNNNNNNNNNNNNNNNNNNNNNNNNNNNNNNNNNNNNNNNNNNNNNNNNNNNNNNNNNNNNNNNNNNNNNNNNNNNNNNNNNNNNNNNNNNNNNNNNNNNNNNNNNNNNNNNNNNNNNNNNNNNNNNNNNNNNNNNNNNNNNNNNNNNNNNNNNNNNNNNNNNNNNNNNNNNNNNNNNNNNNNNNNNNNNNNNNNNNNNNNNNNNNNNNNNNNNNNNNNNNNNNNNNNNNNNNNNNNNNNNNNNNNNNNNNNNNNNNNNNNNNNNNNNNNNNNNNNNNNNNNNNNNNNNNNNNNNNNNNNNNNNNNNNNNNNNNNNNNNNNNNNNNNNNNNNNNNNNNNNNNNNCCCUUCUGGAUUGGCUGCCCCCCCUGGGGAUUCAAGUGGGGCUUCUGGUUUCUCAGAACAGAGUCUUCUCCCUCAAUCAACAAUCUACAACUGGAGUGCUGGUCAUUUUUCCAAGUCGCUUCUUACUGCCACUGAUGAUACCGAAGAGAUAGUUAUUAGACGAGAAGAGAGGGAGAAGUUUGGCUUGGAACACAUUGCAAAAUGCCAGCACACUUGUGGGUUUUUUUGCACUUUUUAAGAUGUCUAUUAUUUGACAAUGUUCAUGUUUGCUUGCGGUAAUAAAAAAUUAUUCUUAUUACAGCUGUUGGCAAGCUUAAUAACCAAAUUGCUGGAUGGGAUACAAAGUUUGAAGGUGGCACGAGGGCGACUUUGCUGCAUCCUUUUUCUCCUAUUGUAGUUGCUGCAGAUAAUAAUGAACGAAUCAGGUAUAACACUUUAUCCUCUUCUUUGGUGGGGAAAACCGAUUUGUUAAGUCCCGGUUCAGAUGCAUUAUUUUCAUGUAAUAGUUCUAUACGUCCAUUCUUUGUACACUAUUUGGGUACCUUUUUUAUGCUUAUGGCUUCCUUACGUUGACUCUUAGCUACUUGAUCUUUUCAGGGUGUGGAACUAUGAAGAAGCUACGCUUCUCAAUGGGUUUAAUAAUCAUGAUUUUCCUGACAAAGGAAUUUCUAAGCUGUGCCUUGUGAAUGAGCUUGAUGACAGCUUGCUUCUUGUUGCUUCCUGUAUGUAACUAUGCUUUUUAUCGUUAUUUUGCCAUGUUGGUUUGAUCUUAACUUAUUCAAAUUUGUAUUUUCAGGCGAUGGUAACAUUCGGAUUUGGAAAGAUUACUGUGUAAAAGGGAAGCAAAAAAUUGUUACUGCAUUCUCUUCUAUCCAAGGCCAUAAACCGGCCGCACGUAGUUUGAAUGCUAUUGUUGAUUGGCAGCAACAGUCUGGCCAUCUAGUACUACUUCGAAACUCUCUGAUGAUAUGAUUAUGGUUUGCGUACUAUUUUAGACAGUGCUUUACAUGAUUUCAUUUGCUACUGCAUGAACAGUAUGCUUCCGGUGAGGAAUCCACUGUAAUGCUUUGGGAUUUGGAGAAAGAACAGCUUGUCAAUUCCAUUCCAACAUCAUCGGAUUGUAGAGUUUCAUCACUGGUUAGUUAUCUUCUGAGGUCACUGGAGUCAUGCUCAACUUUCAUAGUUUCCCUGUUUCUUGAACAACUAUUUUGAUUGAUGAAUUUUAAUGUUGUCUUGAAUAUGUUGGAUAAUCAUUACAGAGGGUACUUAUCUCCAGGAAUUAGAGAAAUACCUUCCUAGUGUGUAAAGCUCCAUCUUGUCCUUUUUGUUGUUUUACUAGACAUAUCUCUUCAAACUGAUUGUCCAGCAAGAUGUUUUCUACACAGAAUCAGAAGAUGUUAUCUUGCUCAUGUUUUGAUGUGUAGAAAACUUCUUGCUCGACAAUCGGUUUGAAGAGAACAUAAUUUGUGAAACAACAAGGAGAAAUAUUCUUUCCUUUCCAGACUGUUUAGAAGAGAAAUAUCUAAGAAAUAUCCGACCAAUGAAUUAUUGCUCAGGAGUUUUCUGCAAUUUGUUAUAUAGUACAACACAAAGCCAAUGCAAAACAUGUUAAUAGCGUUUGAUGUUCUUGUUCUUUAUUACUGAAUCUAAGUUCAUUUCGGCCACUCUAUGCAGUCUGCUUCUCAAGUUCAUGGAGGUCAGUUUGCAGCGGGCUUUGUGGAUGGUUCAGUAAGAUUAUAUGAUGUGAGGACACCUGAAACGUAAGUUCUUUGAGAGCGAGUUAGCAAUUUCGUGAUAUAAUAUGACAGCCAUGGCUUUUGUUUCAUUUUGUUUUAAACACCUAUUGAUUGGUUGGUAUUUCAGGCCUGUCUGUACAAUGCGACCACACACCCAAAAGGUCGAACGAGUCAUGGGUAUUGGGUUUCAACCAGGACUUGAUCCAGGAAAGGUAACGAAUUCGGCGAUUUCUCUUUACGCAAUCCUAUCUGUUGUAGUUCGUCUAAUUCUACUUCUCCUUGUGUAUGUAGAUCGUGAGUGCAUCUCAGGCCGGUGAUAUUCAAUUCUUGGACAUCAGAAAUCAAAGAGAUGCCUACCUAACAAUCAACGCCCACAGAGGCUCACUGGCUGCAUUAUCUGUUCAUAGGCACGCUCCCAUUAUCGCCAGUGGCUCGGCAAAACAGAUCAUUAAAGUAUUCAGUCUCGAGGGCGCACUUAUUGGGACCAUCCGGUAUUACUCUACCUUCAUGGCCCAGAAGAUUGGUCCUGUGGGUUGCCUUGAUUUCCAUCCUUACCAACCUUUGCUUGCAUCUGGUGCCGCUGAUGCUUACGUAUCUAUCUGGGCUGAUGAUAACACCCGAGCAAGGUGAAAUGUGCAGUUAUUUAACGUUCCAUCAACUGCAUGAAAUCCCGGCACUCGAAAUCCAACCACCAGAAGGGAAACUCGGCUCCGUAAUGCGAAAUCGAACAAAAAUGCCUUGUGCUGUUGAGCAAACGAGGCAAACCGAUUUCGUCAGCCUCAAUGUACAGUGAAAGCCUAGGUUUUGAGGAGAUGCGUUUUGUUACAUAUUCAUUUGACUAAAAAAUAAAUCAUUUGUUAGGGUAAAUGCUGUGUAUAUAAGCCUCUAAAUUUGGUCUCGCCGAGUUGUGUUCAUUUCGAAGGUGACGUUGCUGUUUGCAGUAGAUGUUGAUAGAGUUUGCUAAAUGCCGAAAGGCUGAUCAUUUGGUCCCUUGAAAAUCAGGGGAGUUUGGGGAAAAGACUUAUAAAUUUCAUUUCUAUGUUCUCAAAUGUUACCCUUGUUGUAAUUAAAUCUUAGAUUGGAAGAUCACCCUCCAAUCUGUGUCUAAUAGGACGUAUCUCGUCGAGGACAUAUUAUCUGUCCUGGUCUCAUGACGGUUCCAACUGCGUAAAAUAAGUUCUUGAGCACCAAACAAUGCUUAAUGACUUAUGUAGGGAGAAGGAUCACAUAGUCCAUUGAAUUGUUCACAUGAAUUUCAGUUGAUUGAUCGAGCCGGACUUGUAUAUAUUGCCACAUCCGUCUCACUAUUAUGUAUUUAUGUUGCGGUUUCUCGGGUUUUCACCAUACCUGGCUGUCAACAUUUGGUAAACUUCACCGUCGUAAUCAUUCUAUAUGUAUGCUUAUACUUGUGAAUACAUGUUAAAAGCUACACCAGAUCUUCUCCAUAUAUGAAUCGGAAUGUCAUAUUCAGUAAAGAGAGAUGAGCCAGAAAGGGACUGAAUAUUUGAUAGAAUACACAAGAACUGAAUAUAAUUACCAAAAGAAAACUGCAAAUCCGAGCUCUAUAUCUUCAAACAGCAAAAGCUUUCACUUCCUACCACCUACCAUACUUUGCCCAGAAGAACUCGACAUACUCGGAGCCGUACCGCCAUUCACCUUGAACUUUCCUUCUGCAUUUCCAAGAACGUUCAGGUCCUCGAACAGCCUGUACGAGGGCACAUACGGCUUCGAUGCAGCGGGUUGCGAAGAUGGAGCUCUUGCCCCGAAACCCACUAACGGGUCUCCAUUCAUAGCCGUUCCGUUGCUUCCGUUUGAAGACUUGCCAUAAUUCUGCUGCUGCAUGGGUGAAGCUGCUGCUGUUCUAUGUGGAAAUGACGUGGCAACGCUAGAAAACGUACUGUUAGCUGGAGAGUAACUUUGGCUGCUACUACCGUUGGCAUAACCUGGAGUCACUGCCCAUGGCGGUGGUGGAUAAGCUGAAGUGUAUUGAGGAUACUGAUACUGUUGCUGUGGUUGAAACUGCUGCUGUAAUUGUGGUUCAAACUGAGGCCGGAACUGCCGUUGGUGAUAGUGCAGAGGUUGUGGCUGAGGUUGUGGCUGAGGUUGUGGCUGAGGUUGAGGCUGGGCCCAUGGAACGACGUAGCUGUCGAAGGGUGCUGGUGCGGGACCUUGGCUUCCGGGAUAAGCUUGGGCGCCGGAGGAAACGGGUAUCUGAGGCAAACUUUGUUCCGCGGUUGAUGCUGCUGGAUGAUGAGGUGUAUUGGGUUGGGGAGAAGUCCAGUCGGUUGACAAGGUGAUACUUAAAAGGUCGAUGAUGUCCUGCUCUUGUGUGUUCUUAACUGGUUCGACGAUCGCUAGAGCAUUCGAUGUGGCGGAGAAUGAAGAUUCAGCAUCAGGGGAGGUUUGUCCGGUCUCGAUGGGUACAAGGGCUCCAGUGAAUUCACUGCUAUGUGUUGGACUAGGCUGGCUCUUGGUAUGCCUGUAUCCAGAAAAAGGAAACAAGAAUUAAACUGAACUGCUAAAUUUAGGUUCCACUUCAACGAAAUCAUUCAUUUAGCUCAUUACCUGCGAGCUAGUUUGACAAAGUCAUCCUCCUCUUCUUCAUCAUCUUCAUUAGCCUGAUUUGUUGACAGAGUAGUUCUUGUCGUGAUUGGUUCAGUGCCGGGGCUAGGAGGACUGUUCUUUACUUCAGGUGGUUUGGUGCGUGAAGAAGAUCCUUCUAGUUGCUUAGGACUUGAAUCCGAAACCGGAGAGGGGAUAGGCAAACCCGAAGCUAUAGCAUCGUGUUUUGCCAGAAAAAUUUGCAGGUUGUCGUUUAAUUCAAGGCCGCGAACAAGGACUUCCUCAUCCCUGCCAGAGCGAUGGAACCAAUUAGAAUAUACAGAACAUACACAUCUUAACGCUUCAUAUCCGAGAAAACGAAAAAUGAUGUUGAGGAAUCGAAAACCAACCCGGUGGUAGUGAGCAUCUGCACCAAUUUCUUCUGGUUGGAUCGACAAUGUUCAACAAGGUCAACUAUAACCUCCUCUUUUACAGCCUGGAAGAGCAGCAUCGCAUUUUAAAAGACAUAAAUGAUAUAUUUUGCCAAGAAGUAAUAAGUAUCGGGUAAGAUAUACCUCUCGAUCGCCGGGGCUAACAGCUUGCAACAUGUCACCCAAAAGCUCCAUUACGUUGCGCAUGGAUUCUAGGCUUGACAAACUAUAUAUAACAACAAACGGAAAUGAAGAGGAAUACCUAAAGAUAUGGGAAACGUGAAGCGACAAUUCUAGAGUGAACUCUCACCUUAACCCUUCAAUCUCGGUAGCCAUGGUUUCAUCAAGUCUUCUGGACGAACCUCCCGGCAUUCCAUAUCCAGGUUCAGCAGGUCUCAAUGUCGAAUGGGUUAGUGGUGGAGUAAAUAUUGGAGCAGCAUUCAAAGCACGCUGGGGAAACGGUACUCCAGAACGCUGUCAUGUCAUCCACACAAUUGAGUUUAUUGAGUUAUGCGUAUAUAUCCAGUUAUCACAGUUAGUUAUAUAGACCUAGUAGAUUGCGGAGCAAGCACUGAUACUAUGAGCACCCUAAGCACAUCAACAGUAUUACAGGCCAGUCGCAUUGGUAUCAAAUAGGACUAAGGAGAAGCAAUAGUGUACAAAAAUUAGCAGGAAUAAAGACGAUUAUGUUGCAACGUUAACAUUUUGAUCAAGAUCAUACCCGCAACUCCUCGUAAGACCAGUAGUACUGAGGAUAUUUUCCUCCAGGCCCACCGAAAGCCUCUUGCCAGGAGUCUAGCAGAACCAGGACUUUGUCCCUCACUUGCAUGUCUGUCUGCAAAACCACCCCAUAGAGGAAGUAAACUCACUGGCAGUGAAUAUCAAUCAGUAACAGUUCUAUAUAUCAAUUAAGGCAGCAUGUCAAUUAUACUAGCUCAAACUUCAGCGCAGGAUUAAUAAGUAACACCAAUGGCUACCUUUUUCUUCACGAUCUUCACCAUCUCACCCAAUAUAUUCUUCUCCGCAAUCUGGAAAUGGACGAAAUCGCCACAAUUCUUCACCAUCGUCUCCAAUAACUGCAGGGGAAAUUGAUCAGGUUACAACUCUCUCCACAGACCAGCUAGAUGAUGAUGAUGGAUAAAUCAAAGCAAAGUUCCACACUUCCACAGCUCAUAGCUGAGAAUUUCAGUAUACCGUUAAAGCAAGAAAUUGAACUCUGGGGUUCUUAUGCUGCAAUCGCUUCUUCACCGCUUUCACUACAUCUUUCGCCAGCCUGAACACACCCAAAAUCACAGUUCGAAUAAAUUAAUGGACAAAAACAACUCGGAUAAUCGACAGAGUCAAAUACACAAAAUAAUCAGUCUCCUCCGUACACAACAAUCAAACAACGGUGAAAAAAAACUAUCCACCGCAGUAACAGAUGAACAUAUCAAAAUAGACCGCAAUUUCGAACAGAAUCUCACGUUUUCGAUGAAAAAAAAUAAACCCAGCUCGUGUGAAUCAGUAACGAACCGAAAGCUCCAUCCGUACACAGAAAGUCAACUCCAGAGAAGAUUGAAAAAAGGAUAAACAGAACGUAAGAAGCGACUAUACCAGUGAUUAGAGUUGAUGGAAUCGCAGAUGUCGAUAUUCAUGGUCCAGUCAGGCGUGAUGAGGAGGUCGCUGGUGGCUUUGUCCACCGCCACCGUAGCGGAAGACGAUGAAGCCAUCGCCACUCGUUAUGAGAGAAGAAUCAACACAAGAGAAAGGAAAAAACUGAUAAAUAAACUCCGCCAACAGGUGUUUGUUUGGCGAGAAAGUCGAUGAAAAGGGUCGGUGGUGACGACGAUUACGAACACGACACGGCCGAAUCCUAAUUACUCUGUAAACCCAACAGAAAAAAUCACAAAUUUCUUCAUCUAAUCGUGUUCUUCGUCAGUAAAGUUGGAUUAUUUCAUCUCUUUUUGAGUUUUUUCCUCUCUGUUUCCUUCAGUUUCCCGGAAAACCAGUUUGAGUUUUUCCUAUUCAGUUUCUCGCCCACUAAUUUCUAUGCUUUUUCCCGGAUCAGCAUGCUUCACUCAGCUCUUACACUCCACGCGCUAUGCUAGCGUAUAGCUGACACAAGUUAAAAGAUAAACAACACGUGGCGGUCCCGGCGAGUUUGGGAGAGUAAGAGUGUGGGGAAUAUUCUUGGAUUGGUUACUUUUUCUGUAACAGCUUCUGGCCACUCCAUAGCCCAAGAGAAGGGGAAAAAAGUUAAUUUGUAAUAAAAGGGGAGGAGGUAGAGAAAAAACGUGUGAGGUUAGAAGAAUGGUUGGUGUUUUCGAAACCUUUCGGUCUUGUUCGGUUAGAUUUUGGUCUGUUUAUCAAGAUGGUUUAGUAUACGGUUCAAUUAUAAUGGUUUAAGCAGUUGAACUACAUGAUAUUAGAUCGCUAGUUUGAUGUGUUUAAAUAUGAUUUUGAAAACAAUGGGAAUAGUUAUAAACAUGAAAUCAUAUUCACUAUACCAUGGGAUGAAAAGUCAUCAUUAGGAUUAAAAUGGACAAAAUAACUUGUAUAGAAAUCAUUGUUGAUACAUCUAUUUAAUACCCCAACCUGGUGUGUAUAAACCUUAAAUGGAAGUAGCUUGCUGCUACACAAUAAUGAAAAUUAAUGAAUUCAUUUUGAUUUUGACUUGUUGGAAUGAAUUUAAUGAACCAGCAAUUGUCAACUUCAAAAAUAGACAAAUAAGACCAAAUAUUCAUACAAGAUACCAACGGUUCGACCAAUCUGCAUGGUUUGAUGAGGACGGAACCAUGUAGGAAGGGAAAGUUUUAAUUGUGCAUGGCAGUUGAUACAUCAGUCGUCAGGGGAGGAUCACGAGCAUUUUGCCGUUGUGAAUCAUAUGAUGAGAAAAUGAGGUGAGCGUUGGAGUUUGAGUUUAUUCAUAUUUAUCGUGGAAGUAAUCAUACAUGUAAUAGGUGACUUUGCUGGCAUUGGACACGAGAUGCCUCUUUGUGUUUAUUAUUCUUAUUUCGAAUCAUAUUUUGAUUUAUCAGUGACUAUAAUAUAUCUUGUGUUUUAAAUAAUAAAAUAAUUAUAAAUAAAGAUUAGAUAUACUGCACCAAUAUCCAAUUAAAAGAAGUGAAGUGCUAAAAAGCUAAAAUUUAGCACCAUAGCCCAAAAGAAGGGGGAAAUUAAUUUGGAAUAAAAGAAUCAUAUAAGGGGAGGAAGGAGAGAAAAAAAAAGAGNNNNNNNNNNNNNNNNNNNNNNNNNNNNNNNNNNNNNNNNNNNNNNNNNNNNNNNNNNNNNNNNNNNNNNNNNNNNNNNNNNNNNNNNNNNNNNNNNNNNNNNNNNNNNNNNNNNNNNNNNNNNNNNNNNNNNNNNNNNNNNNNNNNNNNNNNNNNNNNNNNNNNNNNNNNNNNNNNNNNNNNNNNNNNNNNNNNNNNNNNNNNNNNNNNNNNNNNNNNNNNNNNNNNNNNNNNNNNNNNNNNNNNNNNNNNNNNNNNNNNNNNNNNNNNNNNNNNNNNNNNNNNNNNNNNNNNNNNNNNNNNNNNNNNNNNNNNNNNNNNNNNNNNNNNNNNNNNNNNNNNNNNNNNNNNNNNNNNNNNNNNNNNNNNNNNNNNNNNNNNNNNNNNNNNNNNNNNNNNNNNNNNNNNNNNNNNNNNNNNNNNNNNNNNNUAAGAGUCUAUCCCAUUAGUUUAACUUUGUAUAGAUUUUUCUUCCUCAAUUUAUACCGAUUUAAAUAAUAUUUAAUAACACUUUGACAUUGUAUUCCAAAAAAAAAAAUUAAAUUGUGCUAUAGAGGCGGCCACCCACCAAAAAGAGCUAUAGAGGCGGCCACCAACCAAAUAGAACCAUAUCAAAGUCACUAUUCGGUUCUUCAAGAGUCCAUGGACGUCUCAUCCAAACAUACCCACAAAUCAAUGGAUGUGAAAUAAUCUAUCCAAUCUUGACAAAUAUUAAUUAAGUUGUCGAUGUUACGGUUUAUAUUCCAAACCAAUACCUACCGUUCACCCUAUAAACAAAUAGAUAAAACCUCAUGCUCGGCCCUCUAUAACCAUGAAAAUCUUAAUCAAAAUAUAAAAUCGAUAGAUCCAAAUAAAAUUGUUCUACUAAUAAAAUUGUGUAUGGGUAAUCAGAAAAUUCUGAAUUCUAAUUCUGUCACACCCAACGAAUGACCAGGCAAGUGGAUUUGCACUUGUCCUAUGGAGAGAAAUCACAGCCACGAAAUUUUGAUGCCGUGGGAAUCCAUUCAUUCCCCACAUUGAUUUGCUACUACUUUGAAAGUUGCAUACUUUACAAACUACUGGAGGGCAUUUGGCACAUCUCCCUUUGUGUCUUUGUCUCUACGUGUCCCAUCUCCGUAACACAUAGAGACAGAAUCUCGAGAAAAUACGACAACAAAUUAACAAUAGUUGCAUUAUCGAAUCCAUUGACAUGGUCAACUAACCAGAAUUAGGGUUUUCGAAAAGUGUACUUGUUGUUCUUACGGUUGUUGUUUAUUGUACGGUAUAAGUAACUAUCGGUGACUACCGCAAAAGGUCGAUGAAUACAACAAUAGAUUAUAUUUCCAAUCCGCUCUCUAUAUGGAUAUUAAAAAUUAAAUUAUAAGUUCUCCAAUGACAAAAGCUAAAAUUGCUAAAUUUUGACAAUUUUGGCUUUGACAAUUCUAGUUUUGCUCCAAGGGUGCAAUACCUAAAUUUGGUUUCGACCAUUUAAUUUUUCGUUCAAAUCAUGUAUAAUGUUGAUUUCGUCACUUUAAUUAGAAAAUUCGCUAACGAUUUUUAUAUAGGUAUUAAUGAUUAAUUAAAAUGAACAUUUUGAUGUAUUAUUUUUUAUUUUGACAUAAGUUUGGCCAUUGCCGAUACUCCCGUCUUCCGAAAUUUCAACCCAAGCUAUACAUAACCCUUCAUCUUCGGGAAUGCUCUAAUUUGGGCCUCGAACACUCGUAGACAUGAUUAAUGAUUGAAAGAACGAAGAGAGAGUAAUUAAAAGAACCAGAUGGAUAAUAGAAAGUGGUGAAUUUACAAAGUUCGUUACGUGUAUUUAUAGAAGAAAAUAAUAGCCGUUACAUAGAAAGUGGUGAAUUUUCAAUCAAAAAGAAUGCUUGCAAAUCCAUAUAAGCCCAAAAUUCAACAAUUUGGGCCAAAAGAAGCCUAAUGGAAAAAGGUUUGCUGGUUAAAAAGUAUGUAGUGUAUUAAAACCGUAUAAGUAUGAACGUUCCACCGGUUCGAUUUUGAACUACUCAUCAAAGCGGACGCGUAGAAUUUUAAUGUAAUUACAGUUCAAACACGAUUCGAUCAUGAUUUAUAAUUAUUCAACCAAUUUAACAACAAAUUAUGUUGGACUCACCGAUUCGAUGUGAUGAUACGGUCCAAAAACCAUGCCAAAAAAAGAAGACCACGAUUUAUUAGCCAUUUUCUUCUAUGAAUACAUGGAGUUGCUUUUGCCAUAGAGAUGCGAAAAUUAGGGUUUGAGAUUGGAUAGAAAAGUACUAGUCAUCACCACUACGAUCUGCAUUGAUCUCAUCAAGAAUAACUACAAGUGCAACGAUGAAGGCAUAAUCAACUUGGGGAUACACAGUCACUUUGAAAGUGUCAGCAUCAAGGAAUACCACUUUCAGACUCUGCCCCCUAUGCAUCUGCAAAACCAAAAUCCAUCACCAAUUAAAUGCAAUCACAAAUAAAGAUACCAUGUGGUGCUCUGUCAAGUUAGAGAUAUCGAUUAUAAAUGUUGUGAUAAUACAAAUUACGAUGAUCAGCAACAAGUUACAAUUACCAAACUAUCGGAUUAACUUUAAUAUUAUAUUGAAAUUGACAAAACUGAUAAUCAGCCGGUUAACAAGCCAAAUAAUUUCGAUGGGGUUGUCCAAUUGUGGCGUUUGGGUUUGGUUUAGUUGUCUAUCUGUGUUGUUGUGUAAUCCCACAUCAGAUGAUUGAAGAAGUCCAUACUGUUUAGAAGUGUGAAGAAAAGGGAGUGAAAAAUGAAAAUGAUCAAUAAACACUCAAAAGUGGUAAUUAACUUUGGACAUAUUUCGAAAUCUUGUCAAAAGCUAGUAGAUGCAUCAUGCCUACCGAGGGACCAAUGAUGAUCCGAUCAUAUAUGAUAAACUUGUUCGGUAUGAGUUUGUUUACCUUGGCAAUGAUGGUCUUGGAUUUUCCUAGGUAAACGGUGCAGGAACCCUCAGCCCAGCCACCUUUGAUCCUGAAAUCAGGCGAUUCUUCCUUCUUGUUCUCGGCCAAGAACACAUCUAACUUACCCCUGUAUUUCAGGAUGGACGAUUUCCUCACACUGAAGAUUAGAUCUUUGUACUCUGUACUGUCUCCUUUGAAGGCUUGCCAUCUCCUGUGGGCACUCAAUAUCUGAAACACAAAACACCAAUUAUCACAAGGCAUUAGGAUGGCCGGAAAUUUCAGAACAAGAUAGACUAACUAUCUCAGAACAAAAGCAAUGUCUCUACAUAUACGAGUAGCAAUCUCUCUUCGGUGAGACGGCAACUCUCCAACUCGAUGUCGACAUUUCUCAUACCAAAUCUCGCUCACAAUAGGCCAAGUAGAAUCACUUACGCCUGAGUGAUUUUGUAAAUCCGGUUAAAAUAUGUCACAUAAUCAGUCCAAUCUACAUUAUAAAAACUUUAGUUUUGAAAAUUUUACAUAAAAUUUUAUAACACGAUCUGAACAUAUGAUGUGUUAGAAAGUGGUGGUAUACAUAUUACCAUAGGUUGGUCUCAUUUUUACUACAUAUAUUUUUUCAUAUAACGUAACGCUAAUCUACCUCCGAAAAAAUGUUGUGGAUCCGGAUUUCUCUCAACACCAAACCAGCCUAAAAAGUGGUUGAUUCGGAACAUUUAACUCGAUCGAUUUUUCAAUAUGAAAUUAUUCUUAAUGGCGGCCAUAUGAUAUGAUCUCAACAAGUUGAUAAAUUAAUGAACGAAGUAACUAAUUAUUUUACCUUUUGUUGAAGGGAAAUGAUGACGUUCCCGGCAGAAUCGUGCAUCCGCCGACGAUCAUGAAGGCUCAACAACUUGCUCUUGACAUUGAAAAUGAGGGUCCCGUUGAUGUCGUUGAUGGUGAAAUCGUUCUCCCCUAGGGUAAGGGUCUUGGAGGCAACCGUGAGGUCGACAGGGUAAUCGGCCAAGUACUGUGGUCCGACCACAACCACCGGGUUAACCAAUGGCUGGUUGGGAUCCUCCUCGGCCGGCACUACUACGACGUCGCACCCUGUGCCCAUGACUGCCUCCUCCCCGGCCCUACGACGAGAAGGAAGAAAUCACAACGAUUGCGGAUCACAAGAAUGUGCACAAGGCUUUGGUUAAGGAAAGGAGAUUUGUUGUGCUAUUUAUACCCACAAAUUGUGAGCAAUUAGCAAAUACUCGUAUUUGGACAUGUGUUUUCCAUUCCUUAAGUUUUGGUGUUGACCAAAAUAUCAAGAAUUGUAAUUAGUAAAUACUAGCCUGAAUAUCCAUUUUGAAUUUUCGAGACUUGUUUUUUUUUGUUGUUUCUCGUUUUCGUUAGAAUCGCUGGUUCCUUUUUAAUAAAAAAUUUCAUUCCCUUUGUUUAAGUUCUCCAUCUUCACCCUCUGGUAAUUAAUAGCAGUAUGUAUAUAGUGUCCAAAGGUUGGUGUCACGUGUCCGAAUUCGAUAGGUACGAACACUAAUUCUAGUUGGCUAGCGGUCGCCCGGGAAUCACGGAUGUAAUCCGAAGUGUAUGUGUAGCUUAUAAUCAUUAAUCGAAAACAAAUCAACAGUCAACACUCUGAGUGCAGAAUAGGUCGACAGCUAGCUAUCAGAUCAGUGUUCCCCUAAUGAUUACCACAUUGAUCCUAAAUUAGUUAUCUGGGAGUCAAUGAUUGUGUCACUUCUUCUUUCAAAAUCAAAUCAAUUCAAACUAUACAUAGGAUCUAUGUAGCCAUCUAGAUAGUGGAAAAUCAAGUGAAACAUGAUAUGAUGAUUUUACAUUUCUGUCUCCAUCUGUCUGAAUCAUGGCCGCGGCGGGGCCUAGCUCCGACCUGUACUUUAGAAUAAUCAAUAACGAACUGACACAAUAGUUGACCAAAUUACAAAAAAGAAGGUUGGAUUUUGGUGUUAUUUGUCUUUUAAUUAAUAUUCUACAGUCUAGUUUGGUAGGUAGAGUGUUGGAUGAAAUUUAUAUGGUAAUAAAAAAUUUGGUUCCCCUUAAUUACUUUAUUACGUUGGGGUCUAAUUUUUCCGUUUGGACUAAAGAGUAUUCAAAAUUCCAUUCAAAACCUACUAAAAAUUUAUCAUUAUUGCCUACACCAGAAUCCCACUUACAUAAAAUUAUCCAGGGUAGUCGUCCAAUUCACUCAGUUGGAUCAUAUAAAAGUUAAAAUACAUUAACUAGGUUGUAUAAAAAAAAAUAUGUUAACUAAUAUGUAAAUAUAAAGAAAAUUAUAUAACAUCAAAAUUCUAAAUUUGAAGGUAAAUUAGGUCGGGGCUUAAUUAGUGAAGGCCUCUAUAUCUGCCACUAUUCAAAGCCUACUAAAAAUUUAUCAUUAUUGACUACACCAGAAUCCCACUUACAUAAAAUUAUCCAGGGUAGUCGUCCAAUUCACUCAGUUGGAUCAUAUAAAAGUUAAAAUACAUUAACUAGGUUGUAUAAAAAAAAAUAUGUUAACUAAUAUGUAAAUAUAAAGAAAAUUAUAUAACAUCAAAAUUCUAAAUUUGAAGGUAAAUUAGGUCGGGGCUUAAUUAGUGAAGGCCUCUAUAUCUGCCACUACAAUCAGGGACUCAAUAACAUUAUAAUGAGUCUCCUACAAUAAUGUACCAAUUCUAUUGAGAUUCAAAACAUGAAAAGAUGGAUGAUACCUCUAAAACGACACAUAGAUUAGAGCUUUACCGACUCAACUAAAAGAGUCUUCGAAAAUAUCCGAGAAAAGAAAAGGGACCAAUCAAUGCACUUACAUAAUAGAACCAACACUCCUCAUAAAUGAAUUGAGUCAUACUUACGCGACGUCGAACCAAUGAAUUUAUAUGGUGAUCUGACAGAGUAAAGUGCAACGGUUUCACGAUGGGGAAGAUGGGCACAUGAACCACUAACUCGAUCCGGAGCAAAACCCACGAGUUAGUAAUGCACGUGCCCUGCUUCUCCAUCAUGCUCACGCCCACCUGUGUUUUUUACUUCCAUCACUGGCAUCAAACAUGGAAGGGUUUCGGCCGAGAGAAAGAGGGUUUGAAAAAGAUGGGAUAUAAGCUGAUGGAUGGAUGGAUGGAUGGAUGAAUGAGAGAGUGUACAAGAAGAGAGAAAGAGUUAUAGGCUACAAGUUGUAACUGAGAGAGAACUCACUGAUUUUUAUAACAAAUGAGGCAAAUGGAAGUGGGUGAGGUAUGAGUUGGCUUAUAUGGGCCGCAUGAUCCUUAGGUGUCUAAUUGGAAUUGGCUAUUGGCAUGCACUCAAACUUCCUUCAGGGUUUUGAAUUUUUAGCCAUUUCAGUUUCGAAACCAAGCUGUCAAACCGUCGGGUUAAGAGCUGGACGGGGUUAUAGUUGCGUUCAUCGGGUUGCAUAUCUUUUGGUCGCCAAUUGAUUAGUUAUGAGUUAAUUAGAUGGAAGUUCAUCUAGUUAGUUGACAGAAACUUAUCAUAUUCAGUCUAGUUAGACCCAUCCUGAGUUGGGUGGGUCUAGUUAGGUUGAAUGGGAUCAGGUUCCGCCAACUACAUAUAUAUAUAUAUANNNNNNNNNNNNNNNNNNNNNNNNNNNNNNNNNNNNNNNNNNNNNNNNNNNNNNNNNAAGGAUGAUGACUUGAUAAACUAACAUCUCAAUUGACCAGUGACUCGAUUAACCCAAUGGAAUAACCUUUCCAACCGAACGAAAAAUUGGCCGGUAUUCGGUCCGUAAAAUAUAGAACUUGUACAAGUUUUGAAACACUUGUGAACUAAAACUGUAUGAAAGGGAUGCUUGUUAGGUUAUGUAUAUGAGAAAAAGACUGAUAGUAAAGAAUCAAUUAAUGAUGAGCAUUAUUUAUUACUUUAGGGCACAAUUCAUUGAUAUGUAUACAUUUUGGUGACCUUACGUGAAUAUGUAUUAGAGCCAGACAGUUGUACUUUUAGCAUCUGAUUUUGGAACUCUACAGUUUUCUGAUAAGAAGGUUCAUCUCCAGGCCAGCUGGAUCGGUAUUGUAUUCAAAUUAGGGUUCCAUUUUCAAGAUAAAAUACAAGUUAACCACCAAACGUGUUUAAUUUGGACGGGGUAAACUUCUGGGCCGACAUAUGUGAGAUCGAUGAUCCAUGCCAUCACAAGGUUGUUGAUAUAAUUGUGCAUUCCAGACUUCGAACCCAAUAUAAUUUGAUGGUGUUGACAUCUUUUUGUUUCUACCGUGGCAGACAACCAUACACGUGUUAUUUGUGUGUGUUAUAUAUAUACUUGGUGUUUUGAGUUCGAUAUCAAAGGAAGCAGGAGCUAGGGUAUAUGAGGUUCGACUUCCCACUUAUAUGUUUUUAUUAAGUGUUCUCUCAAAUUUAAUUAGCCAGUCACUAUAACAGACUUAUUAAUAAGUGAAAACCAUGAAAUUUUAUUUCACACAAUCCAAGUUGUUUUAAAAAAAUAAAAUUUUAAAUGAAUUCGUAGAUUUUAGUAAAUUUUUGUUUAUUGAAUAAGAUUUAUACGGGAAAUAGUUUUUAUCUUUUCGAUUCAAAAUCCAACUUUCUCUUGAGUCAAUUUCGACAGUAAGUAGCCUAUACAUAGCUUUAUCAUGUCGCACAAAAGGGGUUGCUAUGUAUAACAUAAUAAUGGGAAUCUAUCCUUUUUAUCUGUACGUGAAUUUGGUUUCCUUUUAUUUCGUUAAUGCCAUAGAUAUGAUGUAACUUGGUCAUCAUCACUCCUGUUUCUUUAGUUAUAUGCAAAAAUUGACCACUCGGAAACCGACAUGUUGAUUAUGAAAAAGUUAUGUGACGCCAAAGGCGAAAUUAGAGCGGUUCUCUCAAUUUCAGAGUAACAAAUUUUUAUGUUAAACUUUCGUCACGAAUAAAAAUAAUUGUGUAGCUCGAGAUUUAAAAAUAGGCGUAUUGUAACUCAAAAAACCCAACUCGAAAGAUAUGUCAUUAUUUGUCAUCCAAGCCACAUAAAUAUUGUAUAUAUAUACUUUUCCCGCCGUCUAAGCUGUCUUCUUUCCAUUUGAUUCGCUUCGUUAAUACGCAAAUUCGAUAUAAUUUGUAUAGAACAAAGGUCUCCAAAAUAUAUAUAUUGAAAGGUACGUAGAACAAAAAUUUGCAUAGAAACUGACGAGAAAGUUGCAAAGAAAAGUAUCAAACACAUUUGCAACACAUCUUACUUGCCUGCUAGGGCUUGGGUUUCCUGAGUUAGUCGUUGUCCCUGCAAGAAAGAAAGAAUAUGUUCUCCACGGGAAGCAUUGGGAAUCCAAUCAAACACCAAACCAGCUGAAAUUGUACAUCAUGGUACUACAUAUGUACCUUUGAUUAUUUGGACAUUAUAUAUAUAUGGGUAUUCUUUUUUAUUUGGUUUUACAUUCGGUACUCGAUCGGUCAUUAUAUCGGAUGUCAAAUAUUUUAAAGUCGAAAAUCAAUUAUAGUCCCCUUUCAUCAGUUAGAUGUUGAUAACCGAACUGCAAUCUUCAUCAUGCAUACAAUCAAUCACUAGACCAUCUUUGAUGUUGUUGUGAAUGAAUUUUAUAAAUUUGUUACACACCGAACUUUUGUAGCAAUGAAUCUUGAUGUGCCAAGCAGAGUAGGGCAAUGUAGCUAGGCACUGAAAAGAGGCUCACAAUACAUGGCUAAAUUAUUAUACUAUAUGUACCAAUAGAGAAGUAUAUGUUGAUUCCAUAUAGAAGAAUUAAUGGAACAACAGUAAGUAGAAUACAACUAAUUACCCAUUUUAUCAAAUUGUGUGUUUGAAAUUAGGUUUUCUGAUGGAAGAUUAAAUCCAACAGGACGUGCAUUAUUGGUUCAAAUUAAAGUAGAAAUGGGUGAUGAAGAGGGUCAUUCUCCCUAGUGGUCCCUUAGGUUUGAUUUCUUACAAACCCAUCCUGUUUUUAUUAAAUUAAAUCAACCAAUCCAUCCAAUACAUUUGAACAUUCAAUCCCACUGUCACUUUCCGUCAACUAUUUUACCUCGUCCGGCAUGCUUAUUCACAAAAAAAUAAACAAGUGGUUUGUUCCACAUAAGCUCGCCAGACCCAACUACUAAAAUCUGGUUAGAUCUGUAAUCUAACUAGUUUCUCAAACAUAAUCAAACUACCAACAACCCUAAUCCCAAUUCUGAAAGCAAAGACCCAUUAUUCUUAGGGGUUUUUAAUUUUUUUUUACAACGAUUAUUCUGAUUUCCCAAUGAUCUUCUACGAUCCAGCCAAUGAAACGUAAGAAAGUCAACAGUCAGAAGUCAUUGAAGUCACUGAAGAAGGCCGACCCGCCCAACGACAAAUCAUCUCUAGGGGGUUGUGGAGCUCCGAAUCGGCUCCAACAACGCUCACCCUCCCCGAUCGAACCUGUUUUUGCUUUUUAAGUUACUGUUUAUCUAUUUCCCCACCUUCGUAGUCCUUCUGUCUGUCGAAUGUCUUGUAUGAGAGCAAGGAUUGAGGCCGAUUUUGUUUCGCAAAUGGCACGCAAUCUAUGUAGUUGCACUUUGUUUAGCUUUGUUACAUUUAUGAAAAUUCUCCCCAAAUUGGGAUUUUGGUAAAAAAAACCCUUAUUCUUCCAUUUUUAUUCAUGUUUUUUUGGGUGAAUUAACCAUGCUGACAAGACAAACAUAACAAAAUAGUUAACGGAAAAUUAACCGUAGAUGCAUAUGUAAUGAAUCCGUUAAUUGUAAUAAGAACAGAAUUAAAAGCGAGCUCUUUUGUACAAAAGUGAAACGUAAGAGACUAUUUAAGCUAAUUAUCACCCGGGCCGUGCCGAAGAUAUUUUAUCAUUUGGAGCCAUAAUCGAGGCCACUAAUUAAUGUUGAUCAAUGCACUAUAUCACCAGAGCCAUCGACACCAAAGCUCGAAAGUGCAAAAAUAUGCAAUUAAGUCAGUCACUCGGGGUGGGAGUUACGAAGUAUGGACAAUUUUGGCAACAUCGGUGCCAGAGUCUCGUUCAUUUUCGUCGUUUGGCUGCCUGUUUAAGUUUGAUGUUUCCUUCAAGUACUAGUCAGGUCUGUUAUAUAUUAGUUGAUGUUUUUCGAGUUCUUAGUUUCUUUGGUAAAGACAGUUGGGGUUUGGUUAGUAGUAUCAACUCAUGUUGAGUCUUGAGAUGGAUAUAAUUAGCAGUUGAGAUAUGUAUUGAGAAGCGCUAGGAUACGAUAUGUUUAAUUUUGAUUAAAUGCAUCUUCCGUUGUAACUUGUCUGUGGGUUACACCUUCCAAAUUACCAAAUUAUUCCGUAUAAACGAUAUUAUCAUAUAAUUAAUAAAAACAUAUAUCCUCAUUAUAGUUGAAAAAGUCAGUCACUCAUAUCAAAUCGAAGAAGAUUUAAUUUGCCAAAUCUGAUCUCUUAAUUAAGCAUUAUAAUUAACGAUUUCUGGUCAUCCACAUUCUCCACUUUUUGGUGGAAAAGAUUAAUCUCUUGUCUUGUUUACCGGUGGCCCAUUUGACUUGGCAUUCCACUCUCCCAACUACUUUUUCAAUCAUUGACUGUGACAUAACUAAGAACCAAUUCUAAGACAAAAGAAACAUACUAUAACAAAUUCAUACUUCAAUCUCCAUUAGCUAAUUUGUCAGAGUGAUCAAUUUACUCUCCAUUAGUUUAUGAGCACUUGAGAUCGAGAGAAUAUCGACAGAACGGAUUUUACGCUGUGAAUCAAAUACCCACUAGAUUGUUUUAAUGGAAUCAUAUUUUUUUAGAAUUUUUCUAAUGUUAUUACUCAAACUGAUUAUGCGAACUAAAUCAAUUAAUAGUGAAUGAUUGUUUUCAUAACCGAUUAUCGACUAAUAAUGCAAAUCAAAAAAAUGCAAAUGCAAGAGAUUGAGUUUCAAAUAUAUGAAGGUUGUUCGGAAUCGAAUCCACUAAAGCUAGCAAUGCAUGGAUGAACGACAAGUUAUCUCAAUUAUUGAGAUUAUAAUGACUUAACAAUUUCCUACGAUAGUCUUAGAUCACUCUCGCGCCUCUAAUGAUCUAUUCUGCUCAACCGUAGACUCCUCUCUCGAGCUAAUCUACACCUAAGCAAAACGCACUAAAGGUGUUCGAUGAAAUGCCACAAUCAUAAAUAAUGCAAAAAGUCUAAACGAUCCAUUCCUCUCUGGAGCUAACGAAUAAUCUAGAGUUCUUCCUAAGCAACCUAUCAAUCUAUAUUCCUCUAGAACCCACAAAUCAAUGACGAUGAUUCAAUCAAGACAGCCAGACGAAAUUGAAUUAUAAUUUAGGUUUGGAAAGAACACAUCAUAAGUCUGAAUAACAUCGAUAACAAAUCAAAUGGUUAAAACCCCAUCAUCCAUACAAAAGCUAAGCUAAAGUUUCAUCUCAUCCAAACAACACGAAAGGUUUAGCUACUCAUGGUUCUGGAAACAAGAAAGCUAGAAGAAAGGAAAAUAACCCGGAAAGAAAACAUGUUUCGUCGAGAAAUUUCCGUCUUGUCGCCGAUCUUAAGAACACGGGCGUGUUCCUCCCAACAGAGGCUCUCAGGUUUAGUUUUCAGAGAAAAGAACAUGACCGUGUCCCAGAGGGACACACCGUGUUCCUUAGGACACGACGUGUUCUUAUGGUACACGUCGUGUUCCUCUUAAAUUCCAACCAAUCUUCCCUCCGAGCAAUUUCAAUCGUCCGUCUUAGUUUCCGCUUGUCCCCAAACGCCAUAAAUCGCCUGAAAUGCAUAAAAAACAUCGCAAACAACGUAAUAUGGCCCCCAAGGGAAAGAGAACCAACCAUGUGCUCAAGAUCCUAAGUUUGAAUACAUUUCGACACAAUAUAAUUUAUAACGAGAAUAAAUAUGUCAAAAAUACAAAACAUCAAAUACUUCAAUCGGACAGUGAAUUUGGGUUACUUUUGGCAUGUGGGUUGUCGUUAGAGGCCCUGCCCUUGAUGUAGAACAAGAGUUCGAAAACAUGUCAUAGAACAAGAUCAUAGUUUGAUUUAAUCACGCUUGCUAUCAAAAUAUAAACAUAUUUAAUCGGAUGGUCUACGCGUCAUGACACUAUGGAACAAAUUUUGUCAAAGUUUGAGAAAUGUCAAUUCCUGAGUAGUUAAUUAUAAGCAGAAUAUUGUACUUGGCAUCACAUUGUAAAAGAUGUAAUUGAGUAAAGGGAAAAGGGGGGAGACAAACCUGAAAGUGGGUGAAAGUGCUAUAGGAUACUCUUUGGUGUAAUGGCCAAUUCACUACCCCUAGAGUAGUAGUAGUAGUUGUAGAGCCCAUUUCUAUAUGAACAAUAAUUUGUCCAUGGUGGAGGCAGAUAGGAAAUGGUGGGAGCUUUAUUUAUGUUAAAAAUGGAGGGACUGGUUAUAUAUUAGUUUAUAGAAUAAUCCCUAUAAUCUGCAAGGCCAAUUAGCUCCAUCAAUGAAUUCCAUAGGUACAUCUCUAUUAUUCAUCGAUCAAAUAUACAAGAGAGUUAUCUAUAUAACGAUUAUGGACAAGUGGCGAUGUGCAAUACAAUACUAAGACAUUAUAAAAGUUUUGAGAUGACACCAUCUAUAGAGGAUAUUUGGAGGGCUUUAGCUCGAUUGAUUAUAUAUACGCCUUAUCGGGAGAAAUGUUGCUUACAGUUUAUUCUACAAAGGUUUUUAAGAAAGCGGAUAAUAUUCUCCAAAUUAAACACAUAAUUGAGACGUUCUAGCCAAAGCAGGUUUUGUUGGUAUAUUGUCAAAAUGCUCAAAAACGUGCUUAUUUUGUCAUCUCAAAAAAUUACUUUAAAAUAUCGUUAAAUUAUUAUAAAUUGUGUUGCGUAGAGCCUGACUCUUCUACGAAAAAUCACCUCAAAUCACUCCUAAACUUUAAGAAAAAAACUCACCAGAGACAAGCUAUGAGCUAUCUUCGACAAACCCCUCGGCAACCAUCACUAAUUAAGAAUGACCCUCCUAAAUGUCAUGCCACGCGAUGCCGACGUCAUGAAAUUCUAAGAACAUGUUUCCCCAUCUUAGGGAUGUUUGUGGAUUGUUUAUAUAUUAGGUGAUUAAUUUAGGGGUUAGCUAGAGAUUAUAAUAUAACUGAGUAAUUAAAUAAAAUAAUCAUAAUCAUGUUUGGGUUACGACAAAAAGGAACGACCAUAGUCAUUAUACUCUUCUUUGACAAUCAUGAUCAUUACCAUGUCAUUAUUUGGUCUUAACCACCAACAAAAUCCUUGUUUAAUUAAUUACCAAACAUAUCUCCACCAUUUCUGUCCAAUCACACUCGAAGGCUCGACAUUCUUAAAAUUAACUAUUCUUUUAUUAUUUACUCGUAAAUUCGAAUGGAUCUAGCACUACUGGUUUGGUAUGGAUAAUUGGAUGAAUAAUUAUGCCUUAUAUAUGAAAAUACUGGAAAAAUAUAAAUAUGGACCAAUGUUCUUUUGAAUGAAGAACCCAUCAAAUUGGACAAAAUUUCAAGUUCGAAAAUUCUCACUCAAGCAUUAAUAAUAUAUGUCUUGUGAAUACCUCACUAAUGAAAAGAAUCAUUUGUUAAUUAAGGUAAUAGUAAUUAGCUGGACUCAAUAAUCUCUAAUUAUUGCUUCUCUUUUUGGACCAUUCAUGGAAUUCUAGAGAUAGAUAUGGCUGGUUAGGUAUUGUUUCUACACACAAANNNNNNNNNNNNNUGGGAUGUGUUUUUGUUUUUUGUCGGGGUGGGGGGGUGGGGGGGGGGCAUUAAUUUCUUUUACUGUGCCCAAACCAGGCAGUUAGGAGUUUAACCAAUGUACUGGUUUUGGAGUGAUUAUAUAUUAGGUUUGCAAUUUUUUUGGAAUAUGGUUCUUGUAAUAGACUACUAGACACCCUAAUUAGAUCGUUUCGGUUUGGUUAAUGGGUCAGCCACAAAACACGUAGUCGAUACUCCUAACUUGGUAGAGUCCAGACGUAUAGCACUUCUCGGACUCCUCCUACCAUCUGAUAGAAGUCGCUAGCUAGAGCUUUGUUUAUAGCAAUUGUCCAUCUUUUCUAGACGUCACUAAUUUGAUCACAACUUGGAGCAAACACAGAAAUGGACGAACCAAUUUAGAGAAUCUCUUAAAACCCCGGUUUCAAAUCGAUCAAAAAUAUAUGGUAAAUAUAUACAUUUGAUUAGAAUUGAACAGCUUAUAGAAACAGGGCACGUAUAGUGGUUGAGGGGUCACAAUUUUGUCAUAAUUAGUUGAGACAAACUAUAUAAAUCAGUAACCCAAAUAAAGGAGGGCAGAACUACACUCCCCCCUGGCCCCUAUGCUAAUAUUCCUAUCCUUGUUUCCCACUUCUUUUCUCCAACGUCACCCGACAAUUUCCCCUCUUAAUCGGACUUGUGAUAUCAAUUCCAUUUUGCACAAAAGAACAAAUUAAUUUCAUAUGUCCUCUUGUAAAAUAUGUAAUUUAGACAAAUUAAUAAAGAUAAUAUUUACUGUGCACAGUCUAGUGAUCGAAACUCUGAUGCUGAAACUAUAACCGGUUAUGGACCAAUGACGUAUGGUUAUUGAACCGACAAUCGGUCAUAUGAUCCACUAAACAGCAGGCGACGACGGAGGAUACUCAAAAACAGAGGGAUGGGCCAGACUUAGGGCCUAGCUCAGAAUGGCCAAGAUCAAACCCAAAUCAGAAACCUCCUUCCGAAGUCCAAACAAUGGGCCACCAUUCCAUCAAAGCCCACCUUUGUACAUGGUCUAUGUUUUCUUUUCUGUUUUUGUUCUACAAAUCACCAAACUCAAGAAAAAUUUAAAAUAGUGAAAGGGAAAAUAUCAAAAUACUAAUCACCCAAAAUCCCAAGUAAUUAUAAGUCUAAUUUAAAGAUGAAAAAGGUACCAUUCUAAACGCACUUAACUUCAAGAAAUGUAAAUAACCAUCGUCUCUAUCUUUCAAUUUUAUCGAUAAGGGAAGUUAGAAUGCCUACUAUUCAUAUGGAUGUUAUGAGGAUUAAAAUAAAACUAUAUUUGCAAAGUUCACAGUUACUGAAGAAAUAUCUAAUGAAUAUAAAUAAACCGCCAUCUCUAUUUUUCAAUUUCAUCGGUACGGUGAAGUGAGAAUGCCAACUAUUCAUAUUAAUGUUAUGAAGGAUAAAAAGAAAUUAUAUUUGCAAAGUUUACAGUGACUAAAAUCACUAACGAUAAUUAAUUAAUUAUUCUGUGUAGUGGUCCCUAAUUAAACCUUAACGAGGUACGAGGAAAAAAAAACCAAAGCAUAAAUAUGUAUACUUUCAUAUCCAAGUAUUCAAUAAAGUGAAAGAUUUCUCCUUUCGUGAUCCUUUUUCCUGUUUUACAUGUACUUCAUCGCCGACGAACCAACCACCGGUUAUCGACCGGCCUAUCGUCAAAUGGCCAGAACAAGACCAGGCAAAGACCUUUCGAAAACAUCCCCCACCGGCUGGCUCCUCCACAUCGUAAGCUUCUUCCCCUCCUCAUCGACAAUCAGGCGACGGCUACUGCCGCCGGUGACAUCUUUCACGGUGAGCCACGUGUUGAAAUAUUCUCUAAACUGAGUGAUCACCAUAGCCCCAUUAUUGUUAUCAUCAUCAUCUCUCACCGUCCAAACGUGGACCCAGUAAACUUUGUCGCCUUCCCAUCCUUCGGCAAUCACGCAGUCUCCGACAACCUCGAUACUCCUCGGCUCGAACCUGAACAGUUGAUUAGCCAGUCCGUUACCAACGGACUGCCCAGUCAGCAUUCUCAUCAUGUGGUUGCAGCCUGGCGGUCCGUGAAACCACCACUCCAAAUCACCGACUAUGAUUUGGUGGUCAUAGCCAGUGAUCUUAUCUCUUGUUGUUUGGCCCGUGGAUCCGGCUAGUAAUGUCUUGUAGAGUGAUCCGAUGAUGGAUUUGUACUUUGCGGAUUUGGACGUGGAUGAUUUGGAUGGGGAUUCGUCGAUGAUCGGAGAUUUGUGGCUGCCGGAAAGGAAGAGGAUUUUUCUUGAGCUUAAUUUGGAGAAGAGGGUUGAGAGAGAGGAGGUCAACUCUUUGCGGACGGUCAACUGUCUAGAGAAGUGCAUUGUUGAGUUUUGUUUGCAAUGUGUGUAAUGUGAGGUAUCUUACUUGUAUUUAUAAGCCCUAUAGUACCCAACGACUUAUCUAGGGUGUACAUAUGAAAGGGGAUUAUCUUCGAGUUACGCCCUAACUUUUUAUUGAAUAAAUGGAUGACGAAAGUCUUCAUGGUAGUCGUAGAGUCAAAUGACACUAGAUGUAAGGCAGAAUUGCAAAAACUUUACCAAGCUUAAAAUGAUAAUACGAGAUUUUUUACAAAAAGAAUUAAUCCAAAAAUAAAUUCAAGUAGAUUUGAUUAAAAUCGGACAAUAUUGUACGGAUAUUGGAUUUAUAAGCCCCAUAGUACACAAAGACUUAUCUAGGGUGGAUAUAUGGAAGGGGGUUGUCUUCAAAUAACGUCCUAACCUCUUAUCGUAUAAAUGGAUGACGAAAGCCUCCAUGGCAUAGUCAAAUGACACUAGAUGUGAGGAAGAAUUGCGGAAACUUUAUCAGGCUUAACAAGAUAAUAUGAGAUUUUUACAGAAAGAAUUAAAUUCAAAAACAAAUUCAAGCAGACUUGAUUAAAAUCGGACAAUAUUAUACGGAUAUUCGAUUUAUACUCACUCUCACCUUAAAUCAUAGUGUUGGAUACAUGAGAGUCUUUCCGAGCCACAACCAGCCCACUCAUAUCAAGUCUAGAACUCUGAUGCGGUAUAAAUUUCUUCAUAUUUGAAGUUAAUUAAUCUAUUUUUUUAUAUACAAUUCAAUAAUUUUCAAACUCUAUACAAUCCAAUAUAGUAUAAUAAUUUGCUGCCACCGGCAAUAUUGACCCUUAUUUUACCCUGCAUUUGUUUGGUUUUAUUGAUGAGUAGACUUAUUCGAAUAGUGAUGAAUGGAUCUUCUAGAUAUACAUUAUAUCCUUUGUUUGUGUCAACUUUCAGUGUUUGUUACAGCUUUCUCUUUGUUUGCUAAUUGGACUUGUUCGGUUUGUAGUUUGUCCACAUACACUUAAUCUAUGAUUCUUCCUCCUCGUUAGAUCCCUAGAAUUAUGAUUAUUUUGACUUCGAACCGGCCGAUUCCUUUCCUGGUGUUCUCUUCUCCUAUGAUUUUCUUGUUUUUGUACUUGUCAGACAAACUUCGGGACUGUCGACAUGUGAAAUUAUGGUGAUACUAUCAUGGAGGCCGAAAUGAUAGAUCAUUUCAAACUUUAAAUCGAAAUUUUUUUGAAACAAAAUCGGGUAUUUGACUACAACUUACUGUAGUACUUCUACCAAAGAUUUGUGGUGUGGGAUUGGAAUUAUUGGAUGCUUGCAUGCAUAUACAUUGUGAAAUAAAUGCAGGUGGUUACAUAUAUGUCCAAGAUCUCGAGCAUAAAUGUCCCAGCAAAUUGAAGUUCCAGAAAGCACUCGUCUGUUCCAGUAGGGUCCUUGACUCAGAUACUAGGAUAAUACAUGACCGACACAUCGUGGUAGCUGCUGGUUUGUGAUCGUGUUUGCCGUAGUGAAAUUAAUAUGGUUGAAAUUUUCGACCAGGAUUUGAAAUUUGGGGUGAAUAUAUAUGAAAGUAGAUAGCCAAAUUUAGAAAUAUAAUAAACAAAAAGAAAUUCGAUCUAAUGAAUUCAAACCAAUAAACUAAAGAUUUAACUGUGGAUAUUAUCCAAUUACAAUCCCUCCGUUCUACCAACUGAGCUAGGUUUGCCCACGUACAUAAAUAAAUGGAUUAUGGGAUUUUCCAACAGAAAAAAUUAUAUCAAGAAUUUCACAUUGGACUUGGGUGAUCAUAUCAAUGUUUUUUCCAAGUCUUUUAGAAAUAUAAAGGUGGCAUUUGGGAAGGUGCAUAUAUUGUUGGGGAAUUUCGCCCAGAUGGCUUUGCAUCUUUCAACUGCUUGCGUAUCAAAGUCUAUAUAGUUCGAGAUUGCGUAUCUAUGAUGAAAAAGUGUAAACAGCUUUAGAAUGUGUUGAUUCGAACUUUAAUAUUCCGUUUCGAAGGUUAAAACCUUUGAAAUCAGUGAUCGACUAAAUUAAGUCGUGACUAGGAUUUUAAUAGAGUCGUGAUCGCAUAUACUUUUCGUAAAGAAUACUCCUCCCCUUAUCCAAAAUCUAGGGUCACAAAGAAUCUUUUCAUAUGAUAAAACUACUAACAAAAUCAAAACUUAAUAAUAAUUGAGAACUUAAAAGAUGAGAUAGGUGUGAGUACACGAAAAUUACAGAACAACAAUGACUAUAUUGUCAUUAUCAAGAAUAAUGAUAUUUACCAAAAAAAUAAAUCUUUUUUUAAAUUAUUCAAGAUGCAGAUCCUUUCCUAAUAUUCUAUAUUUUUUGUUUUUCUAAAAGUAACUAACUCUAGAAGAAGAAAAAUAAAAAAAAUCUAACUAUUAUGAUUAAGAGAAGAUGAAUCGAUUUUGCUCCAAUUUUUACUGUUAGUCUUCUAACUUUGAUUUUCAAUGGGAACUCCUUCGGAUCUUCGAUUAGACUUUUAGGAAUUAAUAUAUGGAGGUUUUUACAGAGAGAACUCUAAAAAAUUCGUAGAAAUUGUUGAAGAACAAGACUCUCUUUCCUCAAAUCGCUUCUCUUGUACGGAAUGCACACCGUGCACCCCUCUUUUGCUACGAGGGUAAUUGCAGUGUGAGGUCCUGCACAGAGUGCACGACGUGCAGCCCUCCUUCUUCAUCAAUUCUUGCACCGUCAUUCCAUUCGAUCUCCAACCAUACUUUAAUCCGCGUCUAUAGCCUCAUAGUCAGACCACAUGUCUCUAAAGUACCCGUGGAUAACAAAUAUUACAAAGAAACACAUUAAUUGGACCGAAACAGUCCAAGUGAACAGAUCUAGACAUCCAAUGCUAAAACGUAAAAUCACACGAAAUUGAAGCACAAACAAACUAGUAUUCACUCAAAAAAUAUGCAGAUAAGGUAAGAUAACACUAACAAUCCUAGUACUAUCAAAUAUUCCUUUUAUAAAAAUAUAGGAGGAGACCUCCUUUUAUAAUUUGUGGAAGAAUGCGGUAGAUAAAAGAGAAAUGUUCGUUCAAACACAAACCGUCUCUGUACUAAUCUUAAAACAAAAAUAAUUUUCCCAUCAAAUCGGACCAAAGAUGGCGUCGGUGAGGUAUGGUUUUUGGGUUGGUUUUUUUAUCAAAAAAUCAGUCCAAAAUUUUGUCAGAAAUCAAUUUGAAACUCAAAUCAAAAUCGGUUUAAAAUUUCGAUUUAUUUUGAAUUUUUGUCUAAAUAACACAAUUCCUAAUUAAUUAUAUAAAAAAACAACUAUGAUUAUAAAAAAAAACAACUAUGUUAUUGAAUUAAUUCUUAAUGAUGCACUAACUAACCUAUUCACUACAAACAAGUAACUAUUUAUAUAUAAUCUAAAAUUCCAACAUAUAUAAUCUCGAGUCUAAACCGAUCACGUAUCGUCGAUUACUCCAUUGUUAAAGUAGCGAUAUAGGAACGAGAGUAUGCUUAUGUGCUUCUUGGACGGUACAUAACUUCGAUUAAUCAAAAUCCACCAAUAAAGUAGAGAUAUAUGAACGAGUCUGCUUUUUAGACCGUCGUGUAUGUUUGAUCAAUUCACUAUUAAGGACGAAUGCUCUGAGACUGAUUGAUUAGUUCAUCAGACUGAUUGAUAUCACUAGCUUGCUAACUAUUGUGUGUUGCAAUGAAUUAGUGAUAAUGAACUUCGAAAGACAUAUUCUUAGCUCAACGUAAGGCAAUACACAAGUUAUUCUAAGCUAGCUAACAUAUGUAAUAACAUGUUAAUCACAAUUCAUAUACAAUAAUAGGCUAUAAUAUUACAUGUUAAUCUAAGCUACCUUUUGAGGGUUGAUAUUCUUGCAUGUUUGCUUCCGGAAAAUAUCCGCCACCCACCGUCGCCGGCAGUAAUAUUUAUCCCUCGUACUCCUCCGAAACUCCGCCGCCGUUGAGGAAUCCCAUCCACCAAUUCGAAUUACAGUUAGGCGCCGCUUGGUGAUGAUGAUCAUUAUUAUAAUUAUAAUAAUUACAAUUACCGUGAUUGUAAUUAUUCAGUACCGGAGCCGCCAAAACAGCAGGGGAAGUCGUUGACCAAACAGGACCAGACGCCGGCAAGGUGUCCACCGCCGAGUAACAAUAGCUCUAACAGCGAUAAAUUCAGAAUGAUUUAAUAUAUAUAUCGAAUCAUAUAAAGUCUAAAUCUUUAGACGUCACAUUAAAAAAUAAUUAAUCAUAGGUUAUUAAAUAUCACAUCCUACAACUACCCGUCCUCUAUGUAUAAUUAAUUUUCUUGUAAAAUUAUAAUAUAUUUUUUGUUAUGAAACUAAACUCAAAGAAAGACAAGAACAAGAGAAAUAUGGAGAGGGAGAGAGUUUCUUAUUGAGGUGUAUGGAAUGCUACAAAUGAGAGCUCUAUUUAUAGGCUCAUAGAUCAUAACCUAUACUCUCUAAUAUUAUUACACAUAAAGGUGGGAAAAUAAAUACAAUGAAAUACAUUGAAGAAUGGAAUAAGGAGUUACACAAUGGUGCAUUCACUAUAGUAAUUAUAUUCAUAACACUCCCCCUUGAAUGACCAUUGGUUAUCCAUCGUUCUUCGAAUACGCUUUUGAUACUGCCUCAUUAAAAACCUUACCAGGAAAACCCAGUGGGAAAAACCAUGGUUAAGGGAAAAAGAGUACAGCUGCGUAUUGACUCCCCCUGAUGAUGAUAUCAGUUGAGAUCCUUCAUAUUGACUCCCCCUGAUGAGGAUAUCAACUCUCGCUCAUCAUUAUAUCAGUUGAGAUCAUUCACUCACCAAUUCCAAAUUUGCUUUCCAACAGUUGAUGCAGAGAGAUCUUUGGUGAAUAAAUCAACCAAGUUAUCACUUAGGUGCACUUAGUUGAUAAAUAUUUCAACUCAUUGAAGUUUGUGCAUAAAAUGUAUGCAUCACAUGAUCGAUGGUCAUCCAUAAUUCACAUGACACUUCACCUUAGAUGACCAUUAGAUGAGAAUAUGUCUCAUUAAAACCUUACUAGGAAAACCCUAUGGGAUAAAAACCUAGUGAAGGAAAAAGAGUACAUAAUCAUCACAUCACGUUGCAACAUUUUCUUGCAACUCAAGGAUAUAUGCAAAAUAAAUAUCAUGCAUGAUUUAUAGGAUCAGAUCUUGAAAUGGUGGUGUAGCUUUAUAAGUUGGUUUCACAGCCCACCAAGUGGUAAAAUUAUCACAUGAGACCAAUUUAUGGUCAACCAACACAAAUAUGACCAAGAUUACUACUUCAAAAUCGAGUACAUCUUGUGUCUUAAUAAAGGUCGAUUAAACUCGACAUAGAGUCACAUAGUGAUCUGACUACCAUCCAGGCACUGAUAGCCAUGUCAUAUCCAUAUAACUUUUUGUUGGAUAUAAUUAGUAUAUCAUUGAUGAUAUACGAAAAUCAUGUUCGAGAGAGAUGCACAGUUGGCAAGUUAGUGGUAAUCUUCCACAUCUUCCAUCUCGAACUCUAGCUAAUCAAUAUUUGAUUGCUUUGAGAAACUCUUUAGGAGUCUCAAUAAAGUGUAUGUCAUCUAUAUAACAAAAGAUGAUGAUGACACUUAAACUCUUAUAAACAAAAGAAAUACAUUUUAAAUAUAAAAUAAAGUAUAGAAAUUUUUAUAAGAAUUUCAAAAUCAUAAAAUAUGACAAAGAUGAUUUUUCAUCAUUCAAAAUUCAACUCAAUAUGAAAAAGAAAUCAUAGUUUUAUGCAUAGAGAAAUGUAUGAUAUGCUAAAUGGACCACUUCUCUCAAUUAUUCAAUCCAUAUGACGUCAAUUAGAUAUAACUUGUUCACGUGAACUUGAAUUGUUUGCUUAUAGCAAAAUAAAUCCUCAAGGGAAUUUCAUAUACACAUGUGUAUUCUAAUUAUGAAAACCAUACAUAUAGGUUGCAAGGACAUCCAUUAGGGGCAAACUCUUUCCCUUCACAAAUUGCCAGACUAAUCGAAUAAUAAAAAGUAGUUGCAUCCACCACAUGAGAAUAUAUUUUCUCAUAAUCAAAAUGUUAUAGGUUUGUUGUACAAAACCUUUCAAAAAUGAGAUGUUUCAUAACUUCUCAUACUCAUACUUUACAUCUCAAUGUAUAAAGACUUGAUGUCUUAAAACUUUUCAUUUCUCUUGGGAAUUUGAAUUUGCCUCAAAUUGAAAUUUUUUGUAGCCAAUCAUUUCUAUCUGUGCAUGCAUUUUGGCUAAUGAUCCUCAUUUUCAACUAUCAUAUUUAGCGUUGCACUAUACGCAAAUAUUUCGUCGACGUUGACUUCAUUGGGGUUCCAAUAUUUUCCAUCCAAGAUAUAGAUAAUUGAGAUAUAUAUUCAUAUCUUUCAGGUACCUGAUACUCUUCUUGAGCACAUUAUUUGUUUCUCUUGGUGGCUUUGUUUAAAUAAUCUUAACCUCAAUUUGACCAUCUUGAUAUAUAGCUCCAUUCCACUUUUGAGGAUUUUUUCUUUGGAACCGAGUGGUCUAUCACGCCUUUGCGGGUUUUAGACUCAUUUGUGAUGUCAGAUUGCCCAAUAUUGGCAUUAUUGUUAUUGGAGCAUUUUGAGUUGGCACAUGAAAACUUUACUCUCGUUGGGUCAGUAAAGUGUCUGGCAGAUAAUGAAUUAUAUAUUUUUGAACUUCAAGCUCAUAUUGCUUAGUGCAAGGAUCAAAAUAAUAUGAUCAUUCAUCUAAUCUCUUGGCCAACUUUUGUUUUCUCCCCCUAAUGUUGGGAAGUUUAAAUAUAAACCUCCAAACGAGUCAUCAAAAUACUCCCGACAACGAUGUGAUACUUUACCAUCGAUGAACUCGUAAUCAAAAUAAUUUCUCAAUCUUCAUUGAGAACCCAUCCUAAUAAAUGGUGGUGGAGCAAUUCAGAUGUGUAUAUCACAUUCAUAUAUCCAUAGAUGGGAAGUAUAAGGUUUUGACCCAAAAACCAAACAUAAUGGAGGAAUUCAUGAUAAUUUCUUGGCGUAAUGCGAAUUUGUGUUGUGCAUGUAAAUGACAUGUUCACAAUAAUAUAUUGGUUUUCAAUGACACAUUUUCGUUAUUGGAUAAUCAUGAAAAUAUGCUCAUAACCAAAAUGGUUGAGCUAGUAAUCUCGCAAAUUUUAGUUUUCUUUCAUAUACACAUGUGACCUUCUAGUUGAUACAUCAAUUAAAAUAAUUGGCUCACAUGUUGGGCGUAUGGAUCCAUAAAUAUCACCCUUGUUUUGUUGUGUGUAAGAUAAAUGAUCUUACUUUAGUUGAUGAUUAUCCAACAAUCAACUCUAUUUGAGGAAAAGCAAUCCAAAAAUGAAUUAUGUUGUGUUGGAGAUUUACCCAACAAUGGGUAACGGAAAGGUGAAAAUGCUUUCCUAGAAACGAAACCUUGUUGACAGAACAGAAAAUCGUUUGUGUUCCCAGGAAGUAGGGGAGUCACAAGGACUACUUAAAUCCCUAUAACCUUAGGAAUCAUUUCUUUAGAAUACCCAAGUUGAGACCAUCAUGCACAACAAUCUUCAAUAGAACAUACACUUUAGAUUAUGGAAUCAUCGAAAUUGACCAUAGAGGUACUUAUCGAUUCGCAUCAUGAUUGAACCGGGAUGGUCUCACCGGUUAUGCCAAAUAAUAGUUGUCAGGACGAGUAAACGUAUAGUUUACAUUUAUAUAUAUGUAUCUCAAUCACAAUAACAUAUGUGUAGUACAAAUUGGAGGAUAAUAUUAUUGAUUAAAUAAUUAUAUAGCCAUAGACCAUAUUAUUGUUCCUCUCUUGAUCCUAAACAAAUUGGAAUAAGGAUUUUGUUCCUUCGUGAACAAUAUAAUAGCUCGAUCUAGAGCUUGAGAGAAAUGUUGUACUACACCAUAUAUCUUGGUGCACUAUCGAUGUGAUAUAUAUCACAAUUAAUUAUGGUGAUUCUCAUCAUAAAAUACUCAUUUUUGUCAUGAGAAUUGGUACAUAGUUUAAAUGAUAAAUAGAUAUAUUUCUCAAUCAUCUAUGUCACCAAUUAAUAGAUCAAUAAUUCUCGUAUAACCACAAUUGUUAUGUCCAUCCGAAUAAAACGGUUCCUUAUGUGAACAAUGAUAAUAUGUUGUCACUUAUGCUUUCAGGAACAAUGUAACAAAUUAAAUGUGUCUUUGCACAAUCACUUUGAGUGCUAAAUUAACAUCAUUUUGAUAUGAUCAUCAAAAUAAAAUUGACAGUUGUACCACCCAUCAUGGGAUAUAUAAUUGUUCAACAUCAAUUCACAACUCUCUUCCACGCGAGAAGAUAAAUUUCUCAAAUUUCUUUCCCAUGACCAUCAUAAGAGGUAUUGUCCUCCACAAUAGUGUAUUGCCGUAUCGCCUUUGUGGGAAUAUAAAUUGUUACAGCGGACACGGUAUAAUAAUAAUCCACUUAGGGGANNNNNNNNNNNNNNNNNNNNNNNNNNNNNNNNNNNNNNNNNNNNNNNNNNNNNNNNNNNNNNNNNNNNNNNNNNNNNNNNNNNNNNNNNNNNNNNNNNNNNNNNNNNNNNNNNNNNNNNNNNNNNNNNNNNNNNNNNNNNNNNNNNNNNNNNNNNNNNNNNNNNNNNNNNNNNNNNNNNNNNNNNNNNNNNNNNNNNNNNNNNNNNNNNNNNNNNNNNNNNNNNNNNNNNNNNNNNNNNNNNNNNNNNNNNNNNNNNNNNNNNNNNNNNNNNNNNNNNNNNNNNNNNNNNNNNNNNNNNNNNNNNNNNNNNNNNNNNNNNNNNNNNNNNNNNNNNNNNNNNNNNNNNNNNNNNNNNNNNNNNNNNNNNNNNNNNNNNNNNNNNNNNNNNNNNNNNNNNNNNNNNNNNNNNNNNNNNNNNNNNNNNNNNNNNNNNNNNNNNNNNNNNNNNNNNNNNNNNNNNNNNNNNNNNNNNNNNNNNNNNNNNNNNNNNNNNNNNNNNNNNNNNNNNNNNNNNNNNNNNNNNNNNNNNNNNNNNNNNNNNNNNNNNNNNNNNNNNNNNNNNNNNNNNNNNNNNNNNNNNNNNNNNNNNNNNNNNNNNNNNNNNNNNNNNNNNNNNNNNNNNNNNNNNNNNNNNNNNNNNNNNNNNNNNNNNNNNNNNNNNNNNNNNNNNNNNNNNNNNNNNNNNNNNNNNNNNNNNNNNNNNNNNNNNNNNNNNNNNNNNNNNNNNNNNNNNNNNNNNNNNNNNNNNNNNNNNNNNNNNNNNNNNNNNNNNNNNNNNNNNNNNNNNNNNNNNNNNNNNNNNNNNNNNNNNNNNNNNNNNNNNNNNNNNNNNNNNNNNNNNNNNNNNNNNNNNNNNNNNNNNNNNNNNNNNNNNNNNNNNNNNNNNNNNNNNNNNNNNNNNNNNNNNNNNUUGCUCGAUGGCAGAACUUCGUGCUGAUAACGUGUUAUAAAACUAAACUCAAAGAAAGACAAGAACAAGAGAAAUAUGGAGAGGGAGAGAGUUUUUUAU
rnacentral:lncRNA from 1 species